AUUUCAUAGAUAAGCUGGGUCAGGGAGGCUAUGGCUCCGUGUACAAGGGUGUGCUGCUCCCAGGCAAUGUCCAUGUCGGGGUCAAGAUGCUAGAGGGUAACUCCAACUGCAAUGGAGAAGAUUUCAUUAGUGAGGUUUCAACCAUUGGCAGGAUCCACCAUGUCAAUGUGGUGCGUUUAGUUGGCUUCUGCUCGGAGGAAAUGAGAAGGGCGCUUGUCUACGAGUACAUGCCUCGAGGUUCUCUGGACAAAUACAUCUUCUCGGCUGAGAAGACUUUCUCCUGGGACAAGCUCAACGAGAUCGCUUUGGGCAUUGCGAGGGGUAUCGACUACCUGCACCAGGGUUGCGAGAUGCAGAUUCUCCACUUUGACAUCAAGCCGCACAACAUCUUGCUAGACAGCAAUUUCAUCCCUAAAGUUGCUGAUUUCGGUCUCGCUAAACUAUACCCAAGGGACAAAAGUUUUGUGCCAUCGAGAGCCCUACGGGGAACAAUUGGGUACAUAGCUCCUGAGAUGAUAUCUCGUAGCUUUGGUGUCAUAUCGAGCAAGUCUGAUGUUUAUAGCUUUGGGAUGCUCCUGCUAGAGAUGGCCGGAGGAAGAAGGAAUGCUGAUCCAAAUGCGGCAAACACGAGCCAAGCGUACUAUCCGUCGUGGGUGUAUGACAAACUAACUGCUCCAGUGGUGGAUGCGAUAUGUCCAGUUGCUAGCAUGCAUGAAUUAGAGAGGAAGCUGUGCAUCGUUGGAUUAUGGUGCAUUCAGAUGAAGUCACAUGACAGGCCAACGAUGAGCGAGGUCAUAGACAUGUUGGAAGGUGGCUUUGAUGGCCUGCAGAUGCCUUCCAGGCCAUUCUUCUGCGACGACGAUCACACCGCUGUCCCGGAUUCUUACCCUUUGUUGUCCGAGCUGACAGAGAUCUCAGAGGAGGANNNNNNNNNNNNNNNNNNNNNNNNNNNNNNNNNNNNNNNNNNNNNNNNNNNNNNNNNNNNNNNNNNNNNNNNNNNNNNNNNNNNNNNNNNNNNNNNNNNNGUGUCAGUAACUUAUCAAUUACACUUAUAAGUGAAUGGACACAACAGAGUAAAGACCCUCACCUGAAGUUGUAUGGAAACAGUAUGUGGUCACAGAAAUUUUGAUCUAUUAGAAACCUUAGAAGGUUUUCCUCCGUCUCCUUGGGUUUAUCAGUUAGCGUCGCUAUAUGUAUUUUAUCUGGGUCAAUAAACCCAAUAUUUAGGAUGGUCUUACUUUUACAAUCCAGAAUCUCCAUUCUGCAUAAUAGAAUACAAGUUAUAUAUAGACAAUGAAUUGAAAUAACUAAACAAGUUAUAUGUAGACGACGAAUUGAAAAACUUACACACAAUAGCAACUCAUAAGCGAUUUGUCGAGGGCGUCGCCAUUGUACAUCUGGAAGAGUUCAUCAAAGUUGAUAUGGAUUUCUUCGGAGCGGCCGUAGUACUCCCGUGGGACACUCAGCACGAUCAUCGUUCUCCCAUUCUUUGAUUCACUUAAGUACCAUUUAUGCAAGUAACGCAUAUUUGUUGGGAGAUUAUCUUUGCUGACCAAAGGCUCUCCCAUGACAAACUAUGGCUUAGGGGCUACCACAGCCUUGGGUAUCCUGUCGUCUUGGGAAGCCAGCAAAUCUUCAACUGAGAUACCACAUUCAGCCGCCAACUCCUUUGCUCUUUCAAAAGCUUGCCCCUGCACCGGAGGGGGAACAUUCUCGGUUAACACCUUGAGGGGUGGGAUCGACUGUUUGGCCUGUUGUCCAAGCUGAGGAACGUCUGAUUUUUUCUUGCUUGUAGUUGAACUUGAUUUGCUCCCACUUGCACUUGCACGUGAGCUGCUCUUUUUCACUUCCUUCUGCAAUGUGCGUGUAUAGUCAUCAGGCUUAUAGUGUAAGUCAUACUGUGAUGGAAGGGUUAUGAAGUCUUUUGCCCAUGCUAUUUGUUUCUCGGUGUAUUCCGGGCGGGGCUCGGGUUCCUUCUUUUUCAUCUGCGCAUCAUGUUGUUCCUUUGCUAUCCUGGCGUUUUCCUCGGGGGUACGAUCAUAAGGUUUGAUAGGAAGAUUAGCAUGAGGUACCUUUGGGAGUGGCGACAGUUUGCGCUUUGGGGAGCUCCGUCGCUUAAAAAUCAUCGACGGAGCGUUCUUGCUGGCACACUUCCGCUUAGUAUCCUGUGCGGGCGGCGGCGGAGACGGACGACCCAAGUCCGGCGGCGGUGAUCGAGAUGGACUCGUGUUGUGCUGGCCGACGUCAUGUGGAGGGCUUGGAGGUAAUGGAGGUGUAGGUGACCUGCGACGACUCGGAGGCGGUGUUGUCCUUGGGGUCGAGCCUGGAAGCUUGAUGUAGUUCUUGUGCAUCGUCGGGCGGGGCCUCAGAUUCAGCCACGCCGCUUUUCCCUUAGAUGGGGCGCUGGUAAUAUCAAGUGCAGGAUCUUCCUGGCGCGGUACUCCUCUAAGCUCAUCAAUCUGCUUUUGUUGCUCGUUAAUCCUGGCAAGCAACUGGUUGAACUUGUCAUUCUCCUCAUCCUGCUGCCGCUUCUUUGCUCUCUCUCGGCUUCUGUAAGUGUCUUGGUCUCUGGCAAACCCAAGCCACCACGGGUAAGAAGGACCGAAGUCUCGCGUUCGUCCUCCAUGUUCGUCAUUGCCGAGGACCAGUGUGAGCAAAUAUUUAUCUCUAUCUGCAGUGAACUUUCUUUUUCCCUCCUUAAUUUCUUUCACUAUCCUUUUCCAAUUCUCCCUGGGUAUCCUAAGACCGUCAUUGCAGAUGAGCUCCCCUGUUUUUUCGUCGUACGACCCACCAUGCGCAAGGAAUCAAUUUCUUGCUCUUAAUUCCCACUCAUCACGGAGUGGUUCAGGUAAGAUGCCUUUAUCUAGCAGAUCUUGCUCUUUCUUAUCCCACUUUGGGAUGGCAGUCUCAUAGCCCCCUGGCCCCAGCUUGUGGUGAUAUUUCUUCUUGUCGGCAUUUAUCUUGUUCUUUUCUGAUAAUGUCUGGGCAUCUUCUGACUCCUUGUACUCUUGAAAUGCCUUCCAGUGAUUCGCCUGCUUGGCUAGAUACCCCUCGAAUACUGGCACUUUCUUUGUCUUCAGAUAGUUUUCCAUAGCUUCUUCUUCCAGCUACGGAACAGUUCGGCCAUCUUCUUCAGAGUCCAUUGCUUGACUUUGGCCCUCAGUUUGUCUGCGGCGUCUUCAUUCUCACAUUCUGGCAGGUUGAAAUGUGACAUGAGAUCAUUCCAAAGAUUAUCUUUGUACCUUUCGGCGACAUAGUCACUAUCGGCUGCCCUUUUGCGCUUGUUCCACUCCCGAACGCUGAUCGGGACGUGAUCCCUAACGAGAACUCCGCAUUGCUUCUUGAAUGUGUCAGCAACAUUCUUAGGAAGCUUGGGUUCGCCCGUAGGAAAUAUCACCUCAAAGGUGUAAUGCGUCCGUGCAUCCAACUUUCUAGUCGGGCCUCGUUUCGUAGUUUUGCUCGAUGUGGAGGCCUAAGAGGGAGAAACAUUCAUCAAAUGAAUGUAUAUGUAUACAAUAUAGAGCUAUCUCCAAUAUUUUUCACAUAUUACAAGUGAUUGUCGAACUUCAUAUGUAUCCCUCGCCGGACUUUAUUAUUUCUUCACCGGCUUCUCCAUCAGUGGAGCUAUCACCUUCUCCGUCAUUGGACCUAUCUCCUGCCCCAUCGGCUUCAUCUUCGUGUCGCUCGACCUCCAUUCCAACGUCCUGCUUUAGAUAUGACGACGGAGAUUCAGCUGGUUCAACGUCGGGGCCGUCUUUGAUUAUAUCUUCGAGAAGUUCUUCCUCUUCGAGGUUUUUGAUAUGUGGAUCCAUAGUUCUGCAAAAAACGGAUUCUCUUAACCUUUGUACCAAAAAAGAAUUAUUCUAUCAGGAACUCCGUUCGAAAACAACUUAAGUCCCGGGUCGUGGCUCCACCCGGGACUCCUAGAUUUUUGCAUAGUAUUCAAAGUAGGAGUACUUUUCCAAUUUGAGCAUUCAAUAAGCAAAACCAAAUCGUAAAAUAAAGUAGUAUUCAAAUUAGCAUGCAUUCAAUUAUAAGCUAAUACAUCAUCACUUUUGUCCGUACACCGUCGAAUAUUAUCACUAAUACUCCUCGAAUACUAUCAUACAUAUAGCAUCACUGAUACAUCUAGAACCGUAGCGCCCGACGUGUAUCGGCGCGGGCGGUGGACACCCAAAGAGAAGGAACCAUCACAGGAUCAUAGCUCCAGUGAGAUCCCCGAAGAACCUGCCAGGUAUGCUCGAACCUGCCCUCCAAUGCAACCAUGUAGCGACGGACGUGCUCAUCCUCCUCGCUGACACGGUGACGUACCACCUCCGCGGUGUCCGGAAGCCUCGGCACCCUCACUGGCCCACGCGACCGCCACCAAACAAGGAUCGUGUCAACGACGGGCUGGCUCCUCACCAACCUACGCCCCCCGGAAGGUAGCACCUUCCAAUACCAGCCGGGCGGAGCCCAGUCCCAGACAGGGCCCCUCUGAUCAAGCAGGUGUCCUCCGCCGAGUCGACGACGAGGAUGCGGGAUGCAUCGUAAAAUGAACUAAAAAAAUAAACUAGUUCUAUUAAUUUUCUUGCUAAAAAUAAACUAUUAACACUUAAGCAUAUACAAUAGCAAAAUUAAACUAUUAACACUUAAGCAUAUACAAUAGCAAAAUUAAGCAAUAAUCUAAGAAACACUAUUAACACUUAAGCAUAUACACUAUACAAUAGCAAAAUUAAGCAUAUACACUAUACAAUAGCAAAACUAAAUGACACUAUACAAUAUGUCUCCUCUUCUUCUACUUCUUCUUCUACUUCUACUUCUCCUCUUCUUGUAGUACUUCUCCUCUUCUCUUCUUCUACUUCUCCUCUCCUCCUCUUCUAAUUUUUUCUCUUCUUCUACUUCUCCUCUUCUUCUAUUUUUCCUCUUCUUCUCCUCUCCUCCUCUUCUUAUUCUCCUUUUUCUUCUUUUCUUCUCCUCCUCUUCUUAUUUUCAUUUUUCCUAAUCUUAUUUUCUUAUUUUUAUUCAUAUUUCUUCUUCUUGUAACCCUAACCUAAUUCUAAAUAUUACUAACCCUAAUAAUCUAGCACAAACCUAAUAACAAUUGGAAUUAAAUGACAUUUUUUUUCUUUUUCUUCCUUUCUUCUCCUUUUUCUUCCUUUCUUCUCCUUUUUCUUCCUUUCUUCCCUUUUUCUUUUUUUCUUCUCAUUUUUCUUAUUUUCUUCUCCUUUUUCUUCUUUUCUUCUCCUUUUUCUUCUUUUCUUCUUCUAUUUUUCCUCUUCUUGUCCUCUCCUCCUCUUCUUUUCUUCUCCUUUUUCUUAUUUUCUUCUCCUUUUCCUUCUUUUCUUCUACUGGCCGGAGUGUUGGGGAGGAGGGGGCGGGGGGCUUACCGGCCGGAGGUGUCGACGGCGCGCGGCGAGGAGGACGGCGCGCGCGAGGACGACGGCGGCGGCGAGGAGGACGGCAGGCGGCGGCGAGCAGGACGUCGGGCAGCCUGACGGCGUCGUCGAGUUCGUCGCUGUGCCGCACCGGGCAGGAGAACGAGAGGAAGAAGAAGAGAAAUGGACGAUUUGGGUUGGAAUUUUUCGAAGUCCCGCUUAUAUAGGUGGAUCUUUAGUCCCGGUGCGUGGCUCAAACCGGGACUAAAGACACCCUUUAGUCCCGGGUGGAGCCACGGCCCGGGACUAAAGCCCCUCGUUUCCCGCCUCCUCGCCUGCCGAAAAGGGGUCUUUAGUCCCGGGGCGUGGCUCCAACGGGGACUAAAGGGGGUCUUUAGUCCCGGGGCGUGGCUCCACCCGGGACUAAAGCCCCUCCUCGGCUGCACGAUAAGUUUAGUCCCACCUCGCCCAGCGAGGGGGACUAACACUUGUUUAUAAGCCCCGUCGUAGCUUCUCCAUCGAGCUCCUCUCUAAAGCAGGCUUACGGGCCUAAACUCACUGAAAAUUGAAACUAUAUUAGAAAUUAUAGAGAAAAUUCAAUCUAAAUUCAAAUGAGAAUUUAGAUUGAAUUUUCUCNNNNNNNNNNNNNNNNNNNNNNNNNNNNNNNNNNNNNNNNNNNNNNNNNNNNNNNNNNNNNNNNNNNNNNNNNNNNNNNNNNNNNNNNNNNNNNNNNNNNGUUCUUCUUCUCCUCUUCCGUCUCCUUCUCCUCCUCCUCCUACUCCUCCUUCUUUUACUUCUUCUUCUCUUUCUCUUAUUCUACAUAGCUUAAUUAGACUCAUCCAACAAAGCCUAAAUUGGCUAAUUAUCCAUCUAAAUGACAUAAGUAGCUUAGUUAGCUCCUAAAUGGUCUAUUUAAUAAAAAUGACCUAUACUUAGCUAAUUAUCCUCGAAAUGACAGAAUUAGCUCCAAAAAGGCAUUCUUAGCCAAUUUAGCCCCGAAGAAGGAGACGAGAGGAGAAGAAAGAGGAAAAAUGAAAGGAAGGAAGAAGAAGAAGCGGAGAAGAAGGAGAAGGAGAGGGAGGAGGAUAAGAAGAAGGAGGAGAAGGAGGAGAAGAAGGAGAAGAAGCUCCUCCUUCUCCUUCUUCCUCCUUCUUCCUCCUUCUCCUUCUCCUUCUUCUUUUGUUCUUCUUCUCCUCUUCCGUCUCCUUCUCCUCCUCCUCCUACUCCUCCUUCUUUACUUCUUCUUCUCUUCUCUUAUUCUACAUAGCUUAAUUAGACUACAUACCAACAAAGCCUAAAUUGGACUAAUUAUCCAUCUAAAUGACAUAAGUAGCUUAGUUAGCUNNNNNNNNNNNNNNNNNNNNNNNNNNNNNNNNNNNNNNNNNNNNNNNNNNNNNNNNNNNNNNNNNNNNNNNNNNNNNNNNNNNNNNNNNNNNNNNNNNNNCUACGUAGCUUAAUUAGACUCAUCCAACAAAGCCUAAAUUGGCUAAUUAUCCAUCUAAAUGACAUAAUUAGCUUAGUUAGCUCCUAAAUGGUCUAUUUAAUAAAAAAUGACCUAUACUUAGCUAAUUAUCCUCGAAAUGAUAUAAUUAGCUCCAAAAAGGCAUUCCUAGCCAAUUUAGCCCGAAGAAGGAGACGAGAGGAGAAGAAAGAGGAAAAAUGAAAGGAAGGAAGAAGAAGAAGAGGAGAAGAAGAAGAAGGAGAGGGAGCAGGAUAAGAAGAAGGAGGAGGAGAAGGAGGAGCUACCUUCUCCUUCUUCCUCCUUCUUCCUCCUUCUCCUUCUCCUUCUUCUUUUCUUCUUCUUCUCCUCUUCCGUCUCCUUCUCCUCCUCCUUCUUUUACUUCUUCUUCUCUUUCUCUUAUUCUACGUAGCUUAAUUAGACUCAUCCAACAAAGCCUAAAUUGGAUAAUUAUCCAUCUGAAUGACAUAAUUAGCUUAGUUAGCUCCUAAAUGGUCUAUUUAAUAAAAAUGACCUAUACUUAGCUAAUUAUCCUCGAAAUGAGAGAAUUAGCUUCAAAAANNNNNNNNNNNNNNNNNNNNNNNNNNNNNNNNNNNNNNNNNNNNNNNNNNNNNNNNNNNNNNNNNNNNNNNNNNNNNNNNNNNNNNNNNNNNNNNNNNNNAGUUGCGGGAUCUUGUAUUACGGAACGAGUAAAGAGACUUGCCGGUAAACGAGAUUGAAAUAGGUAUGCGGAUACUGACGAUCGAAUCUCGGGCAAGUAACAUACCGAAGGACAAAGGGAAUGACAUACGGGAUUAUAUGAAUCCUUGGCACUGAGGUUCAAACGAUAAGAUCUUCGUAGAAUAUGUAGGAUCCAAUAUGGGCAUCCAGGUCCCGCUAUUGGAUAUUGACCGAGGAGUCUCUCGGGUCAUGUCUACAUAGUUCUCGAACCCGCAGGGUCUGCACACUUAAGGUUCGACGUUGUUUUAUGCGUAUUUGAGUUAUAUGGUUGGUUACCGAAUGUUGUUCGGAGUCCCGGAUGAGAUCACGGACGUCACGAGGGUUUCCGGAAUGGUCCGGAAACGAAGAUUGAUAUAUAGGAUGACCUCAUUUGAUUACCGGAAGGUUUUCGGAGUUACCGGGAAUGUACCGGGAAUGACGAAUGGUUCCGGGGGUUCACCGGGGGGGGGGGGUCAACCCACCCCGGGGAAGCCCAUAGGCCUUGGGGAGACACACCAGCUUUUAGUGGGCUGGCGGGACAGCCCACAAGUGGUCUAUGCGCCAAGAAAACAAAAAUCAAGAGGAAAAGAAAAAAAAGGAGGAGGUGGGAAGGGAGGAGGACUCCCUCCCACCAAACCUAGUCCAACUCGGUUUGGGGGGGGGGGGAGAGUCCUGCCCCUUGGCUCGGCCGACCCCCUUGAGGGUCCUUGGACCCCAAGGCAAGGCCCCCUCCCUCCCACCUAUAUAUACGGAGGUUUUAGGGCUGAUUUGAGAUGACUUUUCCACGGCAGCCCGACGACAUACCUCCACGGUUUUUCCUCUAGAUCGCGUUUCUGCGGAGCUCGGGCGGAGCCCUGCUGAGACAAGGUCAUCACCAACCUCCGAAGCGCCGUCACGCUGCCGGAGAACUCUUCUACCUCUCCGUCUCUCUUGCUGGAUCAAGAAGGCCGAGAUCAUCGUCGAGCUGUACGUGUGCUGAACGCGGAGGUGCCGUCCAUUCGGUACUAGAUCGUGGGACUGAUCGCGGGAUUGUUCGCGGGGUGGAUCGAGGGACGUGAGGACGUUCCACUACAUCAACCGUGUUCUCUAACGCUUCUGCUGUACGGUCUACAAGGGUACAUAGAUCACUCAUCCCCUCUCGUAGAUGGACAUCACCAUGAUAGGUCUUCGUGCGAGUAGGAAAAUUUUUGUUUCCCAUGCGACGUUCCCCAACAGUGGCAUCAUGAGCUAGGUUCAUGCGUAGAUGUCUUCUCGAGUAGAACACAAAAGUUUUUGUGGGCGGUGAUGUGCGUUUUGCUGCCCUCCUUAGUCUUUUCUUGAUUCCGUGGUAUUGUUGGAUUGAAGCGGCUUGGACCGAUAUUACUCGUACGCUUACGAGAGACUGGUUUCAUCGUUACGAGUAACCCCCUUUGCUCAAAGAUGAAUGGAAAGUGUCGGUUUCUCCAACUUUAGUUGAAUCGGAUUUGACCGAGGAGGUCCUUGGAUGAGGUUAAAUAGCAACUCAUAUAUCUCCGUUGUGGUGUUUGCGUAAGUAGGAUGCGAUCCUACUAGAUACCCUUGGUCACCACGUAAAACAUGCAACAACAAAAUUAGAGGACGUCUAACUUGUUUUUGCAGGGUAUGAUUGUGAUGUGAUAUGGCCAACGAUGUGAUGUGAUAUAUUGGAUGUAUGAGAUGAUCAUGUUGUAAUAGAAAUAUCGACUUGCACGUCGAUGGUACGGCAACCGGCAGGAGCCAUAGGGUUGUCUUUAUACUAACGUUUGUGCUUGCAGAUGCGUUUACUAUUUUGCUAGGAUGUAGCUUUAGUAGUAAUAGCAUAAGUAGCACGACAACCCCGAUGGCAACACGUUGAUGGAUGAUCAUGGUGUGGCGCCGGUGACAAGAAGAUCGUGCUGGUGCUUUGGUGAUGGAGAUCAAAAAGCACGUGAUGAUGGCCAUAUCAUGUCACUUAUGAAUUGCAUGUGAUGUUAAUCCUUUUAUGCACCUUAUUUUGCUUAGAACGACGGUAGCAUUAUGAGAUGAUCUCUCACUAAAAUUUCAAGAGGAAAUUGUGUUCUCCCCGACUGUGCACCGUUGCUACAGUUCGUCGUUUCGAGACACCACGUGAUGAUCGGGUGUGAUAGACUCAACGUUCACAUACAACGGGUGCAAAACAGUUGCGCACGCGGAACACUCGGGUUAAGCUUGACGAGCCUAGCAUGUGCAGACAUGGCCUCGGAACACAUGAGACCGAAAGGUCGAUCAUGAAUCAUAUAGUUGAUAUGAUUAGCAUAGGGAUGCUUACCACUGAAACUAUACUCAACUCACGUGAUGAUCGGACUUGGGAUAGUGUAAGUGGAUCAUGAACCACUCAAAUGACUAGAGAGAUGUACUUUUUGAGUGGGAGUUUAGCAUGUAAUUUGAUUAAGUUGAACUCUAAUUAUCUUGAACAUAGUCUAAGUCCACUUUGAAAAUAUUUGUGUUGUAGAUCAUGGCUCACGCGACAGUCAUCCUGAAUUUUAAUACGUUCCUAGAGAAAGCUAAGUUGAAAGAUGAUGGAAGCAACUUUGUAGACUGGGCUCGUAAUCUUAAGCUAAUCUUACAAGCUGGGAAGAAGGAUUAUGUCCUUAAUGCUGCGCUAGGAGAUGAACCACCCGCUACGGCUGAUCAGGAUGUUAAGAACGCUUGGUUAGCACGUAAGGAGGACUACUCAAUAGUUCAAUGUGCAGUCUUGUAUGGCUUAGAACCGAGACUUCAACGUCGCUUUGAGCGUCAUGGAGCAUUUGAGAUGUUCCAAGAGUUGGAGUUUAUCUUUCAGAAGAACGCCCGGAUCGAGAGGUAUGAGACCUCCGAUAAAUUCUAUGCUUGCAAGAUGGAGGAAAACUCGUCUGUCAGUGAACAUGUGCUCAAAAUGUCUGGGUACUCAAACCGUCUAGCUGAGCUGGGGAUUGAACUCCCGCAAGAAGCUAUCACUGACAGAAUCCUUCAAUCACUGCCGCCAAGCUAUAAAGGGUUUGUGUUGAACUACAACAUGCAAGGGAUGAACAAGUCUCCCGGCGAGUUGUUUGCGAUGCUGAAAGUCGCAGAGUCUGAACUCCGUAAAGAGCAUCAAGUGUUGAUGGUGAGCAAGACCACUAGUUUCAAGAGAAAUGGCAAAGGCAAGAAGGGCAAUUCGAAGAAGAGCGGCAAGCCCGUUGCCAAUCCGCCGAAGAAACCCAAGGCUGGACCUAAGCCUGAAACAGAGUGCUUCUAUUGCAAGGGUAUGGGUCACUGGAAGCGCAAUUGCCCCAAGUAUCUGGCAGAUAAGAAGGCGGGCAAAGAAAAAUCAGGUAUAUUUGAUAUACAUGUUAUUGAUGUGUACUUAACCGGCUCUCGUAGUAGUGCCUGGGUAUUUGAUACCGGUUCUGUUGCUCAUAUUUGCAACUCGAAACAGGAACUGCGGAAUAGGCGAAGGCUGGCGAAAGAUGAAGUGACGAUGCGCGUAGGAAAUGAUUCCAAGGUUGAUGCAAUCGCCGUCGGCACAGUGUCACUUCAGCUUCCAUCGGGAUUAGUGAUGAACUUAAAUCAUUGUUAUUUAGUGCCUGCGUUGAGCAUGAACAUUAUAUCUGGAUCUUGUUUAUUGCGAGACGGAUACUCUUUUAAGUCUGAGAAUAAUGGUUGUUCUAUUUCUAUGAGUAACAUCUUUUAUGGUCAUGCACCGAAUGUGAGAGGAUUGUUGAUAUUGAAUCUUGAUAGCGAUACACAUAUACAUAGCAUUGGGACCAAAAGAGUUAGAGUUAACAAUGAUAGCGCCAUAUUUUUGUGGCACUGCCGCUUAGGUCAUAUUGGUGUAAAGCGCAUGAAGAAACUCCAUGCUGAUGGACUUUUGGAGUCACUUGACUUUGAUUCACUUGACACGUGCGAACCAUGCCUCAUGGGCAAGAUGACUAAGACUCCGUUCUCCGGAACAAUGGAGCGUGCAAGUGACUUGUUGGAAAUCAUACAUACCGAUGUGUGUGGUCCGAUGAGCGUGGAGGCACGCGGCGGAUAUCGUUAUUUUCUCACCUUCACUGACGAUUUGAGUAGAUAUGGUUAUGUCUACUUGAUGAAGCACAAGUCUGAAACAUUUGAAAGGUUCAAGCAAUUUCAGAGUGAAGUUGAAAAUCAUCGUAACAAGAAGAUCAAGUUCCUACGGUCUGAUCGUGGGGGUGACUAUCUGAGUUUCGAGUUUGGUGCUCACUUAAGACAAUGUGGAAUUGUUUCACAGUUAACACCGCCUGGAACACCACAGCGUAAUGGUGUGUCCGAACGUCGUAAUCGUACUUUAUUAGAGAUGGUGCGAUCUAUGAUGUCUCUUACCGAUUUGCCGUUAUCGUUUUGGGGUUAUGCAUUAGAAACAGCUGCAUUCACUUUAAAUAGGGCACCAUCAAAAUCCGUUGAGACGACACCAUACGAACUGUGGUAUGGCAAAAGGCCAAAGUUGUCGUUUCUUAAAGUUUGGGGAUGUGAUGCUUAUGUCAAAAAGCUUCAGCCUGAAAAGCUGGAACCCAAAGCGGAAAAGUGCGUCUUCAUAGGUUACCCAAAAGAGACAGUUGGGUACACCUUCUAUCUCAAAUCCGAGGGCAAAGUGUUUGUUGCUAAAAACGGAGCUUUUCUCGAGAAGGAGUUUCUCUCGAGAGAAUUGAGUGGGAGGAAGAUAGAACUUGACGAGGUUGUCGAACCUCUCAUCCCUCUGGAUGGUGGCGCAGGGCAAGGGGAAACCUCUGUCGUUGCGACGCCGGUUGAAGAGGAAGUUAAUGAUGAUGAUCAUGAAACUCCGGUUCAAGUUUCUGUCAAACCACGCAGGUCGACGAGACCACGUGCUGCUCCAGAGUGGUACGGUAAUCCUGUCUUAUCAAUCAUGUUGUUAGACAACAAUGAACCUGCAAAUUAUGAAGAAGCAAUGGUGGGCCCAGAUUCCAACAAAUGGCUAGAAGCCAUGAAGUCCGAGAUAGGAUCCAUGUAUGAGAACAAAGUGUGGACUUUGGAGGUACUACCUGAGGGCCGCAAGGCUAUUCAGAACAAAUGGAUUUUUAAGAGGAAGACGGACGCUGACGGCAAUGUGACCGUUUAUAAAGCUCGACUUGUGGCAAAGGGUUUUUCACAAGUUCAAGGAGUUGACUACGAUGAGACAUUCUCACCCGUAGCGAUGCUUAAGUCCGUCAGAAUCAUGUUAGCAAUAGCUGCAUUUUUCGAUUAUGAAAUCUGGCAGAUGGAUGUCAAAACGGCGUUCCUUAACGGUUUCCUUAAGGAAGAGUUGUAUAUGAUACAACCCGAAGGUUUUGUCGAUCAUAAGAAUGCUAACAAGGUGUGCAAGCUCCAGCGAUCCAUUUAUGGACUGGUGCAAGCAUCUCGGAGUUGGAACAAACGCUUUGAUGAGGUGAUCAAAGCAUUUGGGUUUAUACAAGUGGUUGGAGAAUCUUGUAUUUACAAGAAAGUGAGUGGGAGCUCUGUGGCGUUUCUAAUAUUAUAUGUGGAUGACAUAUUGCUGAUUGGAAACAACGUGGAGUUUUUAGAGAGCAUAAAGGAUUACUUGAAUAUGAGUUUCUCUAUGAAGGACCUAGGAGAAGCUGCUUACAUUCUAGGCAUUAAGAUCUAUAGGGAUAGAUCAAAACGCCUGAUAGGACUUUCACAAAGCACAUACCUUGAUAAAGUUUUGAAGAGGUUCAAAGUGGAACAGUCCAAGAAAGGGUUCUUGCCAGUUUUACAAGGUACGAGAUUGAGUAAGACUCAGUGCCCAGCAACUGAUGAAGAUAGAGAGCAUAUGCGCUCCGUCCCCUAUGCUUCAGCCAUAGGUUCUAUCAUGUAUGCAAUGUUGUGCACAAGACCGGAUGUUAGCCUGGCCAUAAGUAUGGCAGGUAGGUUCUAGAGUAAUCCAGGAGUGGAUCACUGGACAGCGGUCAAGAAUAUCCUGAAGUACCUGAAAAGGACUAAGGAUAUGUUUCUCGUGUAUGGAGGUGACGAAGAGCUCGCCGUAAAAGGUUACGUCGAUGCAAGCUUUGACACAGAUCCGGACGACUCUAAGUCGCAAACCGGAUACGUAUUUAUUUUUAAUGGGGGUGCGGUAAGCUGGUGCAGUUCCAAGCAAAGCGUCGUAGCAGAUUCUACAUGUGAAGCGGAGUACAUGGCUGCCUCGGAGGCGGCUAAGGAGGGUGUCUGGAUGAAGCAGUUCAUGAGGAUCUUGGAGUGGUACCAAGCGCACUGAAUCCAAUAACCUUGUUCUGUGACAACACGGGUGCCAUUGCCUUAGCAAAGGAACCACGGUUUCACAAGAAGACCAGACACAUCAAACGACGCUUCAACCUCAUCCGCGACUACGUCGAGGGAGAAGACGUAAAUAUAUGCAAAGUGCACACGGAUCUGAAUGUAGCAGACCCGCUGACUAAACCUCUUCCACGGCCAAAGCAUGAUCAACACCAGAACUGUAUGGGUGUUAGAUUUAUUACAAUGUAAUUCACAUGAUGAUGUGAGGGCUAGAUUAUUGACUCUAGUGCAAGUGGGAGACUGUUGGAGUUAUGCCCUAGAGGCAAUAAUAAAUAUAGUUAUUAUUAUAAUUCCUGUAUCAAGAUAAUCGUUUAUUAUCCAUGCUAUAAUUGUAUUGAAUGAAGACUCAUUUACAUGUGUGGAUACAUAGACAAAACACCGUCCCUAGCAAGCCUCUAGUUGGCUAGCGAGUUGAUCAAAGAUAGUCAGUGUCUUCUGAUUAUGAACAAAGUGUUGUUGCUUGAUAACUGGAUCACGUCAUUAGGAGAAUCACGUGAUGGACUAGACCCAAACUAAUAGACGUAGCAUGUUGAUCGUGUCAUUUUGUUGCUACUGUUUUCUGCGUGUCAAGUAUUUAUUCCUAUGACCAUGAGAUCAUAUAACUCACUGACACCGGAGGAAUGCUUUGCGUGCAUCAAACGUCGCAACGUAACUGGGUGACUAUAAAGAUGCUCUACAGGUAUCUCCGAAGGUGUUCGUUGAGUUAGUAUGGAUCAAGACUGGGAUUUGUCACUCCGUGUGACGGAGAGGUAUCUCGGGGCCCACUCGGUAAUACAACAUCACACUCAAGCCUUGCAAGCAAUGUAACUUAGUGUAAGUUGGGGGAUCUUGUAUUGCGGAACGAGUAAAGAGACUUGCCGGUAAACGAGAUUGAAAUAGGUAUGCGGAUACUGACGAUCGAAUCUCGGGCAAGUAACAUACCGAAGGACAAAGGGAAUGACAUACGGGAUUAUAUGAAUCCUUGCCACUGAGGUUCAAACGAUAAGAUCUUCGUAGAAUAUGUAGGAUCCAAUAUGGGCAUCCAGGUCCCGCUAUUGGAUAUUGACCGAGGAGUCUCUCGGGUCAUGUCUACAUAGUUCUCGAACCCGCAGGGUCUGCACACUUAAGGUUCGACGUUGUUUUAUGCGUAUUUGAGUUAUAUGGUUGGUUACCGAAUGUUGUUCGGAGUCCCGGAUGAGAUCACGGACGUCACGAGGGUUUCCGAAAUGGUCCGGAAACGAAGAUUGAUAUAUAGGAUGACCUCAUUUGAUUACCGGAAGGUUUUCGGAGUUACCGGGAAUGUACCGGGAAUGACGAAUGGGUUCCGGGAGUUCACCGAGGGGGACAACCCACCCUGGGGAAGCCCAUAGACCUUGAGGGUGGCACACCAUCCCUUAGUGGGCUGGUGGGACAGCCCAAAAGGGCCCUAUGCGCCUAGGAAAGAAAAUCAAAGAGAAAAGAAAAGAAAAAAGGAGGUGGGAAGGGAAGGAAGGACUCCCACCCACCAAACCAAGUCCAACUCGGUUUGGGGGGGAGCCUUCCCCCUUGGACUCGGCCGACCCCCUUGGGGCUCCUUGAGCCCGAAGGCAAGGUCCCCUCCCUCCCACCUAUAUAUACGGAGGUUUUAGGGCUUAUUUGGGACGACUUUUCCACGGCAGCCCGACCACAUACCUCCACGGUUUUUCCUCUAGAUCGCGUUUCUGCAGAGCUCGGGCGGAGCCCUGCUGAGACAAGGUCAUCACCAACCUCCGGAGCGCCGUCACGCUGCCGGAGAACUCUUCUACCUCUCCGUCUCUCUUGCUGGAUCAAGAAGGCCGAGAUCAUCGUCGAGCUGUACGUGUGCUGAACGCGGAGGUGCCGUCCGUUCGGUACUAGAUCGUGGGACUGAUCGCGGGAUUGUUCGCGGGGCGGAUCGAGGGACGUGAGGACGUUCCACUACAUCAACCGCGUUCACUAACGCUUCUGCUGUACGAUCUACAAGGGUACGUAGAUCAGUCAUCCCCUCUCGUAGAUGGACAUCACCAUGAUAGGUCUUCGUGCGCGUAGGAAAAUUUUUGUUUCCCAUGCGACGUUCCCCAACAAUUUUAACAUCAAUUCACCGUAAUUUUACGUUUCAUAAUUUUUGUCUUAUUUUAUACGUAAAAAGAGACCAUAAAAUAAUAUAAUCAAUGUAAAAAAAAUUAUGUCACAUAAAACUACGUACAUACAAAACUAGUGCAAAAAAUACAAUAAAUUCAAUUUUUUCUGGUCUUGUGAUCUAUAUUUUUGUUUUCCUUUUAUCAAAUUUUACGUAGUGAUUCAAUAUAAAUGUAACUAUUUGUAUUUAAAAUUUAAUUUAUUUGUAAAUUGAUCGUAAGAUUAUCUCGGGUGAAGAAUAAACUAUUCUGCGUCCUGGGUGAUGAAUAGAGUUUCUAUAUAUAUAUAUAUAUAUAUAUAUAUAUGACAAAUUAUAUCUGNNNNNNNNNNNNNNNNNNNNNNNNNNNNNNNNNNNNNNNNNNNNNNNNNNNNNNNNNNNNNNNNNNNNNNNNNNNNNNNNNNNNNNNNNNNNNNNNNNNNAACAAAAUAGAUAAUAGUUUGGAUAGUCAAAAUUAUUAAUUAUGAAAAUAAGAAGUAGUUUUGCAUUAUUUAUUCAAUUUGAAACACUUUUCAUUAUCAUAGUUUUGUCAAAUUCUCAAAUAUGCAAAAAGAAUUUUUAAUAAACAUAGUUUUUAAUUGAAAAUAACAAAAUAGAUAAUAGUUUGGAUAGUCAAAAUUAUUAAUUAUGAAAAUAAAAAAUAGUUUGAACUAUUUAUUCAAUUUGAAACACUUUUCAUUAUCAUAGUUUUGUCAAAUUCUCAAAUAUGCAAAAAGAAUUUUUAAUAAACAUAGUUUUUAAUUGAAAAUAACAAAAUAGAUAAUAGUUUGGAUAGUAAAAAUUAUUAAUUAUGAAAAUAAAAAAUAUUUUUGCAUUAUUUAUUCAAUUUGAAACACUUUUCAUUAUCAUAGUUUUGUCAAAUUCUCAAAUAUGCAAAAAGAAGUUUUAAUAAACAUAGUUUUUAAUUGAAAAUGAAAAAAUAAGUUAAUAGUUUGGAUAGUCAAAAUUAUUAAUUUGGAAAAUAUAAAAUAGUUUUGAAUUAUUUAUUCAAUUUCAAACACUUUUCACUAUCAUAGUUUUGUCAAAUUCUCAAAUAUGCAAAAAUAAUUUUUAAUAAACAUAGUUUUUAAUUGAAAAUAACAAAAUAAGUUAAUAGUUUGGAUAGUCAAAAUAAUUAAUUUUGAAAACAGAAAAAAAUUGAAACUAUAUGAGAAAUCAUGGACAAAAUUCGACCUGAAUUCACUUUGAAUUCAGAUUGAAUUUUAUCCACAAUUUCGAAUUUAGUUUCAAUUUUCAGUAAGUUUAGGCUUGUAAGCCUGCUUUAAGGAGGGGCUCGAUGGACAAGCUGCGACGGGGCUUAUAAACAAGUGUUAGUCCCCCUCGCUGGGCGAGGUGGGACUAAACUUAUCGUGCAGCCGAGGANNNNNNNNNNNNNNNNNNNNNNNNNNNNNNNNNNNNNNNNNNNNNNNNNNNNNNNNNNNNNNNNNNNNNNNNNNNNNNNNNNNNNNNNNNNNNNNNNNNNAGAAAAUUCAAUCUAAAUUCAAAUGAGAAUUUAGAUUGAAUUUUCUCUAUGAUUUCGAAUAUAGUUUCAAUUUUAUUCUAUUUUCAUAAUUAAUAAUUUUGACUAUCCAAACUAUUAUCUAUUUUGUUAUUUUCAAUUAAAAACUAUGUUUAUUAAAAAUUCUUUUUGCAUAUUUGAGAAUUUGACAAAACUAUGAUAAUGAAAAGUGUUUGAAAUUGAAUAAAUAAUGCAAAACUAUUUUUUAUUUUCAUAAUUAAUUAUUUUGACUAUCCAAACUAUUAUCUAUUUUGUUAUUUUCAAUUAAAAACUAUGUUUAUUAAAAAUUCUUUUUGCAUAUUUGAGAAUUUGACAAAACUAUGAUAAUGAAAAGUGUUUGAAAUUGAAUAAAUAAUGCAAAACUAUUUUCUAUUUUCAAAAGUAAUUAUUUUGACUUCGUGUACAAAACGGACAAUCUCUCUCGAAGUAGGAGCGUUUCGAACGAGAACUCAUCUCUUACAAAGGGAUUUCAUUUUUUUGAACUAGUUGACCCUGAAAUUGAAAAGCACUACAAAUGAACUCUGAAAAUGUUGAAAGUUGGCAUGCUAUCAUCAUUUCACCCACAUAGCAUGUGUUAAAAAGUUGAGAGGGCUACGACAAAAACUGGAUGCACUUCGUAUACAAAACGGACAAUCUCUCUCGAAGUAUCAGGGUUUCGAACGAGAACUCAUCUCUUACAAAAGGAUUUCAUUUUUUUGAACUUAUUUGAACUCCAUACUUUUUGUGUGUUCAAAAUGCACCAUUCUAAGGCACAUCACAAAAUUUCAACANNNNNNNNNNNNNNNNNNNNNNNNNNNNNNNNNNNNNNNNNNNNNNNNNNNNNNNNNNNNNNNNNNNNNNNNNNNNNNNNNNNNNNNNNNNNNNNNNNNNUAAUGAGUAGCAUAUGUGUGUGUGUGUGUGUGAUUAAUGUCUCAAGUCUUACGAAAUAACCUACUAUUAUGUUUUCCCAGACAUGUGAAGUUUUAUGUGGAAAGAUGUAAUAAUAUUUAGCAGUUAGAGGAUGUAGAUCUCCAACUGUUAAUUGAAACGUAUUUAUCUUCUUGAAAGACACACACAAAAAGCAUGAUGUAAAAAACUGCAGAGUACUCUGUUUUCUUCAGCUGCUGAUGAUGCUCGAAAUUUUUGGAGUGGGUAUGAACAGACCCAGCCUGUCCUGUAUGAAGUAUGAACCCUUGUGAUUGAUAAAGCUUGGGCUUAGUGUAUGGAGAUGAUGAUGAUUGCAGAGGAAUUCAUGUCGACGAUGGUGUUCACACUUUUAUCUAUUUUUCCUAAGGCUAAAUUCUUGUAACCAUGAAUGUGAGUGUGUACCUGCAGUCUAGUGUUGCAUAUUUUUUUUUGAUAAAGGGCUUUUAUUGUUGAGUUGUUACGUUCCUUGUGCAUUACGCUGCCUUGUACUUAUCCACUGUAACCACCAUACCUGGUCCUGGGGAUGACCGCGGCACCACCUCCUCCAUAUCCCUGCAUGUAGGGAUCGGUGGUGACCCUUGGCGUAUAUAUGUGUAAUCACUUGAUGAGUAAAGUGUGUGCAUUGUUUCACAAUUCUUCUUGGUAAUCAGAGCUACCGAUCUAUGUCUUCUCACCCCAACUCUCCACCUCCUGGCACUGCUGCCGCCGUAGCAGCCUCUGCCUCCCCGGAACGCCCCCACGCGACUCUCUCUCCCGAUCUCACCUCUGCCCCACCCGUCCCCGGUGCCUUCUCCCUCUCUACUGCCCCGGCUGAGACCCUCCCUGCUCCACCACCCUCUCGCCUCCCUUCCAGCAUCUCCGACGUCGUUGAUUUCAAGCUGGCCCUUGAUGGCACGAACUUCAUCCGGUGGCGCAACUUCCUCAACCUCAUCCUCGCCUGCUACCACGCCGAAAACCAUGUCUAGGACGGUGCGGUCGACCGCCUCUCCAACCCACAGUGGCGCGACGACGACAACACAAUCGUGCUGUGGUUCUUUGCCACAGUGGACGGGGCUCUCCUCGACAUCGUCGCCCCGGCCGACUCCACCGCCUACACCAUCUGGAAGCGCCUCUACGAGUUCUUCCUCGCGAACGAGGCGGAACUCGCGAUGCAUCUUGGAUAGGAGUUCCGGGCGUGCGUUCGCGGCGACCUCUCCGUCAACGACUACUGUCGUCGUCUGCAGAACAUCGCCGCCGCCCUCGCCGACGUCCGCGAACCCGUCUCUGAUCGUACCUUGACGCUGCAGAUGCUCGAUGGCAUCGGGAAAAAGUUCGAGCUUCAGGCCGCCAUCAUCCAGUCCACUGUGCCUCUUCCCUCCUUCGCCCAGGCCCGCUCGCGCCUCGCCCUUUUGGAGCUCACCCUAGACAAGCGGGCGCGCGCUGAGGGCGCGCACGUGAUGGCUGUCCAUGAUGAGCGCGGCGGCGGAUGCGGCGACCGCGGGGAUCGUGGCGAUCGUGGUCGUGGCGGUGGCAACCCUCCUGGCGGUGGGCGCGGCGGCGACAACCAAGGCGGCGCUCCCUACGCCGGUCGCGGUGGCGGCAACCGUGCUGGUGGUGGACGCGGGCGCGGCCGUGGCCGCGGCCGCGGUGAUGCCCCUCCAGUGGCGGUCGCGGCUCCCACCAGCAGCCCUGGCUGGGGUACUUUGCCCCUGUCGGGAUGCCGUUCCCACCGCCCCGCGCGCCGUGGAUCCCGCCCAACUUGGCCGGCAUCCUUGGUCCUCGUCCCGGCGCUCCGACGCAUGCCUACCCGGUGGUCCAGUCGACCGCGCCGCCUGUCCCCUACUCCGGCUCACCUCCCACUUGGGACGCGACGACCAUGUACCACGCUGCACCGAGAUAUGGGCCUACUUUUUCCCCUCAUGCCGAGUGGAUCAUGGACACAGGGGCUUCUUCCCACAUGACCGGGGACCCAGGUAUUCUGAUCAAGUCUCAUCCUUUAUUAGCGUCUCAUUCUCGCCACAUUAUUGUCGGUAAUGGGGCUCGCCUCCCGGUCGUCGCCAUUGGUAACGCCCGUCUUUCUUCUCGACCCUUCUACCUCACUCACAUUCUCCUCUCCCCCAACAUUGUCCAAAACCUCAUUUUCGUGCGUCAAUUCACUCGUGACAAUUUAUGUUCUGUGGAGUUUGACCCUUUUGGUUUUUCCAUGAAGGAUCUUCGCACCAAGGUGGUCCUUGUGAGGUGCAAUAGCUCCGGUGACCUCUACCGCGUCUCCCACGUCUCAGGCACUCCUGGUAGCGCUACACCGGUGGCCCUCGCUGCUACCUCAUCGGAUCUUUGGCAUAAGAGGCUCGGGCACCCGAGCUCCUCCACCCUAGUUUAUUUUCCCUUUGAUGUUCCUUCAAGAUUUAAUAAAACCCCCUUGUCACCCCUUUGUACUGCCUGCCAUUUAGGCAAGCACACACACCUUCCCUUCCCCACCUCUACUUCCUACACCACCGCGCCAUUUCAGCUCUUACAUUGUGACUUGUGGACCUCUCCCAUUGUUAGUUUUUCCGGCUAUAAAUACUAUCUUGUUAUUUUGGAUGAUUACACGCAAUACUCUUGGACUUUCCCCCCUUCAUGCCAAAUCCGAUACUUGUGCCACUUUGCAGCGCUUCUUCGCUUACGUUCUCACUCAGUAUCACGUCACUAUCCGCUGUUUGCAGUGCGACAAUGGCGGUGAGUUCCUCACCACGGUGCUCCGCGACUUCUUCUCCUCCCAUGGCAUCACGUUUCGUCUUACCUGCCCCCAUACAUCCCCACAAAAUGGCAAAGAGGAACGCCAUAUACGCACUACUAACGAUGUUAUCCGGACUCUCCUCUUCCAAGCACACCUCCCUCCGCCAUUUUGGGUCGAAGCCCUCCAUACCGCCACCACCCUCCUUAACAUCCGCCCAUCCCGUGCCAUCCACCACUUCACCCCCACUUCCUUCUCUAUGGCGAACAUCCCACCUACGAUCACUUGCGCACCUUCGGAUGUCUUUGCUUUCCAAACCUCUCAGCCACUGCGCCACACAAACUUUCUCCACGAUCCACACGCUGCGUCUUCCUUGGCUACCCACGCGAACAGAAGGGCUGUCGCUGCUUCGACCUCUCAUCUUGCAAAGUUAUUACCUCUCGCCAUGUCGUCUUUGACGAACACAACUUUCCUUAUAUCUCCUCUUCGCCUGCCACAGAAGAUCUGGCCACUAUCCACCCUGUUCCCCCCGCUCCAACCGGAUCUCUGGCGCCUGCCCAACCAGCUUCGCUCCCGCCUACCGCGCCUCGCCCGCCGCGCCCUCUGGGCCCCGCUGCCCAUGCACCACAUGCAACCUCCCCACCUGCAUGUCCGCGUCCCCUGCCUCCCCAUGCACCACAUGCCCUGCCUCCCCCCAUGCGCGCACUAGGCCCUGCCUCGCCUGCCGCUUCCCCACCUACUCCACCUCGUGACCCGCGCGUGUCGGUUACGCCCGCGCACACACCGCGUCCUCACCCCACGUCCUGUAGCUCCUCGAGCCCCACCACCCAUGCACGCCAUGCAGCUUCCCGCGCUGCCCGCCCGCCCGACUUGGCCUCCUCCACCACCCCACUACGCCCUACGUCUCCCUCGGCGCCUCCCAUCACACCAGCUUCCCCGCCCAGCUUUCCUGCUGCUGUACCGCCUUCCUCGCUACCACCUGCUGUUGUGCCCAUCUCUCCGCGCCACCACCCUCAUCCCAUGAUCACUCGGGGCAAACGCGGGUUUACCAUGCCUAAGCAACAUUUCGACCUGUCCGUUACCACCGCCCCUUCGCCCCUUCCCUCCUCCUACCACCCCGCCCUCCGUGAUCCCCAUUGGCACGACGCGAUGUUGGAUGAGUAUAAUGUGCUAAUACAGAAUGACACUUGGUCUUUGGUGCCUUGUCCUGCAGGUGUUAACGUGGUGACGGCAAAUGGAUCUUCUGUCAAAAACUCCGUCCCGAUGUGUCGGGGGAUAACUCCGGGGUAGGCUCAUCGAGCCUAUUCCUUCAUUCCUGGCCCAAUGGGCAUGAAGGCGCAGAGAUUCUCAAGGCCCAAGUCUUCUAACCGGCUAGGCAUCCCCUGCCGGCUGGAAGACGAGGCGACCACCUUUCUGGCCGGCCAGGCAACCCCUGCCGGCUAGAAUCCAGGCGGCCUCCCCUUCGGACCCGGCCUGGUCCCGCCAGCCGGGCUAAGGAGGAGGCGGCCACCCUCAAGCUGUCUGACCAAGCAGGCUAGCCGACCGAGGAUCACCAGUCACAUCAGAUCGUAGGUCAGGAAAGGACCUCACGAUUAAAGGUAGCUACGCGUCAGCAAAGGUACUGAAUCAGGGCGCCCGGCUGGUACGAGCGUCGGUGGCCACGCCGCUGACCUACCCCGGCUCUGAUCCAUCACCUAGCCUGAUGUCGGACCGUCACACUCCCACUCCAUUACUGCACUCGGCGUGGGGAACAGUGGAGGCGGUCGUACUGCCUGCCCAUGAAGAAUCUCGCGGGGCGACGCUCGACGUACAGCGUGUGCUCAGCGUCAACCUUACGCGGGAGCCCCAUUGGCCAGCUGGCGGGUCCCACAGCAAUCGAGACCAUGCAGCCGGCGGGCCCCUCAUCGACAAGACAAGACCCUUGUGGGCCCCUGGCCAGCCGGCGAAGCAGCCAGCCGAGUCCCACGCAUGUACCCUUUAUCCAUAUUGUAGGCCGGCGGGUUCGUCUAUAAAACCCCCCGGCCGCCCCCGAUGCAAGGAGGCCGAUCACUUACCAGUCAUUCAACACUACACACUCACCAACCAACAGAGAGCGAGGUAGAGACGAGUCGGCUGCUCCCCUCUUCCUCCUCCCAACACAGCUCCAGGAGCAACAUUGUACUAUGUUCCCAUACAUCAAACACACAAGCAGGAUUAGGGGUAUUAUCUCUACGGAGAGCCCUGAACCUGGGUACAUCGUGCGUCCCAUGCGUGUACCAACCUCGUUCCCAGCGCCCACCUUUGUCCCUUCGGUUCUCAUCGACUUUAGCCUACCUAUGUCAUAUGUUGUGAGUAUUCACCAACAUUUGGCGCCCACCGUGGGAACGAUCGCGGCAUCGGCUGGCUUCACGCGCUGGGCGGGGGCCCGCACCUACACCACCGGAUGCAUCGCGUCCGGAUCAGUUUGCAUGCCCGUGGAGCUCGCUUUCGACGAGGCGACGCUCAUGAUGAUCGACGUCCCCGUCCGCCAUGCGGAUUCGGACGAAGAUUCAGAUGACGAGGCGCUCCCUAGCGUCGCCGUCGCUGCUAUGGAGAACCUCAGCGUUCUCUUCAGCGAUCUUCGCCUCAACGACGGCCCAUGCUACUUCGGCGAGGACUACGACGUUGAGGCGCUCUGCGCCAGCUUCAGCAUGCUCUCUAUCGCUGAGACGCCUGCCCACUACGUUUACCCCAGUAACGUCCUCAUCUUCGAUGGCCCUUCACCGUCGGUGGGGUUCUUCACCCCAUACCACGUCGCUGCCGUCUCCAACGCCGCGGAGGUGAUGGUUAUCGGCGCCGGCACCGGCACGUCUCCCCGCAAGGCCUCCGCGGGCGCUAGCGAGCCCGCUGUGGCCGCCGCAGACACUCUUCGGGAUGCCAUCGUCGGCCUGAAGACACCGGUCACUGCUUCCGCCGACCCUGCAGACGCUCGGGCCUCACUGGAGGAGGCUCGCAAGCGUAUCUUGGAGGAGGGCAUCGCCGUGGCCUCGGCAAAACGUCGGCUGGAGGCUACACAUCGUGAGUAUAACUCCGCAUAUGGUCUUACUCCGAUUUCCGAGGCCCCCAGCCGGCUUGGAUCGGUCCGCAGUCGCGGACGAUUCGUCGCCGAGGUUCUAGGCGGGGACCUGCCCACCUACGAGACUCCUGCGGCCAACAUGCGGGCGGGACAGGCGGCCAUGGAGGAGAUGGCAAGCUUCGAAGGCGAGGAGUGCCCCUUCCAGGAGAUGCGUGUCAAGGAUCUCCUUGACGCUGCUACCCAGCAGUACGCUCGGUUCGACCCUGGCCAGGCUCAUUCAGAGUCCCCGGGACCAAACUCGGGAGCUCGCCGCAACCCUAGCGGCCAGCACCACGCCGAAGGAUCUUCCUCGCAUCGCCCUUCCGGCUGGAGGGGCGAGGGAAGCCAAGGCCGGCGCUCGCAGCACCAGAGCGAGCACACUUCAGGCCUACGUCGCGGAGGCAACGAGGGCGACUCGGAGUACGGGGAUCUUCCCCCGCGAAGAACUCACGCAUCCGGCUCCCGAGGAGCCUCCCCUCUCGCCACCAGGGCUGGCGCCCCCGCCUCCUAGAACGAGCGGGACGCCCGCCGCCGUAUCAUCGCCCUGGCCCAUUCGGCCCUCCUAGAGGAAGACGGACCCGUCGGUCCGGCUUGCUUCGGCCCCCGGAUCCGAGGGGAGCCGUUCCCCCGAGGUUUCACCCUACCUCGGGAUACGCUGAAAUACAACGGCACGGCCAAGCCAGAAGAUUGGCUGAUCGACUACACCACGGCCAUAGGCAUCGCCAGGGGCAACAAGCGUGUAGCGGUUCGCUACGUGCCACUCGUGCUGGCCGGCUCGGCUCGGACCUGGCUUAACAGCCUCCUGGCCGGCAGCAUCAACUCCUGGGUGGACUUCGAGGAGGCGUUCGUCCGCAACUUCACCGACACCUACAAGCGCCCUGGUCGGCCUCGCGAGCUGGCCAUGUGCGUCUAGAAGGCCGACGAACCCCUCGGCGACUACGUCACCUGGUCGACCGAGCUCCGCAACUCCUGUGAGGGGGUGCAUGAGGUACAAGCCAUACAGUAAUUCAUUGACGGAUGCCGAGACGGCACCCUCCUCAAGCACAAGCUCAUGUGCGCCGAGCCCACCUCCUUGGCGGUGCUCAUGGCCAAGGCGGACAAGUACGCCACGGCGGACUCCGCAAUGUGCAUCAAGGUGACCGCCUCGGAAAAGGUUGUGCCUGCGCCGGCUACUCCCAAGCCGGCUGGGGACAACCGAGGCGGACAGAACAACUACAAGCGCAAGGCGGAUCAGAUGGCUAACAACAAGCUAGUGGCCAACAUGGAGGGAGAGGCAUCGGCUUCCCAAGCCAGCCCUCCACGAAAGUGUCGCAAUCAGGGCGACCCCAACUGGCUGCCCAAGCAGUCUCUCGAGCAGCUGCUCGACGCCCCCUGCAAGAUACAUUCGGGGGCGGCGCCGUCUACCCAUACCCUUGGAUAGUGCAGCGUUGCACGCUGGCUGUCGCAAGGGGAGGGCCUGCCGGCUCCUCCGGGUGCGCAGGCGGCGCCCCGUGCACCGGCUCCCCAUCACGCUCCUCUUCCGCCGCCGCCGCCUCGCGACGACGGCCCACACCAUGACGACUACCCGCAUCAAGAUAGAGCGUUCGUCAUCUUCACCAGUGAAGGCGACGACAAGCACAACCUGCGCCAAAGGUGGCACGAGGUAAACGCCACUGUCCCCCCGGUUCCCCAGUACAUGCAUUCGUCUAACAAACCAAUUACAUGGAGCCGGGUGGACCACCCUGCCGUGAUGCCCAACCCGGGGUCAUACGCACUCGUCGUCGACCCCACCUUCGCCUCGAAGAGGCUCACCUGCUGAUUCUCCCGGGUGCUGGUCGACGGUGGCAGCAGCAUCAACAUCCUCUACCUCGACACUCUCCGCAAGCUUGGGCUCAAGGAGACGGACGUCCUUCCAACCAGCACUGUCUUCCAUGGCAUCGUGCAUGGGCGGUCGUGCUCGCCCAUCGGCAAGAUCCAGCUGGACGUCCUCUUCAGCGACAAGGCCCACUUCCGUCGCGAGUUCAUAUGGUUCGAGGUGGUGGACCUCAGCAGCCCGUAUCACGCGCUGCUGGGGAGACCGGCUCUGGCCAAAUUCAUGGCUAUCCCGCACUACGCCUACCUGAAAAUGAAGAUGUCGGGUCCCAAGGGCAUCAUCGCUGUUGUUGGCGACUACAAGAAGUCGCUCGAGUGUGCCCAAGAUAGCAGCCGCCUCGCCGACGCCUUGGUGAUUGCCGAGGAGAAGCGGUAGAUUGACCGGCUCGUGGCCCAGGCUACCGAGCAGCCGGCGAUUCCUUCUCCUCUGUCCCAAUCGGCCGGCGAGGGCUCUUUCAAGCCGGCUAAAGAGACCAAGCAGGUCCCACUCUACCCUGCCAACCCAAAGCAGUGCAUCACCAUCGGGGCUGGCCUCAGCCCCAAAUAGAAAGGCGAGCUCGUCGACUUCCUCCGUGAGAAUCGGGACAUCUUUGCAUGGUCCCUCAAGGACAUGCUGGGUGUUCCGAGGAAGUACGCCGAGCAAAAACUUCACGUGCGACCGGAUGCAAAUCCGGUGAAACAACCUUUGCGCCGCUUCGCCGAGGGGAAGCGGCGCACAAUCGGAGAAGAGAUCACCCGGCUCCUUGCAGCUGGCUUCAUCAUGGAGGUUUUACACCCGGACUGGCUGGCGAACCCAGUCGUGGUGCUGAAGAAGAACAACACAUGGCGAAUGUGCAUCGACUACACUAGCCUGAAUAAGGCCUGUCCGAAAGACCCUUUCGCGUUGCCUAGGAUAGAUCAAGUAAUCGACUCCACUGCAGGCUGUGAACUACUGUCAUUUCUUGAUGCUUAUUCAGGCUACCAUCAAAUCAAGGUGGAUCCAGCUAAUUGCCAGAUGACCUCCUUCAUCACGCCCUUCGGGGCCUACUGCUACACCAACAUGAUGUUCGGUCUGAAGAACGCAGGUGCGACGUUCCAACGCUGCAUGCAACAGUGCCUACUUCCACAGAUUGGCAGAAACAUCCACGUCUAUGUAAAUGACAUCGUCGUCAAGACGAAGCAGCACUUCAGCCUCCUCGACGACCUGCGAGAGACAUUUGCCAAUCUGCGCGAAUACAAGAUCCGGCUCAAUCCUGAGAAGUGCGUCUUCGGGUCCCAGGCGGCAAACUCUUGGGGUUCUUCGUAUCCGCCCGCGACAUCGAAGCGAACCCUGAGAAGAUCAGCACCAUCGAGCGGAUGGUGCGGUCGGCUCGGAUGCUCGAUGUCCAGAAGUUUGCCGGCUUCUUGGCAUCCCUCAGCCGGUUCGUCAGCCGGCUUGGCGAGAAGGCCCUUCCACUCUACCAGCUCAUGACGAAGACGGCGAAGUUCGAGUGGAACGACCAGGCGGACGAAGCCUUCCGCGACCUCAAGCGGGUAAUCUCGAGCCUGCCAAUCUUGGCAGCCCCAUGUGAAAGGGAAACCAUACUCAUAUAUAUCGCGGCGACCACUCGCGUGGUCAGCGUAGUGUUGGUAGUUCAGCAUAAAGAGGAAGGCAAGGCCCUGCCAGUACAGCGCCAUGUCUACUACCUUAGCGAGGUCUUGUCCGCCUCUAAGCAGAACUACCCUCAUUAUCAGAAAAUGUGUUAUGGUGUUUACCUUGCUGCAAAGAAAUUAAAAUAAUACUUCCAAGAGCAUGCCAUCACUGUGGUGAGCACGGCUCCACUAUCAGAGAUCAUGGGCAACCGUGAUGCCACGGGCAGAAUUGCCAAAUGGUCCAUCGCCAUGGCGGACCAGGACAUUCAGUACGAGCCUCGCACCGUCUCCAGACUCCACGCAUUGGCGGAUGCACUUCGACGGCUCGAAGAUGCGGACGGGACUGGGAGCCGGCAUCAUCUUGACGUCUCCGAAAGGGGACCAGCUUAAGUACGCUCUCCAGAUCCACUUCGCCGCCUCCAACAACGUCGCCGAGUACGAAGCACUGGCCCACGGCCACCGGCUUGCCAAGGAGAUUGGCAUCCGGCGGCUCAUAUGCUUCGGCGAUUCGGACUUGGUGGUGCAGCAGGUCUCUGGCGAGUGGGACGCCAGGGACGCCAACAUGGCAAGCUACCGCUUCCUCAUCCAGCAGCUCAACGGCCCCUUCGAGGGUUGUGAGUUCCACCAUGUUCCCAGGGCAGACAAUGAGGUGGCAGAUACGCUAGCAAAGAUCGGCUCCACAAGGGAGGCCAUCCCGGCCGUCGUCUCCCUCGAGCAACUCCACAAGCCGUCUAUCAAGCCGUCUCUGGAGUCGGCAUCAAUCUUCGUACCAGCCGACUCCAUGAUACAAGCGCCGCCGGCUCCGCCAGUUAUGUCGGCUGCGGACCCCAUGCCGGUUGCACUGACGGCUCCGACUCCAAAUGCGGCACCGACUAAGUCUAUGGUGCAAGCGCCGUCGGCUCCACCAACUACGUAGGCUUCAGAUCCUAAUCCGGCUCCAUUGGUCCACCCGACUCCAACAACGACAACCCCGGCUCUGCCCGGGUUCGAAUCCUCCCAGUGGGUGGACGUCAUGGAGAUAGACGAGGAGCCGGCUGCAGCAAUAGCACCAAAGACGCCAUCAAGCUCGGGGGCUGCAGAAGCCCCCAACAGUCAAGACGAAGCGGAGGCGACCCUUGUGUCGGCUCCAUUAUGGGCUCAGGCCAUUCUGGCCUUCCUUCUUCGCGGCGAACUUCCUCAAAAUGAGGCGGAGGCGAGACAGACCCAGCGCAGGUCCACCGCGUACGCCAUCAACAAUCGCGAGCUGGUGCGACGCAACACGACCGACGUGUUCCAACGUUGCGUCGAAUCAGAAAAAGGGCAGGAGAUCCUUAGAGACAUCCACCAGGGGGAGUGUGGGCAUCAUGCCGCCUCCAGAACCCUGGUGGCCAAAGCAUUCCGCCAUGGAUUCUACUGGCCCACGACCCUCGAGGAGGCUGUGGAUCUGGUGGACAAAUGUGAAGGCUGCCAACGCUUCAGUGCACAGAGCCAUAUGCCGCCUUCAACACUGAAAACCAUCCCCUUAUCUUGGCCAUUCGCCGUCUGGGGACUGGACAUGGUUGGGCCCUUCAAGAGGGCUCGCGGAGGGAUGACACAUCUUUUGGUAGCCGUCGACAAGUUCACCAAGUGGAUCGAAGCCAGGCCUAUCAAGAAGCUUGACGGCCCCACUCCUGUCAGGUUUAUCUCGGACAUCUCUGUCCGAUAUGGCGUUCCCCACAACAUCAUCACCGACAACGGCACCAACUUCGCCAAGGGCGCCCUGGCGUUCUACUAUUCCAAGGUAGGCAUCCGGCUCGACCUGGCCUCGAUGGCACACCCCCAGUCAAACGGCCAAGGGGAGAGGCCCAACGGCCUGAUCCUAGCCGGCAUCAAGCCAAGGCUGGUGGCACCACUGGUCAGGUCAGCCGGUUGCUGGAUCGAAGAACUGCCGGCUGUGCUAUGGAACCUCCGCACCACGCCCAACCGGUCGACCGGCUUCACUCCAUUCUUCCUGGUAUACGGGUCUAAGGCUAUCAUCCCCACGGAUAUCGAAUUCGACUCGCCUUGGGUCACCCUAUACACAGAAACGGAGGCGAAGGAGGCCAGAGAGGACGGUGUGGAUCUCCUCGAGGAAGCAAGGGACUUGGCUUUGAGCCGGACGGACAUGUACCAACAGAAGCUGAGAUACUACCAAAACAAAAGGAUCAGGCCUCUCUCUUUCAGAGAGGGAGACUUGGUCCUCAGAAGAAUCCAGCGCACUGUCGGCCGGCACAAGCUCUCACCCCCUUGGGAGGGACCCUUCAUCAUCAGUAGGGCGUUACACAACAACGCUUACUACCUGAUUGAUGCCUAGAAGCCAAGGAAGCGCAAGAGGGACGACUCUGGCCAAGAAACGGAGCGCCCAUGGUACGCGGCGUUGCUUCGCCCGUUCUAUUGCUAAAAGGCAGAAGACAAGAAAAGGAAAGAGCAUGCACAUGUAUCUUCCUCCCUCUUCAGGGAACAAAGAAGGCAAUAAAAAGGACAUGCUCCAUGUUUCUUUUUGUCAAGAGUUCUCACUCACGUGUACGGGCUACACAACGUACCACCUCUUGCUGGCUUGCUCAAGCUCGGAGGCUACGCGGCGCGGCCCCUUGCUAGCUUUAAACAAGCUCGGGGGCUCGCCAGCUGCCUGAACGGUCAAACCCUUAUAACGGACACAUAGUGUAUCGGCUAACCCCUGGUCCGUCGCUUGAACCUGCGGGCUGACUCUGGUCGCUCGGUUCGCGAUAUGACGCCAGGUAAGGUCAAAUACAUGCAAAGUCCGGCUAUACUUGGGACGUCCGGCUCGGGCCGGCUCGAUCGUAUAUACGAUCUCCUUCAAGACUCAAGACGGCCUCUGAUUGCCGAGACUCAAGACGGCCUCUGACUCCCGAGAACCACAAAUAUGGUGAAAAAAGCAGGCUCCAUGCUUUCUCUUGCUAAAAGAGUUUUCACUCAGUGUACGGGCUACACCGCGUACCACCUCUUGCUGGCUUGCUCAAGCUCGGAGGCUACGCAACGCGGCCCCUUGCUAGCUUUAAACAAGCUCGGGGGCUCGCCAGCCGCUCGGACAGUCAAUCCUUGUAGUCGGGCACAUAGUGUACCGGCUGAUUCCCGGUCCAUCGCUUGAACCUGCGGGCAGGCUCCGGUCGCUCGGUUCGCGAUGUGACGCCGGGUCAGGUCGAAUACAUGCACAGUCCGGCUAUACUAGUGACGACCGGCUCGAGUUGGUUCAUUCAAGUCGGCCUCUGAUUGGCUUAUGUCUUGUUCUUUAUGUCUUGAUGGCUUCGGAUAAGAGAAGUCAACCAGGAAUCAAAAGACGGGAUCAUAAGACAACACGCUUGGUGACGAAUAUAAUGCUGAAUAUAUACAUUCAUAAAAAGCAUUGGCCCACGGCCCACGUUCGUUACAUCCCUCCGGGGGUAGAACCAAAAACACAAAAGGACACGAGUAACGGGAAAGCGGCCUCAGUGGUCGUCUCGGCUGCUGCUCCUGAUGUGGUAACAUCGCCGCCUCAGGCUUCUCCCGAGGUGGAUGCGUCGUCUCCCUCAUUGCGGCCCCCGGCUCCGCUGAUCCCGGAGUCGGCAUACGCCCCACCGCUGGAGGCGGCUGCAGAUUCCGCAGCCCGGGCCACCUUGUCGGAGCAGCCAUCGGCGUCGUAGGGCUGAAGGCCGUGCAGAUCCUCAGCGAUCACACCGCCGUCUUCACCCAGCUCCAAGACGAAGUCGUCCCAGGCUGCGUACUCAGCCACGACGUUGGCCCUCACCGGGAGCUCCUCCUCCAGGCCUUGCAACUCCGCCUCUGAGCCAUCGCGCUGGGCAGCCAGCUUGCCCAAGUUCAGGUUGCGAUACCAUGACUUGGCCAAGCGCAGGUCCAUAUAAGCCCCAGACCACGCUGCGGAGGCUCGCCAGGCGUCCAGGCGCUCUUCACCCGCCGCGAGCCAACGGGCAAGACGGCUUAUGGUCAUCGGCUCCACGCCCACCUGCCACAGGGCCGUCACCAUCGACGAACCCGCAACUUGGAGCUGAGUCACAGACUCGCCCAGGACGUGUAAGCGGGCCCGAAGCCCCACACCAAUCUCCUCGAUGCUCCAGCCGGAGGUAGUAUCUACCACCUGCCCGGCCGCGCGGCGCUCCUCGCGGCACACCUCAACGGCGGUGUCGGCUGCGACCUGGGUCUCGGAGAAGAGAUCUGGGGUAAAGACAACCAGGACGUAAGAACACAGCAAGAGGAGGAGACAGCCAAAAAAACCAAACGCAAAACAAGGAAAGGAAACCUACGCUGGUAGGCACCGUCGGUCUCAUGAAAGACCUCGAGGACCUCACGCUCCCGCACCUCACUCGCAUGAGUGAGGCGGGCGAUUUCCUCCUGGAGGGUCGCGGCGGACUCCAGCGCCUUACCCAGAUGCACUUGCUUCUGGGUAAGGGCUUCAUCCUUCGCCCUCAACGCGGCGUCCUUGAGGUUCGCCUCCUCAAGAUGGAGCGACGCGAGGCGGUCCAUGUCAGGAGAGUAAGAGGCCUCCUUCUCCUGCAGCAUGGCCCGCAGCCGCUCCAGCUCGACCCGACUGGCCGCCUCGAGCUCCUUCUUCUCCGGCUGAAGAAGGUCCAGCUGCUCUUGGAGCUGGCCGCCGGCUUCGCGAAGGGCAUCACGCUCCGCGGCGGCCUCGCCUAGCCGGACUUCAAGCUCGGCGAUCCGGCGAUCAGCCCCCAGGUGCUGGUCCCGAAGCUCGUUGUACGCCUGUACCUGAGCAUCGUAUAGCGCCUGUCAAAGGGGAGAGAAAGGGAACAUGAUUACGAUUCGAGUGGGUUAAAAGGAUAACCAGCCCGAUUCUCGGGGGCUACACCCAGUGGGUGCGCUUGCGCGCCCCCACUGAAGAAAAAUAUGCAGAAGAAAAGGCCUCCAAGAGAUUCAAACCGGUUGGCAAUCGACCCGCCCGAUUCUCGGGGGCUACACCCAGUGGGUGCGCUGUCGCGCCCCCACUGACGUCAAGAGAAGAGAAAAAAGUGCAAAGAAAAACCAAAAAAGGCAAGGCCUACCUGGGUACAGGCUUCCAGGUGCUCCAUGUCGCCGCAUACCACGCGGGCCGCCUGCUCCACCUUCGACCGGCCGCUGCCAAACAGAGUCACCAGCUCCGGCAUGCCGGAAAGAACGGUGCCGGCGGGCAUUCGCAGGCGGGCCGCAUUCGCCGCCCACCAUGACUUCAUGGGCCGGCUCGCAGGCCGGCCCCCUGCCCUUGGCGCGACAGGGCCCUGCUGGGGGACGACGAUGGCGCCGGCUCCUGGUGCCGGCUCAACGGCCGGCUCGGGCGCCGCCCCAGCCGGCGCUACCUCCUCCACACGAGGCGGAUGAGCCACGUCCGACGCAUCCAUGGUUGCCCCUGGGGCGUCAGGGGCUGCGUUUGGCGCGGCCAGAUCCAGCACCGGCUCCAGGUCCACCUGCUCUGGGGAGAAACCGGGAUCGUCUCCAGGUCCACCUGCUCCGGCGCUGCUGGCUCAGGCGGCUGGGUCCCUUCAGUCCUCGGGGUCGGCCUCGAAGCGGCCUCGCUAGCUGCCUCCUCCACACGAGCGUGUGCGGAUGGGUCCUGUCUAGCCUUCGCACGCUUCUCCGCCUGCCUCUCGACCCGGCUGGGGCAAGUCUGAUCCACGGCAGCCUUCCCCACAGCUGUGUGCCACCGGCGCUUGGACUCUAUCUCCAGCUCCCUAUCGGCAGCAUCAGCUGUUGCCCAGCCGGCCCGCUCGGCCGCGGAGGCGGUGUCUUCAUCCGCAUCCUCCGCCUCCCUGUCAAGCCAAGCUUCUCAGGAACAAAGUUCAUCUCAAGAUAUGGAAGGGAGAAGAGGAGGAAACCAUACCCGACAACUACCGGGACCUGCCUCCGGCAACCGCCACGGCGCCUCUUGGUGCCGCCUGCUCGCUGCCCGGCUAGGGGACCCGGCGCCGGUCGCUUAGAGGCCGGCCGGGAAGUUGUGUCACCAUUGCCCUUCUUCCCGGCUGCCUCGUCAGCAGCGGUUGCUCCGCCACCUUGACACCGGUCGCGCGACGGUAGUGGGCCGGUGACCUCCUCCACCUCGUCGGAGUCUCCCUCGAACGCUGCAUCAGAGAAGAAUGAGGCUUCCUCAUCGUCGUCCGUCCAGUCUGCCACGGCGUGCCGCGGGUACUCACUAGACGGCUCGGUCCCUUCUGACUCCAGGGAAUCUCCCGAGCUGGCGGAGGAGUCUGAGCGGGGCUCCAUCGCAUCCUCGUCCUCCAUCUCGGAGGCGCCGUGCGCCUCCACAUCAGGAGCAGGCGGACGGAGGGACCCCUGCAUGGUUUGGAACAUCUACUAGAAAGGAAUUCAAGUAGGCUCAGCAAACGCCACCGGCUUCAGAACAAAACGACAGAAAAGAAGGGAGAAAGGCUACCACCAGAGGCGGAUGAGACCGGUUGAACAGGGCCAUCCCCAUGUCCAUUCCCCGCCCUCAUCCAUGCGGGUGGUGGAGAUCAGGUUCACCCUUCGCGCCACAGCACCCGGGGUGAACCUAUUGAUGGACAGCCGGCAUGGAUCAAGCCGGCCGCUCAUCUGGCAGACCAGAUGCGGCCGCCUUUGCAGAGGCAGAAUCCGGCGGACCACCAUGGUGGCAAGAAGGUCGCGGCCGAGGAGGCCGCUCUCCCUCAAGACAUCAAGGUAGGCGCGAAUAGGCGCCACCUCAGGAUGCGGCUUGGGAGUCUUCGCGUCCCAAUUUUUCCACGUCGGAGGGGCGAUGGUGAACGGGGGCAUGUUGAGAGCGUCCUGGGACGGGUCGGUGCUCCUCACGUAGAAGAACCCCUUCUGCCAAUGCUUGACGGAGUCUUGCAAAGGCAUCUGGGGAAAGCCGAACUUCGGGCGGUGAUGCACCAACGCAGCCCCGCACGGCGUCAUGGGGUGCGGCCCCUUGAGCUUCUCCACCUCAGAUUUUUCCAUGUCGAUGGAUUGCUGCUUAAAAAAGAACAGGUUGCGCCACAGAUCGACGCGAGACUCGAUUCCCACGAAGCCCUUGCACAGGACCACGAAGGCGGCCAGCUGCAGUAUGGCGUUCGGCGCCAAAUGAUGCGGUUGCAGGCCGAAGAACUGGAGCCACUCGGUGAAGAAUGAGCUAGCCAGGAGCCCGAAACCCCGGUAGAAGUGCUCGGCGAAGACCACAACCUCUCCCACGAGAGGCGCGGGAGAGACCUCGGAGCCAGGAAGGCGCACCGACACUUGGGAGACCGGGGGCAGCAGACGAUGAUGAUGGAGCGCAUCAAUGAGCUCCUCGUCGACAUCGCUGCCCAGCCAGGCCCCGUGCAAGGACGCCUGCUGCGCUGUCGACUUCCUCCAUGAAGAUCUACCGGCCAUGGCUGCGGGUGGCGAGAGCUCGGAGCGGUCGGCGGAGGUCUCGGCGGCGAAGAAGAAGGAGACAAAGGGCGCGAGCUCUUCCUCUUAGGACGCAAGGAGGAAGAAAGCAUGGAGCAGGGCAAGAAGAGGGGGCGAAUGGCCUCCUUGAAGCCCUCGCGUCCCAUUUAAACGCCACGAAGCGUCGUGGGGAGGGGAUCCAGUGCGCGCCGGCCCCAUUCAUUCCGUGUAUUACGGGCGGUAACGCCCCCAAAGCCCAACCAUCGCGGAGUAAAUCCGCAGAGGAUCUCCCGUGCGGAGGCCGAGGGGGCAUCGUGGCGGGACCCAGGGCCCAGGCCCGGUCCCGUCAGCAGUAAUUGCCAUCAUUACGCGCCUGGCACGUGGCGCUCUCCGCGCCAGUUACGACUAGACCGAAGCAUCACUUCGAAGCUACCCGGCUCCAAAGCCGGUGUCCUGUUGGGGAACGUCGCAUGGGAAACAAAAAAUUUCCUACGCGCACGAAGACCUAUCAUGGUGAUGUCCAUCUACGAGAGGGGAUGAGUGAUCUACGUACCCUUGUAGAUUGUACUGCAGAAGUGUUAGUGAACGCGGUUGAUGUAGUGGAACGUCGUCACGUCCCUCGAUCCGCCCCGCGAACUAUCCCGCGAACAGUCCCACGAUCUAGUGCCGAACGGACGGCACCUCCGCGUUCAGCACACGUACAGCUCGACGAUGAUCUCGGCCUUCUUGAUCCAGCAAGAGAGACGAAGAGGUAGAAGAGUUCUCCGGCAGCGUGACGGUGCUCCGGAGGUUGGUGAUGAUCUUGUCUCAGUAGGGCUCCGCCCGAGCUCCGCAGAAACUCGAUCUAGAUGUGAAACCGUGGAGAUAUGUGGUCGGGCUGCCGUGGCAAAGUUGUGUCAAAUCAGCCCUAAAACCCCACUAUAUAUAGGAGGAGGAGGGGGGAGACUUGCCUUGGGGUCCAAGGACUCCCAAGGGGGUCGGCCGAGCCAAGGGGGAAGGCCUACCCUUCCCAAACCGAAUUCUACUUGGUUUGGAAGGUGGAGUCCUUCUUCCCUUUCCCACCUCCUUCUUUUUUUUCCUUUCCUCUUUGAUUUUCUUCCCAAUGCGCAUAUGGCCUUCUUGGGCUGUCCCACCAGCCCACUAAGGGCUGGUGCGCCACCCCCAAGGCCUAUGGGCUUCCCCGGGGUGGGUUGACCCCCCCCCCGGUGAACUCCCGGAACCCAUUCGUCAUUCCCGGUACAUUCCCGGUAAUUCCGAAAACCUUCCGGUAAUCAAAUGAGGUCAUCCUAUAUAUCAGUCUUUGUUUCCGGACCAUUCCGGAAACCCUCGUGACGUCCGUGAUCUCAUCCGGGACUCCGAACAACAUUCGGUAACCAACCUUAUAACUCAAAUACGCAUAAAAUAACGUCAAACCUUAAGUGUGCAGACCCUACGGGUUCGAGAACUAUGUAGACAUGACCCGAGAGACUCCUCGGUCAAUAUCCAAUAGUGGGACCUGGAUGCCCAUAUUGGAUCCUACAUAUUCUAUGAAGUUCUUAUCGUUUGAACCUCAGUGUCAAGGAUUCAUAUAAUCCCGUAUGUCAUUCCCUUUGUCCUUCGGUAUGUUACUUGCCCGAGAUUCGAUCGUCAGUAUCCGUAUACCUAUUUCAAUCUCGUUUACCGGCAAGUCUCUUUACUCGUUCCGUAAUACAAGAUCCCGCAACUUACAUUAAGUCACAUUGCUUGCAAGGCUUGUGUGUGAUGUUGUAUUAUCGAGUGGGCCCCGAGAUACCUCUCUGUCACACGGAGUGACAAAUCCCAGUCUCGAUCCAUACUAACUCAACGAACACCUUCGGAGAUACCUGUAGAGCAUCUUUAUAGUCACCCAGUUACGUUGCGACGUUUGAUACACACGAAGCAUUCCUCCGGUGUCCGUGAGUUAUAUGAUCUCAUGGUCAUAGGAAGAAAUACUUGACACGCAGAAAACAGUAGCAACAAAAUGACACGAUCAACAUGCUACGUCUAUUAGUUUGGGUCUAGUCCAUCACAUGAUUCUCCUAAUGAUGUGAUCCCGUUAUCAAGUGAAAACACUUGCCUAUGGUUAGGAAACCUUGACCAUCUUUGAUCAACGAGCUAGUCAACUAGAGGCUUACUAGGGACAGUGUUUUGUCUAUAUAUCCACACAUGCACUGUGUUUCCAAUCAAUACAAUUAUAGCAUGGAUAAUAAACGAUUAUCAUGAACUAAGAAAUAUAAUAAUAACUAAUUUAUUAUUGCCUCUACGGCAUAUUUCCAACAGUCUCCCACUUGCACUAGAGUCAAUAAUCUAGUUCACAUCACCAUGUGAUUCCAACGAAUCCAACACCCAUAUAGUUAUGGGGUCUGAUCACGUCUUUGCUCGUGAGAGAGGUUUUAGUCAACGGUUCUGAAACUGUCAGAUCCGUGCGUUCUUUACAAAUCUUUAUGUCAUCUUAUAGAUGCUGCUACUACGUGCUAUUCGGAAAUGCUCCAAAUAUCUACUCUACUAUACGAAUCCGUUUCACUACACAUAGUUAUUCGGAUUAGUGUCAAAGCUUGCAUCGACGUAACCCUUUACGACGAACUCUUUAACCACCUCCAUAAUCGAGAAAAAUUCCUUAGUCCAUUAGUUACUAAGGAUAAAUUUUGACCGCUGCUAGUGAUUCAAUCAUGGAUCACUCUCUGUACCUCUCAACAGACUUUGAGUCAAGGCACACAUCAGGUGCGGUACACAGCAUGGCAUACUUUAGAUUCUACGGCUAAGGCAUAGAAGACGACCUUCGUCUAUUCUCUUUAUUCUGCCGUGGUUGGGUUUUGAGUCUUACUCAAAUUCACACCUUACAAUGCAACUAAGAACUCCUUAUUUGCUGAUCUAUUUUGAACUCCUUCAAACACUUGUCAAGGCAUGCAUCUUGUUGAAACUUCCAUUAAGCGCUUUCAAUCUAUCUCCAUAGAUCUUUGAUGUUCAACGUUCAAGUAGCUCAAUCCAGGUAUUCCUUUGAAAACUCCUUUCAAACAACCUUGUAUGCUUUACAGAAAUUCUACAUUACUUCUGAUCCACAAUAUGUCAACCACAUAUACUUAUUGUAAAUUCUAUAGUGCUCCCACUCACUUCUUUGGAAAUACAAGUUUCUCAUAAACCUUGUACAAACCCAAAAUCUUUGAUCAGCUCAUCAAAGUGUAUAUUCCAACUCCGAGAUGCUUGCACCAGUCCAUUGAAGGAUCACUGGAGCUUGCAUACUUGCUAGUAUCUUUAGGAUCGACAAAACCUCCUGGUUGUAUCACAUACAAUGUUUGCUCAAGGAAACCGUCGAGGAAACAAUGUUUUGACAUCCUACAUGCAAUAUUUCAUAAAUAAUGCAGCAACUACUAACAUAAUUCUAACAGACUUCUAGCAUCGCUACGAGUGAGAAAGUCUCAUCAUAGUCAAAUGUUUGAUCUUGUCGGAAACAUCUUUGCGACAAGUCGAGCUUUUCAUAAUAGUGACUUAUCACCAUCAUCGUCUGUCUUCCUUUUAAAGAUCCAUCUUUACUCAAUAGUCCUCUGACCAUCAAGUAGUUCUUCCAAAGUCUACACUUUGUUUUCAUACAUGGAUCCUCUCUCGGAUUUCAUGGCUUUCAGCCAUUUGUCGGAAUCCGGGCCCACCAUUUCUUUCUUCAUAACUCGUAAGUUCAUUGUUGCUCAACAACAUGACCUCCAAGACAGGGUUACCGUACCACUCUGCAGUAGUACGCGACCUUGUCAACCUACGAGGCUUGUAGUAACUUGAACCGAUGCUCGAUGAUCACCAUCAUCAGCUUCCACUUCAAUUGGUGUAGGCGCCACAGGAACAACUUCCUGCGCCCUACUACACACUGGUUGAAGUGAUGGUUCAAUAACCUCAUCAAGUUCUACUACCCUCUCACUCAAUUCUUUCAAGAGAAACCUUUCCUCGAGAAAGGAUCCGUUUCUAGAAACAAACACUUUGCUUUCGGAUCUGAGAUAGGAGAUGUACCCAACUGUUUUGGAUAUCCUAUGAAGAUGCAUUUAUCCGCUUUGGGUUCGAGCUUAUCAGACUGAAACAUUUUCACAUAAGUGUCGAAGCCCCAAACUUUCAAGAAACGACAGUUUAGAUUUCUGUAAACCUCAGUCUAUACUGUGUCAUCUCAACGGAAAUAUGCGGUGCCCUAUUUAAAGUGAAUGCAGUUGUCUCUAAUGCAUAACCCAUAAACGAUAGUGGUAAUUCGAUAAGAGACAUCACAGCAUGCACCAUACCAAAUAGUGUGUUUCUAUGACGUUCAGACACAUCAUCACACUAUGAUGUUCUAGGUGGCAUAAACUGUGAAACAAUUUCCACAUUGUCUUAACUGCGUACCAAAACUCGUAACUCAGAUAUUCAUUUCUAUGAUCAUAUCGUAGACAGUUUAUCCUCUUGUUACGACGAACUUCACUCCGAAACAGAAUUGAACUUUUCAAUAUUUCAGACUUGUGACUCAUUAAGUAAAUAUUCUAGUAUCUACUCAAAUCGUCAUUGAAGUAAGAACAUAAUGAUAUCCACUGCGUGCCUCAGCACCCAUUGGACUGCAUACAUCAAAAUGUAUCACUUCCAACAAGUUACUAUCUUAUUUCAUCUCAAUGAAAACAAUGCCUUGCUCAUGUGGUAUGAUUUGCAUGUCACUAGUGAUUUGAAAUCAGGUGAGUACAAAGAUCCAUCAGCAUGGAGCCUCUUCAUGCAAUUUAUACCAACAUGACUCAAGCGGCAGUGCCACAAGUAAGUGGUACUAUCAUCAUUAACUCGUAUCUUUUGGUACCAAUAUCAUGAACAUGUGUAACACUACGAUCGAGAUUCAAUAAACCAUUGAAGGUGAUUAUUCAAAAAAAUAGAGUAACCAUUAUUCUCUUUAAAUGAAUAAUCGUAUUGCAAUAAACACGAUCCAAUCAUGUUCAUGCUUAACGCAAGCACCAAAUAACAAUUAUUUAGGUUUAACACCAAUCCCGAUGGUAGAGGGAGCGUGCGACGUUUUGAUCAUAUCAACCUUGGAAACACUUCCAACACGUAUCGUCACCUCGCCUUUAGCUAGUCUCCAUUUAUGCCGUAGCUUUCAUUUCGUGUUACUAAUCACUUAGCAACCGAACCGGUAUCCAAUACCCUCAUGCUACUAGGAGUACUAGUAAAGUACACAUCAACAUCAUGUAUAUCAAAUAUACUUCUCUCGACUUUUGCCAGCCUUCUUAUCUACCAAGUAUCUAGAGUUGCUCCGCCUCAGUUACUGUUCCCCUCAUUACAGAAGCACUUAGUCUCGGGUUUGGGUUUAAUCUUGGGUCUCUUCAUUAGUGCAGCAAAGGUUUUGCCGUUUCACGAAGUAUCCCUUCUAGCCCUUGCCUUUCUUGAAACUUAGUGGUUUUACUAACCAUCAACUAUUGAUGCUCCUUCUUGAUUUCCACUUUCGCAGUGUCAAACAUCGCGAACGCUCAAGGAUCAUUGUAUCUAUCCUUGAUAUGUUAUAGUUCAUCACGAAGCUCUCACAGCUUGGUUGCAGUGACUUUGGAGAACCAUCACUAUCUCAUCUGGAAGAUUAACUCCGACUUGAUUCAAGCGAUUGUCGUACUCAGACAAUCUGAGCACACGCUCAACGAUUGAGCUUUUCUCCUUUAAUUUGUGGACAAAGAAUCUUGUCGGAGGUCUUGUACCUCUUAACAAGGGCACAAGCAUGAAAUCACAAUUUCAUCUCUUUAGAACAUCACUUAUGUUCCGCGACGUUUUAAAACGUUUUCGGCGCCUUGCUUCUAAGCCAUUAAAUAUUUUGCACUGAACUAUCGUGUAGUCAUCAGAAACGUGUAUUUCAGAUGUUCACAGCAUCCACAGACGACGCUUGAGGUGCAGCACACCGAGUGGUGCAUAAAAUACAUAAGCCUUCUGCGCAGCAACGAGGACAAUCCUCGGUUUUACAAACUUAGUCUGCAAAGUUUGCUACUAUCAACUUUCAACUAAAUUUUCUCUAGGAACAUAUAAAAACAGUAGAGCUAUAGCGCAAGCUACAUUGUAAUUCGCAAAGACCAUUAGACUAUGUUCAUGACAAUUAGUUCAAUUAAUCAUAUUACUUAAGAACUCCCACUCAAAAAGUACAUCUCUCUAGUCAUUUGAGUGGUACCUGAUCCAAAUCCACUAUCUCAAGUCCGAUCAUCACGUGAGUCGAGAAUAGUUUCAUUGGUAAGCAUCUCUAUGCUAAUCAUAUCAACUAUACGAUUCAUGCUCGACCUUUCGGUCUCAUGUGUUCCGAGGCCAUGUCUACACAUGCUAGGCUCGUCAAGCUUAACCCGAGUGUUCCGCGUGUGCAACUGUUUUGCACCCGUUGUAUGUGAACGUUGAGUCUAUCACACCCGAUCAUCACGUGGUGUCUCGAAACGAAGAACUGUCGCAACGGUGCACAGUCGGGGAGAACACAAUUUCGUCUUGAAAUUUUAGUGAGAGAUCACCUCAUAAUGCUACCGUCGUUCUAAGCAAAAUAAGGUGCAUAAAAGGAUUAACAUCACAUGCAAUUCAUAAGUGACAUGAUAUGGCCAUCAUCAUGUGCUUCUUGAUCUCCAUCACCAAAGCACCGGCACGAUCUUCUUGUCACCGGCGUCACACCAUGAUCUCCAUCAUCAUGAUCUCCAUCAACGUGUCGCCAUCGGGGUUGUCGUGCUACUCAUGGUAUUACUACUAAAGCUACAUCCUAGCAAAAUAGUAAACGCAUCUGCAAGCACAAACGUUAGUUUAAAGACAACCCUAUGGCUCCUGCCGGUUGCCGUACCAUCGACGUGCAAGUCGAUAUUAACUAUUACAACAUGAUCAUCUCAUACAUCCAAUAUAUCACAUCACAUCGUUGGCCAUAUCACAUCACAAGCAUACCCUGCAAAAACAAGUUAGACGUCCUGUAAUUUUGUUGUUGCAUGUUUUACGUGGUGACCAUGGGUAUCUAGUAGGAUCGCAUCUUACUUACGCAAACACCACAACGGAGAUAUAUGAGUUGCUAUUUAACCUCAUCCAAGGACCUCCACGGUCAAUUCCGAUUCAACUAAAGUUGGAGAAACUGACACCCGCGAGUCAUCUUUGAGCAACGGAGUUACUCGUAGCGAUGAAACCAGUCUCUCGUAAGCGUACGAGUAAUGUCGGUCCGAGCCGCUUCGAUCCAACAAUGCCGCGGAAUCAAGAAAAGACUAAGGAGGGCAGCAAAACGCACAUCACCGCCCACAAAAACUUUUGUGUUCUACUUGAGAAGACAUCUACGCAUGAACCCAGCUCAUGAUGCCACUGUUGGGGAACGUCGCAUGGGAAACAAAAAUUUUCCUACGCGCACGAAGACCUAUCAUGGUGAUGUCCAUCUACGAGAGGGGAUGAGUGAUCUACGUACCCUUGUAGAUCGUACAGCAGAAGCGUUAGUGAACGCGGUUGAUGUAGUGGAACGUCUGUUGGAAAUAUGCCCUAGAGGCAAUAAUAAAUUAGUUAUUAUUAUAUUUCUUUGUUCAUGAUAAUCGUUUAUUAUCCAUGCUAUAAUUGUAUUGAUUGGAAACACAAUACUUGUGUGGAUACAUAGACAAAACACUGUCCCUAGUAAGCCUCUAGUUGACUAGCUCGUUGAUCAAAGAUGGUCAAGGUUUCCUGGCCAUAGGCAAGUGUUGUCACUUGAUAACGGGAUCACAUCAUUAGGAGAAUCAUGUGAUGGACUAGACCCAAACUAAUAGACGUAGCAUGUUGAUCGUGUCAUUUUGUUGCUACUGUUUUCUACGUGCCAAGUAUUUAUUCCUAUGACCAUGAGAUCAUAUAACUCACUAACACCGGAGGAAUGCUUUGUGUGUAUCAAACGUCGCAACGUAACUGGGUGACUAUAAAGAUGCUCUACAGGUAUCUCCGAAGGUGUUAGUUGAGUUAGUAUGGAUCAAGACUGGGAUUUGUCACUCCGUGUGACGGAGAGGUAUCUAUGGGCCCACUCGGUAAUACAACAUCACACACAAGCCUUGCAAGCAAUGUAACUUAGUGUAAGUUACGGGAUCUUGUAUUACGGAACGAGUAAAGAGACUUGCCGGUAAACGAGAUUGAAAUAGGUAUGCGGAUACUAACGAUCGAAUCUCGGGCAAGUAACAUACCGAAGGACAAAGGGAAUGACAUACGGGAUUAUAUGAAUCCUUGGCACUGAGGUUCAAACGAUAAGAUCUUUGUAGAAUAUGUAGGAUCCAAUAUGGGCAUCCAGGUCCCGCUAUUGGAUAUUGACCGAGGAGUCUCUCGGGUCAUGUCUACAUAGUUCUCGAACCCGCAGGGUCUGCACACUUAAGGUUCGACGUUGUUUUAUGCGUAUUUGAGUUAUAUGGUUGGUUACCGAAUGUUGUUCGGAGUCCCGGAUGAGAUCACGGAUGUCACGAGGGUUUCCGGAAUGGUCCGGAAACGAAGAUUGAUAUAUAGGAUGACCUCAUUUGGUUACCGGAAGGUUUCCGUGCAUUACCAGAAAAGUUUCGGGCUCAUCGGUAGUGUACCGGGAGUGCCGGGAGGGGUGCCGGGGACCAUCGGGAGGGGUGUCACGCCCCAAGGGGUCUCAUGGGCUAUGGGAAGAGAUAAACCAGCCCCUAGUGGGCUGGAAUAAGUUCCCACUAAGGCCCAUAAGGUUUGAGAAGGAAAAAACACAAGGUGGAAAGAGUUUCCAAGUGGGAAGGUGGAAUCCUACUCCAAGUAGGAUUGGAGUAGGACUCCUCCACCUCCAAUUUCGGCCAAACCUUUAGGUUUUGAGGCUGCCUCCUCCCCUCCCUCCCACCUAUAUAUACGGAGGUAUUAGGGCUGAUUUGAGACGACUUUUCCACGGCAGCCCGACCACAUACCUCCAUAGUUUUUCCUCUAGAUCGCGUUUCUGCGGAGCUCGGGCGGAGCCCUGCUGAGACGAGAUCAUCACCAACCUCCGGAGCGCCGUCACGCUGCCGGAGAACUCUUCUACCUCUCCGUCUCUCUUGCUGGAUCAAGAAGGCCGAGAUCAUCGUCGAGCUGUACGUGUGCUGAACGCGGAGGUGCCGUCCGUUCGGUACUAGAUCGUGGGACUGAUCGCGGGAUUGUUCGCGGGGCGGAUCGAGGGACGUGAGGACGUUCCACUACAUCAACCGCGAUCUCUAAUCGCUUCUGCUGUACGAUCUACAAGGGUACGUAGAUCACUCAUCCCCUCUCGUAGAUGGACAUCACCAUGAUAGGUCUUCGUGCGCGUAGGAAAAUUUUUGUUUCCCAUGCGAUGUUCCCCAACAGUGGCAUCAUGAGCUAGGUUCAUGCGUAUAUGUCUUCUCGAGUAGAACACAAAAGGUUUUGUGGGCGGUGAUGUGCGUUUUGCUGCCCUCCUUAGUCUUUUCUUGAUUCCGCGGUAUUGUUGGAUUGAAGCGGCUUGGACCGACAUUACUCGUACGCUUACGAGAGACUGGUUUCAUCGUUACGAGUAACCCCCUUUGCUCAAAGAUGACUGGCAAGUGACGGUUUCUCCAACUUUAGUUGAAUCGGAUUUGACCGAGGAGGUCCUUGGAUGAGGUUAAAUAGCAAUUCAUAUAUCUCCGUUGUGGUGUUUGCGUAAGUAAGAUGCGAUCCUACUAGAUACCCUUGGUCACCACGUAAAACAUGCAACAACAAAAUUAGAGGACGUCUAACUUGUUUUUGCAGGGUAUGAUUGUGAUGUGAUAUGGCCAAUGAUGUGAUGUGAUAUAUUGGAUGUAUGAGAUGAUCAUGUUGUAAUAGAAAUAUCGACUUGCACGUCGAUGGUACGGCAACCGGCAGGAGCCAUAGGGUUGUCUUUAUACUAACAUAUGUGCUUGCAGAUGCGUUUACUAUUUUGCUAGGAUGUAGCUUUAGUAGUAAUAGCAUAAGUAGCACGACAACCCCGAUGGCAACAUGUUGAUGGAUGAUCAUGGUGUGGCGCCGGUGACAAGAAGAUCGUGCCGGUGCUUUGGUGAUGGAGAUCAAGAAGCACGUGAUGAUGGCCAUAUCAUGUCACUUAUGAAUUGCAUGUGAUGUUAAUCCUUUUACGCACCUUAUUUUGCUUAGAACGACGGUAGCAUUAUGAGGUGAUCUCUCACUAAAAUUUCAAGACGAAAUUGUGUUCUCCCCGACUGUGCACCGUUGCGACAGUUCUUCGUUUUGAGACACCACGUGAUGAUCGGGUGUGAUAGACUCAACGUUCACAUACAACGGGUGCAAAACAGUUGCACACGCGGAACACUCGGGUUAAGCUUGACGAGCCUAGCAUGUGCAGACAUGGCCUCGGAACACAUGAGACCGAAAGGUCGAGCAUGAAUCGUAUAGUUGAUAUGAUUAGCAUAGGGAUGCUUACCACUGAAACUAUUCUCGACUCACGUGAUGAUCGGACUUGAGAUAGCGAAUUUGGAUCAUGUACCACUCAAAUGACUAGAGAGAUGUACUUUUUGAGUGGGAGUUCUUAAGUAAUAUGAUUAAUUGAACUAAUUGUCAUGAACAUAGUCUAAUGGUCUUUGCGAAUUAUGAUGUAGCUUGCGCUAUAGCUCUAUUGUUUUUAUAUGUUCCUAGAGAAAAUUUAGUUGAAAAUUGAUAGUAGCAACCUUUGCAGACUGAGUCUGUAAAACCGAGGAUUGUCCUCGUUGCUACGCAGAAGGCUUAUGUCCUUAAUGCACCACUCGGUGUGCUGCACCUCGAGCGUCGUCUGUGGAUGCUAUGAACAUCCGACAUACACGUUACUGAUGACUACACGAUAGUUCAGUGCAAGAUACUUGAUGGCUUAGAAGCAAGGCGCCGAAAACGUUGUAAAACGUCACGGAACAUAAGUGAUGUUCCGAAGAGAUGAAAUUGUGAUUUCAUGCUUGUGCCCUUGUUAAGAGGUACGAGACCUCCAAACAAGAUUCUUUGUCCACAAAGUAAAGGAGAAAAGCUCAAUCGUUGAGCAUGUGCUCAGAUUGUCUGAGUACGACAAUCGCUUGAAUCAAGUGGGAGUUAAUCUUCCAGAUGAGAUAGUGAUGGUUCUCCAAAGUCACUGCCACCAAGCUAUGAGAGCUUCGUGAUGAACUAUAACAUAUCAAGGAUAGAUACUAUGAUCUUUUGAGUGAUUCGCGAUGUUUGACACUGCGAAAGUAGAAAUCAAGAAGGAGCAUCAAUAGUUGAUGGUUAGUAAAACCACUAAGUUUCAAGAAAGGCAAGGGCUAGAAGGGAUACUUCGUGAAACAGCAAAACAGUUGCUGCACUAAUGAAGAGACCCAAGAUUAAACCCAAAACCCGAGACUAAGUGCUUCUGUAAUAAGGGGAACAGUCGCUGAGGCGGAGCAACUCUAGAUACUUGGUGGAUAAGAAGGCUGGCAAAAGUCGAGAGAAGUAUAUUUGAUAUACAUAAUGUUGAUGUGUACUUUACUAGUACUCCUAGUAGCACAAGGGUAUUGGAUACCGGUUCGGUUGCUAAGUGAUUAGUAACGCGAAAUGAAAGCUACGACAUAAACGAAGACUAGCUAAAGGCGAGGUGACGAUACGUGUUGGAAGUGUUUCCAAGGUUGAUAUAAUCAAACGUCGCACGCUCCCUCUACCAUCGGGAUUGGUGUUGAACCUAAAUAAUUGUUAUUUGGUGUUUGCGUUAAGCGUGAACAUGAUUGGAUCAUGUUCAUUGCGAUACGAUUAUUCAUUCAAAGAGAAUAAUGGUUACUCUAUUUGCUUGAAUGAUCACCUUCAAUGGUUUAUUGAAUCUCGAUUGUAGUGUUACACAUUGGUGCCAAAAGAUACGAGUUAAUAAUGAUAGUACCACUUACUUGUGGAACUGCCGCUUGAGUCAUGUCAGUAUAAAUUGCAUGAAGAGGCUCCAUGCUGAUGGAUCUUUGUACUCACCUGAUUUCGAAUCACUAGUGACAUGCAAAUCAUACCACGUGAGCAAGGCCUUGUUUUCAUUGAGAUGAAAUAAGAUAGUAACUUAUUGGAAGUGAUACAUUUUGAUGUAUGCAGUCCAAUGGGUGCUGAGGCACGCAGUGGAUAUCAUUAUGUUCUUACUUCACUGACCACUUGAGUAGAUACAGGAGUAUUUACUUAAUGAAUCACAAGUCUGAAAUAUUGAAAAGUUCAAUUCCGUUUCAGAGUGAAGUUCGUCGUAACAAGAGGAUGAAGUGUCUACGAUAUGAUCAUAGAAAUGAAUAUCUGAGUUACGAGUUUUGGUACGCAGUUAAGACAAUGUGGAAGUUAUUUCGCAGUUCAUGCCACCUGGAACAUCAUAGUGUGAUGAUGUGUCUGAACAUCAUAGCCACGCACUAUUUGGUAUAAUAUAUACUAUGGUGUCUCUUAUCGAAUUACCACUAUCGUUUAUGGGUUAUGCAUUAGAGACAACCGCACUCACUUUAAAUAGGGCACCGCGUAUUUCCGUUGAAGAUGACACAGUAUAGACUGAGGUUUAGAGAAAUCUAAACUGUCGUUUCUUGAAAGUUUGGGGUUUCGACACUUAUGUGAAAAAGUUUCAGUCUGAUAAGCUCGAACCCAAAGCGGAUAAAUGCAUCUUCAUAGGAUAUCCAAAACAGUUGGGUACAUCUCCUAUCUCAGAUCCGAAAGCAAAGUGUUUGUUUCUAGAAACGGAUCCUUUCUCGAGGAAAGGUUUCUCUUGAAAGAAUUGAGUGGGAGGGUAGUAGAACUUGAUGAGGUCAUUGAACCAUCACUUCAACCAGUGUGUAGCAGGGCGCAGGAAGUUGUUCAUGUGGCGCCUACACCAAUUGAAGUGGAAGCUGAUGAUGAUGAUCAUUGAGCUUCGAAUCAAGUUACUACAAAACCUCGUAGGUCGACAAGGUCGCGUACUGCUGCAGAGUAGUACGGUAACCCUGUCUUGGAGGUCAUGUUGUUGAGCAACAGUGAACCUACGAGUUAUGGAGAAAGCGAUGGUGGGCCCGGGUUCCGACAAAUGGCUGGAAGCCAUGAAAUCCGAGAGAGGAUCCAUGUAUGAAACCAAAGUGUAGACUUUGGAAGAACUACUUGAUGGUCAUAGGACUAUUGAGUAAAGAUGGAUCUUUAAAAGGAAGACAGACGAUGAUAGUGAUAAGUCGCUAUUAAGAAAAGCUCGACUUGUCGCAAAGAUGUUUCCGACAAGAUCAAACAGUUGACUAUGAUGAGACUUUCUCACUCGUAGCGAUGCUGAAAGGCUGUUAGAAUUAUGUUAGUAGUUGCUGCAUUAUUUAUGAAAUAUUGCAUGUAGGAUGUCAAAACAUUGUUUCCUCAACGGUUUCCUUGAGCAAACAUUGUAUGAGAUACAACCAUGAGGUUUUGUCGAUCCUAAAGAUACUAGCAAGUAUGCAAGCUCCAGUGAUCCUUCAAUGGACUGGUGCAAGCAUCUCGGAGUUGGAAUAUACACUUUGAUGAGAUGAUCAAAGAUUUUGGGUUUUUUACAAAGUUUAUGAGAAACCUGUAUUUCCAAAGAAGUGAGUGGGAGCACUAUAGAAUUUCUGAUAGGUAUAUGUGGUCGACAUAUUGUGGAUCAGAAGUAAUGUAGAAUUUCUGUAAAGCAUACAAGGUUGUUUUGAAAGAAGUUUUCAAAGGAGUACCUGGAUUACGCUACUUGAACGUUGAGCAUCAAAGAUCUAUGGAGAUAGAUCGAAAAGCACUUAACGGAAGUUUCAACAAGAUGCAUGCCUUGACAAGUUUUUGAAAGGAGUUCAAAAUAGGUCAGCAAAGAAGGAGUUCUUGGUUGCGUUGUGAGGUGUGAAUUUGAGUAAGACUCAAAACCCGACCCCGGCAGAAUAAAGAGAAUAGACGAAGGUCGUCUUCUAUGCCUUAGCCGUAGAAUCUAAAGUAUGCCAUGCUGUGUACCGCACCUGAUGUGUGCCUUGACUCAAAGUAUGUUGAGAGGUACAGAGAGUGAUCCAUGAUUGAAUCACUAGCAGCGGUCAAAAUUUAUCCUUAGUAACUAAUGGACUAAGGAAUUUCUUUCUCGAUUAUGGAGGUGGUUAAAGAGUUCGUCGUAAAGGGUUACGUUGAUGCAAGCUUUGACACUAAUCCGAAUAACUAUGAGUAGUGAAACGGAUUCGUAUAGUAGAGUAGAUAUUUGGAGCAUUUCCGAAUAGCACGUAGUAGCAGCAUCUAUAAGAUGGCAUAAAGAUUUGUAAAGAACACACGGAUCUGAAAGUUUCAGAACCAUUGACUAAAACCUCUCUCACGAGCAAGACGUGAUCAGACCCCAUAACUAUAUGGGUGUUGGAUUCGUUGGAAUCACAUGGUGAUGUGAACUAGAUUAUUGACUCCAGUGCAAGUGGGAGACUGUUGGAAAUAUGCCCUAGAGGCAAUAAUAAAUUAGUUAUUAUUAUAUUUCUUUGUUCAUGAUAAUCGUUUAUUAUCCAUGCUAUAAUUGUAUUGAUUGGAAACACAAUACUUGUGUGGAUACAUAGACAAAACACUGUCCCUAGUAAGCCUCUAGUUGACUAGCUCGUUGAUCAAAGAUGGUCAAGGUUUCCUGGCCAUAGGCAAGUGUUGUCACUUGAUAACGGGAUCACAUCAUUAGGAGAAUCAUGUGAUGGACUAGACCCAAACUAAUAGACGUAGCAUGUUGAUCGUGUCAUUUUGUUGCUACUGUUUUCUACGUGCCAAGUAUUUAUUCCUAUGACCAUGAGAUCAUAUAACUCACUAACACCGGAGGAAUGCUUUGUGUGUAUCAAACGUCGCAACGUAACUGGGUGACUAUAAAGAUGCUCUACAGGUAUCUCCGAAGGUGUUAGUUGAGUUAGUAUGGAUCAAGACUGGGAUUUGUCACUCCGUGUGACGGAGAGGUAUCUCGGGGCCCACUCGGUAAUACAACAUCACACACAAGCCUUGCAAGCAAUGUAACUUAGUGUAAGUUACGGGAUCUUGUAUUACGGAACGAGUAAAGAGACUUGCCGGUAAACGAGAUUGAAAUAGGUAUGCGGAUACUAACGAUCGAAUCUCGGGCAAGUAACAUACCGAAGGACAAAGGGAAUGACAUACGGGAUUAUAUGAAUCCUUGGCACUGAGGUUCAAACGAUAAGAUCUUUGUAGAAUAUGUAGGAUCCAAUAUGGGCAUCCAGGUCCCGCUAUUGGAUAUUGACCGAGGAGUCUCUCGGGUCAUGUCUACAUAGUUCUCGAACCCGCAGGGUCUGCACACUUAAGGUUCGACGUUGUUUUAUGCGUAUUUGAGUUAUAUGGUUGGUUACCGAAUGUUGUUCGGAGUCCCGGAUGAGAUCACGGAUGUCACGAGGGUUUCCGGAAUGGUCCGGAAACGAAGAUUGAUAUAUAGGAUGACCUCAUUUGGUUACCGGAAGGUUUCCGUGCAUUACCAGAAAAGUUUCGGGCUCAUCGGCUAUGGGAAGAGAUAAACCAGCCCCUAGUGGGCUGGAAUAAGUUCCCACUAAGGCCCAUAAGGUUUGAGAAGGAAAAAACACAAGGUGGAAAGAGUUUCCAAGUGGGAAGGUGGAAUCCUACUCCAAGUAGGAUUGGAGUAGGACUCCUCCACCUCCAAUUUCGGCCAAACCUUUAGGUUUUGAGGCUGCCUCCUCCCCUCCCUCCCACCUAUAUAUACGGAGGUAUUAGGGCUGAUUUGAGACGACUUUUCCACGGCAGCCCGACCACAUACCUCCAUAGUUUUUCCUCUAGAUCGCGUUUCUGCGGAGCUCGGGCGGAGCCCUGCUGAGACGAGAUCAUCACCAACCUCCGGAGCGCCGUCACGCUGCCGGAGAACUCUUCUACCUCUCCGUCUCUCUUGCUGGAUCAAGAAGGCCGAGAUCAUCAUCGAGCUGUACGUGUGCUGAACGCGGAGGUGCCGUCCGUUCGGUACUAGAUCGUGGGACUGAUCGCGGGAUUGUUCGCGGGGCGGAUCGAGGGACGUGAGGACGUUCCACUACAUCAACCGCGAUCUCUAAUCGCUUCUGCUGUACGAUCUACAAGGGUACGUAGAUCACUCAUCCCCUCUCGUAGAUGGACAUCACCAUGAUAGGUCUUCGUGCGUGUAGGAAAAUUUUUGUUUCCCAUGCGACGUUCCCCAACAACGUCUUCACGUCCCUCGAUCCGCCCCGCGAACUAUCCCGCGAACAGUCCCACGAUCUAGUGCCGAACGGACGGCACCUCCGCGUUCAGCACACGUACAGCUCGACGAUGAUCUCGGCCUUCUUGAUCCAGCAAGAGAGACGUAGAGGUAGACGAGUUCUCCGGCAGCGUGGCGGCGCUCCGGAGGUUGGUGAUGAUCUUGUCUCAGCAGGGCUUCGCCCGAGCUCCGCAGAAACUCGAUCUAGAUGUGAAACCGUGGAGAUAUGUGGUCGGGCUGCCGUGGCAAAGUUGUGUCAAAUCAGCCCUAAAACCCCACUAUAUAUAGGAGGAGGAGGGGGAGACCUGCCUUGGGGUCCAAGGACUCCCAAGGGGGUCGGCCGAGCCAAGGGGGAAGGCCUCCCCCUCCCAAACCGAAUUCUACUUGGUUUGGAAGGUGGAGUCCUUCUUCCCUUUCCCACCUCCUUCUUUUUUUUUCCUUUCUUCUUUGAUUUUCUUCCCAAUGCGCAUAUGGCCUUCUUGGGCUGUCCCACCAGCCCACUAAGGGCUGGUUCGCCACCCCCAAGGCCUAUGGGCUUCCCCGGGGUGGGUUGCCCCCCCCCCCGGUNCCCCCCCCCGGUGAACUCCCGGAACCCAUUCGUCAUUCCCGGUACAUUCCCGGUAAUUCCGAAAACCUUCCGGUAAUCAAAUGAGGUCAUCCUAUAUAUCAAUCUUUGUUUCCGGACCAUUCCGGAAACCCUCGUGACGUCCAUGAUCUCAUCCGGGACUCCGAACAACAUUCGGUAACCAACCAUAUAACUCAAAUACGCAUAAAAUAACGUCGAUCCUUAAGUGUGCAGACCCUACGGGUUCGAGAACUAUGUAGACAUGACCCGAGAGACUCCUCGGUCAAUAUCCAAUAGCGGGACAUGGAUGCCCAUAUUGGAUCCUACAUAUUCUACGAAGAUCUUAUCGUUUGAACCUCAGUGUCAAGGAUUCAUAUAAUCCCGUAUGUCAUUCCCUUUGUCCUUCGGUAUGUUACUUGCCCGAGAUUCGAUCGUCAGUAUCCGUAUACCUAUUUCAAUCUCGUUUACCGGCAAGUCUCUUUACUCGUUCCGUAAUACAAGAUCCCGCAACUUACAUUAAGUCACAUUGCUUGCAAGGCUUGUGUGUGAUGUUGUAUUACCGAGUGGGCCCCAAGAUACCUCUCCGUCACACGGAGUGACAAAUCCCAGUCUCGAUCCAUACUAACUCAACGAACACCUUCGGAGAUACCUGUAGAGCAUCUUUAUAGUCACCCAGUUACGUUGCGACGUUUGAUACACACAAAGCAUUCCUCUGGUGUCCGUGAGUUAUAUGAUCUCAUGGUCAUAGGAACAAAUACUUGACACGCAUAAAACAGUAGCAACAAAAUGACACGAUCAACAUGCUACGUCUAUUAGUUUGGGUCUAGUCCAUCACAUGAUUCUCCUAAUGAUGUGAUCCCUUUAUCAAGUGAUAACACUUGCAUAUGGUCAGGAAACCUUGACCAUCUUUGAUCAACGAGCUAGUCAACUAGAGGCUUACUAGGGACAGUGUUUUGUCUAUGUAUCCACACAUGCACUGUGUUUCCAAUCAAUACAAUUAUAGCAUGGAUAAUAAACGAUUAUCAUGAACUAAGAAAUAUAAUAAUAACUAAUUUAUUAUUGCCUCUAGGGCAUAUUUCCAACAUGUCCUUCGUUGCAAACAACGACCAAAAUAUCAAGACAAAUCAACAAGCCGGUGAGGCCGCCCGCCAGCAGGCGGCAGACCUCGCCAGCUUUGGGGACUACUGUCGGGGGGAUAACCCCGGGGUAGGCUCAUCGAGCCUGUUCCUUCAUUCCCGGCCCAAUGGGCAUGAAGGCGCAGAGAUUCUCAAGGCCCAAGUCUACUGACCGGCUAGGCAUCCCCUGCCGGUUGGAAGACGAGGCGGCCACCUUUCUGGCCGGCCAGGCAACCCCUGCCGGCUAGAAUCCAGGCGGCCUCCCCUUCGGACCCGGCCUGGUCCCGCCAACUGGGCUAAGGAGGAGGCGGCCACCCUCAAGCCGGCUGACCAAGCAGACUAGCCGGCCGAGGAUCACCAGUCACAUCAGAUCGUAGUUCAGGAAAGGACCUCACGAUUAAAGGUAGCUACGCAUCAGCAAAGGUAUUGAAUUAGGGUGCCCGGCAGGUACAUGCGUCGACGGCCACACCGCUGACCUACCCCGGCUCUGAUCCAUCACCUAGCCUGAUGUUGGACCGUCACACUCCCACUCCAUUACCGCACUCAGCGUGGGGAACAGUGGAGCCGGUCGUACUGCCUGCCCAUGAAGAAUCUCGCGGGGCAACGCUCGACGUACAACGCGUGCUCAGCGUCAACCUUACGCGGGAGCCCCAUUGGCCAGCCAGCGGGUCCCACAACAAUCGAGACCAUGCAGCCGGCGGGCCCCUCAUCGACAAGAUAAGACCCUUGUGGGCCCCUGGACAACCGGCGAAGCAGCCAGCCGGGUCCCACACAUGUACCCUUUAUCCAUAUUGUAGCCUGGUGGGUUCGUCUAUAAAACUCCCCGGCCGCCCCCCAUGCAAGGGGGCCGAUCACUUACCAGUCAUUCAACACUACACACUCACCAACCAACAGAGAGCGAGGUAGAAACGAGCCGGCUGCUCCCCUCUUCCUCCUCCCAACACAGCUCCAGGAGCAACAUUGUACUCUGUUCCCAUACAUCAAACACACAAGCAAGAUUAGGGGUAUUAUAUCUACGGAGAGCCCUGAACCUGGGUACAUCGUGCGUCCCAUGCGUGUACCAACCUCGUUCCCAGCGCCCACUUUUGUCCCUUCGGUUCUCAUCGACUUUAGCCUACCUAUGGCAUAUGUUGUGAGUAUUCACCCACACGAUGUCUCCUUGAAUCGCUACAAGGCAUGAUGGGUGGUUCGUGGUUUCACACAGCAGGCUGGCGUUGACUAUGUGGAGACCUUCAGCCCCGUGGUCAAGCUCGCUACAAUCCGCGUCGUGCUCAGCCUUGCCACCGUCAACAACUGGCCACUCCGGCAAAUGGAUGUCAAGAAUGCCUUCCUCCAUGGAGAUCUCGUUGAGACAGUCUACUGCCAACAACCCUCCGGCUUCGUCGAUACCACUCAUCCCACGCAUGGCUGCCGCCUCAACAAGUCCCUCUAUGGCCUCAAGCAGGCUCCCCGGACUUGGUUUCUUCUCUUCACUGGGUUUCUCCACACGCUUGGCUUUGUCUCAUCCAAGUGUGACACCUCGCUCUUCAUUCUUCGCCGAGAUUCCUCCAUGGCGUAUCUCCUUUUGUAUGUCGACGACAUCAUCUUGACAGCCAGCAACACCUCCCUCCUUGAGUCGCUUGUGUCAUCGCUUGCUCGCGAGUUCUCUAUGAGCGAUCUCGGAGAUAUUCACCACUUCCUAGGCAUCAACGUGCAUCGCAACACUGCCGGGUUGUUCUUGUCUCAGGAACAUUACGCCCUUGAGGUUUUGGAUCGUGCCAACAUGCUCAAUUGCCAUCUCGGCUCCACACCGAUUGACACCCGCUCUAAGCUCACGAGUGCGGUUGGCACCCCCUUCUCCGAUCCCACCAAAUAUUGUAGUAUCGCCGGUUGUCGGGGGGAUAAUCCCGGGGUAGGCUCAUCGAGCCUGUUCCUUCAUUCCCGGUCCAAUGGGCAUGAAGGCGCAGAGAUUCUCAAGGCCCAAGUCUUCUAACCGGCUAGGCAUCCCCUACCGGCUGGAAGACGAGGCAGCCACCUUUCUGGCCGGCCAGGCAACCCCUGUCGGCUAGAAUCCAGGCGGCCUCCCCUUCGGACCCGGCCUGGUCCCGCCAGCCGGGCUAAGGAGGAGGCGGCCACCCUCAAGCCGGCUGACCAAGCAGGCUAGCCAGCCGAGGAUCACCAGUCACAUCAGAUCGUAGGUCAGGAAAGGACCUCACGAUUAAAGGUAGCUACGCGUCAGCAAAGGUACUGAAUCAGGGCUCUCGGCAGGUACGAGCGUCGGCGGCCACGCCGCUGACCUACCGCGGCUCCGAUCCAUCACCUACCCUUAUGUCGGACCGUCACACUCCCACUCCAUUACUGCACUCGGCGUGGGGAACAGUGGAGGCAGUCGUACUGCCUGCCCAUGAAGAAUCUCGUGGGGCAACGCUCGACGUACAGCGUGUGCUCAGCGUCAACCGUACGCGGGCGCCCCAUUGGCCAGCCGGCGGGUCCCACAGCAAUCGAGACCAUGCAGCCGGCGGGCCCCUCAUCGACAAGACAAGACCCUUGUGGGCCCCUGGCCAACCGGCGAAGCAGCCAGCAGGGUCCCACGCAUGUACCCUUUAUCCAUAUUGUAGGCCGGCGGGUUCGUCUAUAAAACCCCCCGGCCGCCCCCCAAUGCAAGGAGGCCGAUCACUUACCAGUCAUUCAACACUACACACUCACCAACCAACAGAGAGCGAGGUAGAGACGAGCCGGCUGCUCCCCUCUUCCUCCUCCCAACACAGCUCCAGGAGCAACAUUGUACUCUGUUCCCAUACAUCACACACACAAGCAGGAUUAGGUGUAUUAUCUCUAUGGAGAGCCCUGAACCUGGGUACAUCGUGCGUCCCAUGCGUGUACCAACCUUGUUCCCAGCGCCCACCUUUGUCCCUUUGGUUCUCACCGACUUUAGCCUACCUAUGGCAUAUGUUGUGAGUAUUCACUGACAUUUGGCGCCCACUGUGGGGCCGAUCGCGGCAUCAGCUGGCUUCACGCGCUGGGCGGGGCCCCGCACCUACACCACCAGAUUCAUCGCGUCCGGAUCAGUUUGCAUGCCCGUGGAGCUCGCUUUCGACGAGGCGACGCCCAUGAUGAUCGACGUCCCCGUCCGCCAUGCGGAUUCGGACGAAGAUUCCGAUGACGAGGCACUCCCUAGCGUCAUCGUCGCUGCUAUGGGGAACCUGAGUGCUCUUCGCCUCAAUGACGGCCCAUGCUACUUCGGCGAGGACUACGACGUUGAGGCACUCUGCGCCAGCUUCAGCACGCUCUCUAUCGCUGAGACGCCUGCCCAGGACGUUUAGCCCAGUAACGUCCUCAUCUUCGAUGGCCCUCCACCGUCUGUGGGGUUCUUCACCCCAUACCACGUCGCUGCCGUCUCCAACGCCGUGGAGGUGAUGGUUAUCGGCGCCGGCACCAGCACGGCUCCCGGCAAGGCCUCCAGGGAGCUGGCGAGCCCGCUGCAGCCGCCGCAGACACUCUUCGGGACGCCAUCGCCGGCCUGAAGACACCGAUUACCGCUUCUGCCGACCCUGUAGACGCUCGGGCCUCACUGGAGGAGGCUCGCAAGCGUAUCUUGGAGGAGGUCAUCGCCGUGGCCUCGGCAAAACAUCGGUUGGAGGCUACACAUCGUGAGUAUAACUCCGCAUAUGGUCUUACUCCGAUUUACGAGGCCCCCAGUCGGCUUGGAUCGGUCCGCAGUCGCGGACGGUUCGUCGCCGAAGUUCUAGGCGGGGACCUGCCCACCUACGAGACUCCUGCGGCCAACAUGCGGACGGCGCACGCGGCCAUGGAGGAGAUGGCAAGCCUGGAAGGCGAGGAGCGCGCCUUCCAGGAGAAGCGUGUCAAGGAUCUCCUUGACGCUGCUACCCAGCAGCACGCUCGGUUCGACCCUGGCCAGGCUCAUUCAGAGUCCCCGGGACCAAACUCGGGGGCUCGCCGCAACCCUAGUGGCCAGCACCACGCUGAAGGAUCUUCCUCGCAUCGCCCUUCCGGCUGGAGGGGCGAGGGAAGCCAAGGCCGGCACUCGCAGCACCAGAGCGAGCACACAUCGGGCCUAUGUCGCGGAGGCGACGAUGGCGACUCGGAGUACGGGGAUCUUCCCCCGCGAAGAACUCACGCAUCCGGCUCCCAAGGAGCCUCCCCUCUCGCCACCGGGGCUGGCGCCCCCGCCUCCCAGGACGAGCGGGACGCCCGCCGGCGUAUCAUCGCCCUGGCCUAUUCGGACCUCCUAGAGGAAGACGGACCCGUCGAUCCGGCUUGCUUCGGUCCCCGGAUCCGAGGGGAGCCGUUCCCCCGAGGUUUCACCCUACCUCGGGAUACGUCGAAAUAUAACGGCACGGCUAAGCCAGAAGACUGGCUGAUCGACUACACCACGGCCGUAGGCAUCGCGAGGGGCAACAAGCGCGUAGCGGUUCCCUACGUGCCACUCAUGCUAGCCGGCUCGGCCCGGACCUGGCUUAACAGCCUCCCGGCCGGCAGCGUCAACUCCUGGGUGGACUUCGAGGAGGCGUUCGUCCACAACUUCACCGGCACCUACAAGCGCCCUGGUCGGCCUUGCGAGCUGGCCAUUUUCGUCCAGAAGGCCGACGAACCCCUCCGAGACUACGUCACCCGGCCGGUGGACCGAGCUCCGCAACUCCUAUGAGGGGGUGCAUGAGGUACAAGCCAUACAGUACUUCAUUGACGGAUGCCGAGACGGCACCCUCCUCAAGCACAAGCUCAUGUGCGCCGAGCCCAGCUCCUUGGCGGUGCUCAUGGCCAAGACGGACAAGUACGCCACGGCCGACUCCGGAAUGUGCAUCAAGGUGACCGCCUCGGACAAGGUUGUGCCUGCGCCGGCUACUCCCAAGCCGGCUGGGGACAACCGAGGCGGCCAGAACAACUACAAGCGCAAGGCCAAUCAGAUGGCUAACAACAAGCUAGUGGCCAACAUGGAGGGAGAGGCGUCGGCUUCCCAAGCCGGCCCUCCACGAAAGCGUCGCAAUCAGGGCAACCCCAACUGGCUGCCCAAGCAGUCUCUCGAGAAGCUGCUCAACGCCCCCUGCAAGAUACAUUUGGGGGCGGCGCCGUCUACCCAUACCCUUCGAUAGUGCAGCAUCGCACGCCGGCUGUCGCAAGGGGAGGGCCUGCCGGCUCCUCCGGGUGCGCAGGCGGCGCCCUGUGCACCGGCUCCCCAUCACGCUCCGCUUCCACCGCCGCCGCCUCGCGACGACGGCCCACACCCUGACGACUACCCGCAUCAAGACGGAGCGUUCGUUGUCUUCACCAGUGAAGGCGACGACAAGCACAGCCUGCGCCAAAGGCGGCGCGAGGUAAACGCCACUGUCCCCCUCCCCCCGGUUCCCCAGUACAUGCAUUUGUCUGACAAACCAAUUACAUGGAGCCGGGUGGAACACCCUGUGGUGAUGCCCAACCCGGGGUCAUACGCACUUGUCCUCGACCCCACCUUCGCCUCCAAAAGGCUAACCUGCCGAUUCUCCCGGGUGCUGGUCAACGGCGGCAGCAGCAUUAACAUCCUCUACCUCGACACUCUCCGCAAGCUCGGGCUCAAGGAGACGGACGUCCUGCCAACCAGCACUGUCUUCCAUGGCAUCGUGCCUCCACUACAGGAAUCGGGCAUUUUGCCGUCAAGACGCUAAAGACGGCAAAGAGAGAAUUACAGACGGCAAAUUUUUUGCCGUCAGCCCAUGACGGCAAAAAAUGUCGUCAGACCAUGUGCCCGCAAAGGGUAAUUUCGCCGUCAGCAUUUUUUCGGGCAGACGGCUAAAUAUUUUCCGUUAGUGAAAAUGGUUUGCCGUCAUCUAUUAUGAGGCAGACGGCAAAAAACCUAAAAUAACCACCCGGACCGCGUUAACUCUUUGCCGUCAUCCGACCGGAAUGCAAGACGACAAAGAUUACGGGUUUGCCGUCAGUUGUUAUCAAUACCAGACGGCAAAGAAAUUUUCUUUUAAAAAUAAAAUAAACAACAAUCCUCAGUUAUCAAAAAAUGUAUUGCAUAACACAUAAUCUUCAUUAUUAAAAAACCCAAAAUAUAAACAACAAUCCUCAGUUAUCAAAAAGGCUCAAUCAUCAAUUAUCACAAAAUAUAUACACACUAUAAUGUACAUAAUACACACAAUGCAUCAUAAUACAUCGAGCGGAACCAGCCCCUUCUCCCGUCCUGACGCCCCCGCACAGGAGCGUCACUGCCCAACGCCCAGCCGCAUCGCGCUCUCGUCGACCUCGCCGGCCGGUCGCCGGUCGGAGCCCAGCCUCUUAUUCCUGCCCGCCUGGCGCGGUAGCGCUCCCCUGCGUGCGCUCGUGCUCCCGCCCCUGCGUCGUCUCCUGUAACGGAUGGAUGGAUGGAUGCGGAUGAAUGAUUUGUUGCUUGUUGGUAGAUGGAUGGAUGCAACGGAUCAGGAUUUGGGAAAGGUCACUCACGGACCCCAGCGGAGCCUGAGCAACCCACACCAUACGAACGUGCCAAUGGAGAUGGAGCUCUGGCCAUGGCCGAUAUGUGCGACGCUGGCGGUCGCCACGCUCCUCUACUACCUGGCCAGCCCGACACGCAGCCGCAGUGUGGGCACGGGGCUGAUGCGGAUGUCGUCGAGCCCCACGCCGCUGCCCGUCGCCGGCAACCUGCUCAGCCUCCGUCGCGGCAACCUCCACCACAUGGCCCCGUCAUGACGCUCCGUGGUGUCCUCGCGCGACGCGGCCCGGGAGGCGUUCACGAGGCACGACCCGCGCCUGGCCGCGCGCGUCGUGGAUAGGGGCGGCGGGGAGAUGGAUGGGGGCGGCGGGGGAGAUGGAUGGGGGCGGCGGGGGAGAUGGAUGGGGGCGGCGGGUGCGACGGGGGAGAUGGAUGGGGGCGGCGGGGGAGAUGGAUGGGUACGAGAGAGAAGACAGGUGGGGAGAGGAUAAGGUCGGGUGGAGGUGAGUGGUGGGCCAGCUGGGUUUUUUUUUGAGGGGACCAGCCGGGUUGAGUGGGUGGGAGAGCCAGCGACGGUGGGAUGGGCCGUCACGUCAUCGAUCGGUGGGAUCGAUCCGCGUGGUGUGCUUUCUCUUUGCCGUCAUCCGGUUAUUUUUCAAGACGGCAAAUUAAGUAUUUGCCGUCAUCCGGUUAUUUUUCAAGACGGCAAAUUAAGUCUUUGCCGUCAUCCGGUUAUUUUUCAAGACGGCAAAAUAUUUUUUCACCCACGUCCGUGCGUGGUGCGAUGGGGUGGGCUGGUGUGUCUCAGAUCUUUCCACGUCAUUGAUCCGCGUGAUCAAUCUGUGCGUUGUGCUUCUUAUUUUGCCGUCAUCUAGUUACUUUUACAGAGGGCAAAAUUAUUUUGCCAUCAUCCAGUUAUUUUCAAAGACGGCAAAAUAAUUUUGCCGUCAUCUAGUUAUUUUUACAGACGGAAAAAUACAUCUUUGCCGUCAUCCAGUUAUUUUUACAGAUGGCAAAAUAUUUUUUCACCCAUGUCCGUGCGUGGUGGGAUGGGGUAGGCUGGUGUGUCUCAGAUCUUGCCACGUCAUCGAUCCGCGUGAUCGAUCCGUGUGAUGUGCUUCUUCUUUGCCGUCAUCACUUUCUAUUACAGGCGGCAAAUUAUGUCUUUUCCGUCAUCCGCUUAUUUUUACAGACGGCAAAAUAAUUUUGCCGUCUGCAAUUUUUAUUAUAGACGGCAAAAUAAGUUUACGCCGGCAGUCAUUCUUUGCCGUCAGCAGCUGACGGCAACUGACGGCAAAAGUGCUCUUUGCCGUCAUCCACGAAGAAAAGCUGACGGCAAAGAUCUGAACAGACGGCAAAUUACCUGAUUCCCGUAGUGCUCGGCAGUCGUGCUCACCCAUCGGCAAGAUCCAGCUGGACGUCCUCUUCGGCGACAAGGCCCACUUCCGCCGAGAGUCCAUAUGGUUCGAGGUGGUGGACCUCAGCAGCCCGUAUCACACGUUGCUGGGGAGACUGGCUCUGGCCAAAUUCAUGGCUAUCCCGCACUACGCCUACCUGAAAAUGAAGAUGCUGGGUCCCAAGGCCAUCAUCACUGUUGUUGGCGACUACAAGAAGUCGCUCGAGUGUGCCCAAGAUAGCAGCCGCCUCGCCGACGCCUUGGUGAUUGCCGAGGAGAAGCGGCAGAUCGACCGGCUCGUGGCCCAGGCUACCGAGCAGCCGGCGAUUCCUUCUCCUCCGUCCCAAUCGGCCGGCGAGGGCUCUUUCAAGCCGGCUAAAGAGACCAAGCAGGUCCCACUCGACCCUGCCAACCCAAAGUAGUGCAUCACCAUCGGGGCUGGCCUCAGCCCCAAAUAGGAAGGCGAGCUCGUCGACUUCCUCCAUGAGAAUCGGGACAUCUUUGCAUGGUCCCCCAAGGACAUGUCGGGUGUUCCGAGGAAGUACGCCGAGCACAAACUUCACGUGCGACCGGAUGCAAAGCCGGUGAAACAACCUUUGCGCCGCUUCACCGAGGGGAAGCGGCGCACAAUUGGAGAAGAGAUUACCCAGCUCCUUGCAGCCGGCUUCAUCAUGGAGGUUUUCCACCCGGACUGGCUGGCGAACCCAGUCCUGGCGCUGAAGAAGAACAACACAUGGAGAAUGUGCAUCGACUACACUAGCCUGAAUAAGGCCUAUCCGAAAGACCCUUUCGUGUUGCCUAGGAUAGAUCAUGUGAUCGACUCCACUACAGGCUGCGAACUGCUGUCAUUUCUGGAUGCUUAUUCAGGCUACCAUCAAAUCAAGCGGGAUCCAGCUGAUCGCCUGAAGACCUCCUUCAUCAUGCCCUUCGGGGCCUACUGCUACACCACCAUGACGUUCGGUCUGAAGAACGCAUGUGCGACGUUCCAACGCUGCAUGCAGAAGUGCCUACUGUCACAGAUUGGUAGAAACAUCCACGUCUAUGUGGAUGACAUCAUCGUCAAGACGAAGCAGCACUUCAGCCUCCUCGACGACCUGCGAGAGACAUUCGCCAAUCUGCGCGAAUACAAGAUCCGGCUCAAUCCUGAGAAGUACGUCUUCGGGGUCCCAGACGGCAAACUCUUGGGGUUCUUCGUAUCUGUCCGCGGCAUCGAAGCGAACCCUGAGAAGAUCAGCACCAUCGAGCGGAUGGUGCGGCCGGCUCGGAUCCUCGACGUCCAGAAGCUUGCCGGCUGCUUGGCAUCCCUCAGCCGGUUCAUCAGCUGGCUUGGCGAGAAGGCCCUUCCACUCUACCAGCUCAUGAAGAAGACGACGAAGUUCGAGUGGGACGACCAGGCGGACGAAGCCUUCCGUGACCUCAAGCGGGUAAUCUCUAGCUUGCCAAUCUUGGCAGCCCCAUCUGAAAGGGAACCUGUUGGGGAACGUCGCAUGGGAAACAAAAAUUUUCCUACGCGCACGAAGACCUAGCAUGGUGAUGUCCAUCUACGAGAGGGGAUGAGUGAUCUACGUACCCUUGUAGAUCGUACAGCAGAAGCGUUAGUGAACGCGGUUGAUGUAGUGGAACGUCCUCACGUCCCUCGAUCCGCCCCGCGAACAAUCCCGCGAUCAGUCCCACGAUCUAGUACCGAACGGACGGCACCUCCGCGUUCAGCACACGUACAGCUCGACGAUGAUCUCGGUCUUCUUGAUCCAGCAAGAGAGACGGAGAGGUAGAAGAGUUCUCCGGCAGCGUGACGGCGCUCCGGAGGUUGGUUAUGACCUUGUCUCAGCAGGGCUCCGCUCGAGCUCCGCAGAAACGCGAUCUAGAGGAAAAACCGUGGAGGUAUGUGGUCAGGCUGCCGUGGAAAAGUCGUCUCAAAUCAGCCCUAAAACCUCCGUAUAUAUAGGUGGGAGGGAGGGGACCUUGCCUUGGGGCUCAAGGAGCCCCAAGGGGGUCGGCCGAGUCCAAGGGGGAAGGCUCGCCCCCCCAAACCGAGUUGGACUUGGUUUGGUGGGUGGGAGUCCUUCCUUCCCUUCCCACCUCCUUUUUUUUAUUUUCUCUUUGGUUUUCUUUCCUAGGCGCAUAGGGCCCUUUUGGGCUGUCCCACCAGCCCACUAAGGGCUGGUGUGCCACCCUCAAGGCCUAUGGGCUUCCCCAGGGUGGGUUGACCCCCCCCCCCCCCGGUGAACUCCCGGAACCCAUUCGUCAUUCCCGGUACAUUCCCGGUAACUCCGAAAACCUUCCGGUAAUCAAAUGAGGUCAUCCUAUAUAUCAAUCUUCGUUUCCGGACCAUUCCGGAAACCCUCGUGACGUCUGUGAUCUCAUCCGGGACUCCGAACAACAUUCGGUAACCAACCAUAUAACUCAAAUACGCAUAAAACAACGUCGAACCUUAAGUGUGCAGACCCUGCCGGUUCGAGAACUAUGUAGACAUGACCCGAGAGACUCCUCGGUCAAUAUCCAAUAGCGGGACCUGGAUGCCCAUAUUGGAUCCUACAUAUUCUACGAAGAUCUUAUCGUUUGAACGUCAGUGCCAAGGAUUCAUAUAAUCCCGUAUGCCAUUCCCUUUGUCCUUCGUUCUGUUACUUGCCCGAGAUUCGAUCGUCAGUAUCCGCAUACCUAUUUCAAUCUCGUUUACCGGCAAGUCUCUUUACUCGUUCCGCAAUACAAGAUCCCGCAACUUACACUAAGUUACAUUGCUUGCAAGGCUUGUGUGUGAUGUUGUAUUACCGAGUGGGCCCCGAGAUACCUCUCUGUCACACGGAGUGACAAAUCCCAGUCUUGAUCCAUACUAACUCAACUAACACCUUCGGAGAUACCUGUAGAGCAUCUUUAUAGUCACCCAAUUACGUUGCGACGUUUGAUACACACAAAGCAUUCCUCCGGUGUCAGUGAGUUAUAUGAUCUCAUGGUCAUAGGAAUAAAUACUUGACACGCAGAAAACAGUAGCAACAAUAUGACACGAUCAACAUGCUACGUCUAUUAGUUUGGGCCUAGCCCAUCACGUGAUUCUCUUAAUGACGUGAUCCAGUUAUCAACCAACAACACUUUGUUCAUAAUCAGAAGACACUGACUAUCUUUGAUCAACUGGCUAGCCAACUAGAGGCUUGCUAGGGACGGUGUUUUGUCUAUGUAUCCACACAUGUAAAUGAGUCUUCAUUCAAUACAAUUAUAGCAUGGAUAAUAAAGAUUAUCUUGAUACAGGAAUUAUAAUAAUAACUAUAUUUAUUAUUGCCUCUAGGGCAUAAUUCCAACAGUCUCCCACUUGCACUAGAGUCAAUAAUCUAGCCCUCACAUCAUCAUGUGAAUUACAUUGUAAUAAAUCUAACACCCAUACAGUUCUGGUGUUGAUCAUGCUUUGGCCGUGGAAGAGGUUUAGUCAGCGGGUCUGCUACAUUCAGAUCCGUGUGCACUUUGCAUAUAUUUACGUCCUCUCCCUCGACGUAGUCGCGGAUGAGGUUGAAGCGUCGUUUGAUGUGUCUGGUCUUCUUGUGAAACCGUGGUUCCUUUGCUAAGGCAAUGACACCCGUGUUGUCACAGAACAAGGUUAUUGGAUUCAGUGCGCUUGGCACCACUCCAAGAUCCGUCAUGAACUGCUUCAUCCAGACACUCUCCUUAGCCGCCUCCGAGGCAGCCAUGUACUCCGCUUCACAUGUAGAAUCUGCUACGACGCUUUGCUUGGAACUGCACCAGCUUACCGCACCCCCAUUAAGAAUAAAUACGUAUCCGGUUUGCGACUUAGAGUCGUCCGGAUCUGUGUCAAAGCUUGCAUCGACGUAACCUUUUACGACGAGCUCUUCGUCACCUCCAUACACGAGAAACAUCUCCUUAGUCCUUUUCAGGUACUUCAGGAUAUUCUUGACCGCUGUCCAGUGAUCCACUCCUGGAUUACUCUGGAACCUACCAGCCAUACUUAUGGCCAGGCUAACAUCCGGUCUUGUGCACAACAUUGCAUACAUGAUAGAACCUAUGGCUAAAGCAUAGGGGACGGAGCGCAUAUGUUCUCUAUCUUCAUCAGUUGCUGGGCACUGAGUCUUACUCAAUCUCGUACCUUGUAAAACUGGCAAGAACCCUUUCUUGGACUGUUCCAUUUUGAACCUCUUCAAAACAUUAUCAAGGUAUGUGCUUUGUGAAAGUCCUAUCACGCGUUUUGAUCUAUCCCUAUAGAUCUUAAUGCCUAGAAUGUAAGAAGCUUCUCCUAGGUCCUUCAUAGAGAAACUCUUAUUCAAGUAAUCCUUUAUGCUCUCUAAAAACUCCACGUUGUUUCCAAUCAGCAAUAUGUCAUCCACAUAUAAUCUUAGAAAUGCCACAGAGCUCCCACUCACUUUCUUGUAAAUACAAGAUUCUCCAACCACUUGUAUAAAUCCAAAUGGUUUGAUCACCUCAUCAAAGCGUUUGUUCCAACUCCAAGAUGCUUGCACCAGUCUAUAAAUGGAUCGCUGGAGCUUGCACACCUUGUUAGCAUUCUUAGGAUCGACAAAACCUUCGGGUUGUAUCAUAUACAACUCUUCCUUAAGGAAACCGUUAAGGAACGCCGUUUUGACAUCCAUCUGCCAGAUUUCAUAAUCGAAAAAUGCAGCUAUUGCUAACAUGAUUCUGACGGACUUAAGCAUCGCUACGGGUGAGAAUGUCUCAUCGUAGUCAACUCCUUGAACUUGUGAAAAACCCUUUGCCACAAGUCGAGCUUUAUAAACGGUCACAUUGCCGUCAGCGUCCGUCUUCCUCUUAAAAAUCCAUUUGUUCUGAAUAGCCUUGCGGCCCUCAGGUAGUACCUCCAAAGUCCACACGUUGUUCUCAUACAUGGAUCCUUUCUCGGACUUCAUCGCUUCUAGCCAUUUGUUGGAAUCUGGGCCCACCAUUGCUUCUUCAUAAUUUGCAGGUUCAUUGUUGUCUAACAACAUGAUUGAUAAGACGGGAUUACCGUACCACUCUGGAGCAGCACGUGGUCUCGUCGACCUGCGUGGUUCGACAGAAACUUGAACCGGAGUUUCAUGAUCAUCAUCAUUAACUUCCUCCUCAACCGGCGUCGCAACGACACAGGUUUCCCCUUGCCCUGUGCCACCAUCCAGAGGGAUGAGAGGUUCGACAACCUCGUCAAGUUCUAUCUUCCUCCCACUCAAUUCUCUCGAGAGAAACUCCUUCUCGAGAAAAGCUCCAUUUUUAGCAACAAACACUUUGCCCUCGGAUUUGAGAUAGAAGGUGUACCCAACUGUCUCUUUUGGGUAACCUAUGAAGACGCACUUUUCCGCUUUGGGUUCCAGCUUUUCAGGCUGAAGCUUUUUGACAUAAGCAUCACAUCCCCAAACUUUAAGAAACGACAACUUUGGCCUUUUGCCAUACCACAGUUCGUAUGGUGUCGUCUCAACGGAUUUUGAUGGUGCCCUAUUUAAAGUGAAUGCAGUUGUUUCUAAUGCAUAACCCCAAAACGAUAACGGCAAAUCGGUAAGAGACAUCAUAGAUCGCACCAUCUCUAAUAAAGUACGAUUACGACGUUCGGACACACCAUUACGCUGUGGUGUUCCAGGCAGUGUUAACUGUGAAACAAUUCCACAUUGUCUUAAGUGAGCACCAAACUCGAAACUCAGAUAUUCACCCCCACGAUCAGACCGUAGGAACUUGAUCUUCUUGUUACGAUGAUUUUCAACUUCACUCUGCAAUUGCUUGAACCUUUCAAAUGUUUCAGACUUGUGCUUCAUCAAGUAGACAUAACCAUAUCUACUCAAAUCGUCAGUGAAGGUGAGAAAAUAACGAUAUCCGCCGCGUGCCUCCACGCUCAUCGGACCACACACAUCGGUAUGUAUGAUUUCCAACAAGUCACUUGUACGCUCCAUUGUUCCGGAGAACGGAGUCUUAGUCAUCUUGCCCAUGAGGCAUGGUUCGCACGUGUCAAGUGAAUCAAAGUCAAGUGACUCCAAAAGUCCAUCAGCAUGGAGUUUCUUCAUGCGCUUUACACCAAUAUGACCUAAGCGGCAGUGCCAAAAAAUAUGGCGCUAUCAUUGUUAACUCUAACUCUUUUGGUCUCAAUGUUAUGUAUAUGCGUAUCGCUAUCAAGAUUCAAUAUGAACAAUCCUCUCACAUUAGGUGCAUGACCAUAAAAGAUGUUACUCAUAGAAAUAGAACAACCAUUAUUCUCUGACUUAAAAGAGUAACCGUCUCGCAAUAAACAAGAUCCAGAUAUAAUGUUCAUGCUCAACGCAGGCACUAAAUAACAAUGAUUUAAGUUCAUCACUAAUCCUGAUGGCAACUGAAGUGAAACUGUGCCGACGGCGAUUGCAUCAACCUUGGAACCAUUUCCUACGCGCAUCGUCACUUCAUCCUUUGCCAGCCUUCGUCUAUUCCGCAGUUCCUGUUUCGAGUUGCAAAUAUGAGCAACAGAACCGGUAUCGAAUACCCAGGCACUACUACGAGAGCCGGUUAAGUACACAUCAAUAACAUGUAUAUCAAAUAUACCUGAUUUUUCUUUGCCCGCCUUCUUAUCUGCCAGAUACUUGGGGCAAUUGCGCUUCCAGUGACACAUACCCUUGCAAUAGUAACACUCCGUUUCAGGCUUAGGUCCAGCUUUGGGUUUCUUCGUCGGAUUGGCAACAAGCUUGCCGCUCUUCUUUGAAUUACCCUUAUUGCCUUUGCCGUUUCUCUUGAAACUAGUGGUCUUAUUCACCAUCAACACUUGACGCUCUUUACGGAGUUCAGACUCUGCGACUUUCAGCAUCGCAAACAACUCGCCGGGAGACUUGUUCAUCCCUUGCAUGUUGUAGUUCAACACAAAGCCUUUAUAGCUUGGCGGCAGUUAUUGAAAGAUUCUGUCAGUGAUAGCCUCUUGCGGGAGUUCAAUACCCAGCUCAGCUAGACGGUUUGAGUACCCAGACAUUUUGAGCACAUGUUCACUUACAGACGAGUUCUCCUCCAUCUUGCAAGCAUAGAAUUUAUCGGAGGUCUCAUACCUCUCGAUCCGGGCGUUCUUCUGAAAGAUAAACUUCAACUCCUGGAACAUCUCAAAUGCUCCAUGACGCUCAAAGCGACGUUGAAGUCCCGGUUCUAAGCCAUACAAGACUGCACAUUGAACUAUUGAGUAGUCCUCCUUACGUGCCAACCAAGCGUUCUUAACAUCCUGAUCAGCCGUAGAGGGUGGUUCAUCUCCUAACGCAGCAUUAAGGACAUAAUCCUUCUUCCCAGCUUGUAAGAUUAGCUUAAGAUUACGAGCCCAGUCUACAAACUUGCUUCCAUCAUCUUUCAACUUAGCUUUCUCUAGGAACGUAUUAAAAAUCAGGAUGACUGUAGCGUGAGCCAUGAUCUACAACACAAAUAUAUUCAAAGUGGACUUAGACUAUGAUCAAGAUAAUUAGAGUUUAACUUAAUCAAAUUAUUCGCUAAACUCCCACUCGAAAAGUACAUCUCUCUAGUCAUUUGAGUGGUUCAUGAUCCACUUACACUAGCUUAAGUCCGAACAUCACGUGAGUUGAGUAUAGUUUCAGUGGUAAGCAUCUCUAUGCUAACCAUAUCAUCUAUAUGAUUCAUGAUCGACCUUUCGGUCUCAUGUGUUCCGAGGCCAUGUCUGCACAUGCUAGGCUCGUCAAGCUUAACCCGAGUGUUCCGCGUGCGCAACUGUUUUGCACCCGUUGUAUGUGAACAUUGAGUCUAUCACACCCGAUCAUCACGUGGUGUCUCGAAACGACGAACUGUAGCAACGGUGCACAGUCGGGGAGAACACAAUUUCGUCUUGAAAUUUUAGUGAGAGAUCACCUCAUAAUGCUACCGUCGUUCUAAGCAAAAUAAGGUGCAUAAAAGGAUUAACAUCACAUGCAAUUCAUAAGUGACAUGAUAUGGCCAUCAUCACGUGCUUCUUGAUCUCCAUCACCAAAGCACCGGCACGAUCUUCUUGUCACCGGCGCCACACCAUGAUCUCUAUCAACGUGUUGCCAUCGGGGCUGUCGUGCUACUCAUGCUAUUACUACUAAAGCUACAUCCUAGCAAAAUAGUAAACGCAUCUGCAAGCACAAACGUUAGUAUAAAGACAACCCUAUGGCUCCUGCCGGUUGCCGUACCAUCGACGUGCAAGUCGAUAUUUUCUAUUACAACAUGAUCGUCUCAUACAUCCAAUAUAUCACAUCACAUCGUUGGCCAUAUCACAUCACAAGCAUACCCUGCAAAAACAAGUUAGACGUCCUGUAAUUUUGUUGUUGCAUGUUUUACGUGGUGACCAUGGGUAUCUAGUAGGAUCGCAUCUUACUUACGCAAACACCACAACGGAGAUAUAUGAGUUGCUAUUUAACCUCAUCCAAGGACCUCCUCGGUCAAAUCCGAUUCAACUAAAGUUGGAGAAACCGACACUUGCCAGUCAUCUUUGAGCAACGGGGUUACUCGUAGCGAUGAAACCAGUCUCUCGUAAGCGUACGAGUAAUGUCGGUCCAAGCCGCUUCAAUCCAACAAUACCGCGGAAUCAAGAAAAGACUAAGGAGGGCAGCAAAACGCACAUCACCGCCCACAAAAACUUUUGUGUUCUACUUGAGAAGACAUCUGCGCAUGAACCUAGCUCAUGAUGCCACUGUUGGGGAACGUCGCAUGGGAAACAAAAAUUUUCCUACGCGCACGAAGACCUAUCAUGGUGAUGUCCAUCUACGAGAGGGGAUGAGUGAUCUACGUACCCUUGUAGAUCGUACAGCAGAAGCGUUAGUGAACGCGGUUGAUGUAGUGGAACGUCCUCACGUCCCUCGAUCCGCCCCGCGAACAAUCCCGCGAUCAGUCCCACGAUCUAGUACCGAACGGACGGCACCUCCGCGUUCAGCACACGUACAGCUCGACGAUGAUCUCGGCCUUCUUGAUCCAGCAAGAGAGACGGAGAGGUAGAAGAGUUCUCCGGCAGCGUGACGGCACUCCGGAGGUUGGUGAUGACCUUGUCUCAGCAGGGCUCCGCCCGAGCUCCGCAGAAACGCGAUCUAGAGGAAAAACCGUGGAGGUAUGUGGUCGGGCUGCCGUGGAAAAGUUGUCUCAAAUCAGCCCUAAAACCUCCGUAUAUAUAGGUGGGAGGGAGGGGACCUUGCCUUGGGGCCCAAGGAGCCCCAAGGGGGUCGUCCGAGUCCAAGGGGGAAGCCUCCCCCCCCCAAACCGAGUUGGACUUGGUUUGGUGGGUGGGAGUCCUUCCUUCCCUUCCCACCUCCUUAUUUUUCUUUUCUCUUUGAUUUUCUUUCCUAGGCGCAUAGGGCCCUUUUGGGCUGUCCCACCAGACCACUAAGGGCUGGUGUGCCACCCUCAAGGCCUAUGGGCUUCCCCAGGGUGGGUUGACCCCCCCCCCCCGGUGAACUCCCGGAACCCAUUCGUCAUUCCCGGUACAUUCCCGGUAACUCCGAAAACCUUCCGGUAAUCAAAUGAGGUCAUCCUAUAUAUCAAUCUUCGUUUCCGGACCAUUCCGGAAACCCUCGUGACGUCCGUGAUCUCAUCCGGGACUCCGAACAACAUUCGGUAACCAACCAUACAACUCAAAUACGCAUAAAACAACGUCGAACCUUAAGUGUGCAGACCCUACGGGUUCGAGAACUAUGUAGACAUGACCCAAGAGACUCCUCGGUCAAUAUCCAAUAGCGGGACCUGGAUGCCCAUAUUGGAUCCUACAUAUUCUACGAAGAUCUUAUCGUUUGAACCUCAGUGCCAAGGAUUCAUAUAAUCCCGUAUGUCAUUCCCUUUGUCCUUCGGUAUGUUACUUGCCCGAGAUUCGAUCGUCAGUAUCCGCAUACCUAUUUCAAUCUCGUUUACCGGCAAGUCUCUUUACUCGUUCUGCAAUACAAGAUCCCGCAACUUACACUAAGUUACAUUGCUUGCAAGGCUUGUGUGUGAUGUUGUAUUACCGAGUGGGCCCCGGGAUACCUCUCCGUCACACGGAGUGACAAAUCCCAGUCUUGAUCCAUACUAACUCAACUAACACCUUCGGAGAUACCUGUAGAGCAUCUUUAGAGUCACCCAGUUACGUUGCGACGUUUGAUACACACAAAGCAUUCCUCCGGUGUCAGUGAGUUAUAUGAUCUCAUGGUCAUAGGAAUAAAUACUUGACACGCAGAAAACAGUAGCAACAAAAUGACACGAUCAACAUGCUACGUCUAUUAGUUUGGGUCUAGUCCAUCACGUGAUUCUCCUAAUGACGUGAUCCAGUUAUCAAGCAACAACACUUUGUUCAUAAUCAGAAGACACUGACUAUCUUUGAUCAACUGGCUAGCCAACUAGAGGCUUGCUAGGGACGGUGUUUUGUCUAUGUAUCCACACAUGUAAAUGAGUCUUCAUUCAAUACAAUUAUAGCAUGGAUAAUAAACGAUUAUCUUGAUACAGGAAUUAUAAUAAUAACUAUAUUUAUUAUUGCCUCUAGGGCAUAAUUCCAACAGAACCCAUACUCAUAUAUAUCACGGUGACCACUCGCGUGGUCAGCGUAGUGUUGGUAGUUCAGCGUAAAGAGGAAGGCAAGGCCCUGCCAGUACAGCGCCCUGUCUACUACCUUAGCGAUUUCUUCUCCGCCUCUAAGCAGAACUACCCUCAUUAUCAGAAAAUGUGUUAUGGUGUUUACCUUGGUGCAAAGAAAUUAAAACAAUACUUCCAAGAGCGUGCCAUCACUGGGGUGAGCACGGCUCCACUCUCAGAGAUCGUGGGCAAGUAGGUUACCGUGAUGCCACGAGCAGAAUUGCCCAAUGGUCCAUCGCCAUGGCGGACCAUGACUUUCAGUACGAGCCUCGCACCGCCAUCAAAUCACAGGUGGUGGCCGACUUCUUAGUCGACUGAGCCGAGACCCAGUUCGAGCCACCGCCUCCAGACUCCACGCAUUGGCGGAUGCACUUCGACGGCUCGAAGAUGCGGACGAGACUAGGAGCCGGCAUCAUCUUGACGUCUCCGAAAGGGAACCAGCUCAAGUACGCUCUCCAGAUCCACUUCGCCGCCUCCAACAACGUCACCGAGUACGAAGCACUGGCCCACGGCCUCCGGCUUGCCAAGGAGAUUGGCAUCCGACGGCUCAUAUGCUUCGGCGAUUCGGACUUGGUGGUGCAGCAGGUCUCUGGCGAAUGGGAUGCCAGGGACGCCAACAUGGCAAGCUACCGCUUCCUCAUCCAGCAGCUCAGCGGCCCCUUCGAGGGUUGUGAGUUCCACCAUGUUCGCAUGGCAGAAAAUGAGGCGGCACACACACUAGCAAAGAUCGGCUCCACAAGGCAGGCCAUCCGAGCUGGCAUCUCCCUCGAGCAACUCCACAAGCCGUCUCCGGAGUCGGCAUCAAUCUUCGUACCGGUCAAAUCCACGAUACAAGUGCCGUCGGCUCCGCCAGUUAUGCCGGCUGCGGACCCCACGCCGGCUGCACUGACGGCUCCGGCUCCAAAUGCGGCACCGACUGAGUCUACGGUGCAAGCGCCGUCGGCUCCACCAACUACACCGGCUUCGGAUCCUAAUUCGGCUCCAUUGGUCCACCCAACUCCAACAACGACAACCCCGGCUCUGCCCGGGUUCGAAUCCUCCCAGUGGGUGGACGUCAUGGAGAUAGACGAGGAACCGGCUGCAGCAAUAGCACCAAAGAUGCCAUCAAGCUCGGGGGUUGCAGAAGCCCCAAACAGUCAAGACGAAGCGGAGGCGACUCUUGUGUCGGCUCCAUCAUGGGCUCAGGCCAUUCUGGCCUUCCUUCUUCGUGGCGAACUUCCUCAAAAUGAGGCGGAGGUGAGACAGACCCAGUGCACGUCCGCCGCUUACGCCAUCAUCAAUCGUGAGCUGGUGCGACGCAGCACGACCGGCGUGUUCCAACGUUGCGUCGAAUCAGAAAAAGGGCAGGAGAUCCUCAGAGACAUCCACUAGGGGGAGUGUGGGCAUCAUGCCGCCUCCAGAACCCUGGUAGCCAAAGCAUUCCGCCAUGGAUUCUACUGGCCCACGGCCCUCGAGGAGGUUGUGGAUCUGGUGGACAAAUGUGAAGGCUGCCAACGCUUUAGUGCACAGAGCCAUAUGCCGCCUUCAGCACUGAAAACCAUCCCCUUAUCAUGGACAUUCGCCGUCUGGGGACUGGACAUGGUUGGGCCCUUCAAGACGGCUCGCGGAGGGAUGACACAUCUUCUUGUAGCCGUCGACAAGUUCACCAAGUGGAUCGAAGCCAGGCCUAUCAAGAAGCUUGACGGCCCCACUGCUGUGAGGUUUAUCACGGACAUCUCUGUCCGAUAUGGCGUUCCCCACAACAUCAUCACCGACAACGACACCAACUUCGCCAAGGGCGCCCUGGCGCUCUACUGUUCCAAGGUAGGCAUCCGGCUCGACCUGGCCUCGGUGGCACACCCCCAGUCAAACGGCCAAGCGGAGAGGGCCAACGGCCUGAUCCUAGCCGGCAUCAAGCCAAGGCUGGUGGCACCACUGGUCAGGUCAGCCGGCUGCUGGAUCAAAGAACUGCCGGCUGUGCUAUGGAGCCUCCGCACCAUGCCCAACCGGUCGACCGGCUUCACUUCAUUCUUUCUGGUAUACGGGUCUGAGGCUAUCAUUCCCACGGAUGUCGAAUUCGACUCGCCUUGGGUCAACCUAUACACAGAAACGGAGGCAAAGGAGGCCAGAGAGGACGGUGUGGAUCUCCUCGCGGAAGCAAGGGACUUGGCUUUGAGCCGGACGGCCAUCUACCAACAGAAGCUAAGAUACUACCACAGCAAAAGGAUCAGGCCUCUCUCUUUUAGGGAGGGAGACUUGGUCCUCAGAAGAAUCCAGCGCACUGCCGGCCGGCACAAGCUCUCACCCCCUUGGGAGGGACCCUUCAUCAGUAGGGCGUUACACAACAACGCUUACUACCUGAUUGACGCCCAGAAGCCAAGGAAGCGCAAGAAGGACGACUCCGGCCAAGAAACAGAGCGCCCAUGGAACACGGCGUUGCUUCGCCCGUUCUAUUGCUAAAAGGCAGAAGACAAGCAAAGGAAAGAGCAUGCACAUGUAUCUUCCUCCCUCUUCAGGGAACAAAGAAGGCAAUAAAAAGGACAUGCUCCAUGUUUCUUUUUGUCAAGAGUUCUCACUCACGUUUACGGGCUACACAGCGUACCACCUCUUGCUGGCUUGCUCAAGCUCGGAGGCUACGCGGCGCGGCCCCUUGCUAGCUUAUAACAAGCUCGGGGGCUCGCCAGCCGCCUGAACGGUCAAACCCUUAUAACGGACACAUAGUGUACUGGCUAACCCCUGGUCCAUCGCUUGAACCUGCGGGCUGACUCCGGUCGCUCGGUUCGCGAUAUGACGCCAGGUAAGGUCGAAUACAUGCAAAGUCCGGCUAUACUUGGGACGACCGUCUCGUGCGGGCUCGAUCGUAUAUACGAUCUCCUUUAAGACUCAAGACGGACUCUGAUUGCCGAGACUCAAGACGGCCUCUGACUGCCGAGAACCACAAAUAUGGUGAAAAAAGCAGGCUCCAUGCUUUCUCUUGCUAAAAGAGUUUUCACUCAGUGUACGGGCUACACCACGUACCACCUCUUGCUGGCUUGCUCAAGCUCGGAGGCUACGCAGCGCGGCCCCUUGCUAGCUUUAAACAAGCUCGGGGGCUCGCCAGCCGCUCGGACGGUCAAUCCUUGUAGUCGGGCACAUAGUGUACAGGCUGAUUCCCGGUCCAUCUCUUGAACCUGCGGGCAGGCUCCGGUCGCUCGGUUCGCGAUGUGACGCCGGGUCAGGUCGAAUACAUGCACAGUCCGGCUAUACUAGUGACGACCGGCUCAAGUUGGUUCAUUCAAGCCGGCCUUUUAUUGGCUUAUGUCUUGUUCUUUACGUCUUGAUGGCUUCGGAUAAGAGAAGUCAACCAGGAAUCAAAAGACGGGAUCAUAAGACAACACGCUUGGUGACGAAUAUAAUGCUGAAUAUAUACAUUCAUAAAAAGCAUUGGCCCACGGCCCGCGUUCGUUACAUCCCUCCGGGGGUACAACCAAAAACACAAAAGGACAUCAGUCACGGGACAGCGGCCUCAAUGGUCAUCUCGGCUGCUGCUCCUGAUGUGGUAGCAUCGCCGCCUCCGGCUCCUCCCGAGGUGGAUGCGCCGUCUCCCCCGUUGCGGCCCCCGGCUCCGCUGAUCCCGGAGUUGGCAUACUCCCCACCGCUGGAGGCGGCUGCAGAUUUCCGCAGCCCAGGCCGCCUCGUCGGAGCUGCCAUCGGUGUCGUAGGGCUGAAGGCCGUGCACAUCCUCAGCGAUCAUACCGCCGUCUUCAUCCCACUCCAAGACGAAGUCGUCCCAGGCUGCGUACUCAGCCACGGCGCUGGCCCUCACCAGGAGCUCCUCCUCCAGGCCUUGCAGCUCCGCCUCUGAGCCGUCGCGCUGGGCAGCCAGCUUGCCCAUGUUCAGGUUGCGAUACCAUGACUUGGCCAAGCGCAGGGCCAUAUAAGCUCCAGACCACGCUGCGGAGGCUCGCCAGGCGUCGAGGCGCUCUCCACCCGCCGUGAGCCAACGGGCAAGACGGCUCAUGGUCGUCAGCUCCACGCCCUCCGGCCACAGGGCCGCCACCAUUGACGAACCCGCAACCUGGAGCUGAGUCACAGACUCGCCCACGACGUGCAGGCGGGCCCGAAGCCCCCACACCAAUCUCCUCGACGCUCCAGCCGGAGGUAGUAUCUACCUCCUCUCCAGCCACGCGGCGCUCCUCGCGGCACACCUCAACGGCAGUGUCGGCUGCGACCUGGGUCUCGGAGAAGAGAUCUGGGGUAAAGAUAGCCAGGACGUAAGAACACAGCAAGAGGAGGAGACGGCCAAAAAAACGCAAAACAAGGAAAGGAAACCUACGCUGGAAGGCGUUGUCGGUCUCAUGAAAGACCUCGAGGACCUCGCGCUCCCGCACCUCACUCGCAUGAGUGAGGCGGGCGAUUUCCUCCUAGAGGGUCCCGGCGGACUCCAGCGCCUUACCCAGCUGCGCUUGCUUCUGUGUAAGGGCUUCAUCCUUCGCCCUCAAGGCGGCGUCCUUGAGGUUCGCCUCCUCAAGAUGGAGCGACGCGAGGCGGUCCAUGUCAGCAGAGUUGGAGGCCUCCUUCUCCUGCAGCAUGGCCCGCAGCCGCUCCAGCUCGACCCGGCCGGUCGCCUGGAGCUCCUUCUUCUCCGCCUGAAGAAGGUCCAGCUGCUCUUGGAGCCGGCCGCCGGCUUCACGAAGGGCAUCACGCUCCGCGGCGGCCUCGCCUAGUCGGACUUCAAGCUCGGCGAUCUGGCUAUCAGCCCCCAGGUGCUGGUCCCGAAGCUCGUUGUACGCCUGUACCUGAGCAUCGUAUAGCGCCUGCCAAAGGGGAGAGAAAGCGAACAUGAUUAAGAUUCGACCUGGUUAAAAGCAUAACCAGCCCGAUUCUCGGGGGCUACACCGAGUGGGUGCGCUUGCGCGCCCCCACUGAAGAAAAAUAUGCAGAAGAAAAAGGCCUCCAAGAGAUUCGGACCGGUUGGCAAUCAACCCGCCCAAUUCUCGGGGGCUACACCUAGUGGGUGCGCUGUCGCGCCCCCACUGACGUCAAGAGAAGAGAAAAAAGCAAAAGAAAAACCAAAAAAGGCAAGGCCUACCUGGGUACGGGCUUCCAGGCGCUCCAUGUCGCCGCAUACCACGCGGGCCGCCUGCUCCACCUUCGACCGGCCGCUGUCAAACAGCAUCACCAGCUCCGGCACGCCGGAAAGAACGGUGCGAGCGGGCAUUCGCAGGCGGGCUGCGUUUGCCGCCCGUCAUGACUUCAUGGGCCGGCUCCCAGGCCGGCCCCCUGCCCUUGGCGCGACAUGGCCCUGCUGGGGGACGACGAUGGCGCCGGCUCCUGGUGCCGGCUCAACGGCCGGCUCGGGCGCCGCACCAGCCGGCGCUACCUCCUCCACAGGAGGCGGAUGAGCCGCGUCCGGCGCAUCCAUGGUCGCCCCUGGGGCGUCAGGGGCCGCGUCCGGCGCGGCCAGAUCCAGCACCGGCGCAUCAGGAGCUGCUUCGGCCCGGGGAGAAACCGGGAUCGUCUCUAGGUCCACCUGCUCCGGGGCUGCCGGCUCAGGCGGCUGGGUCCCUUCGGUCCUCGGGGUCGGCCUGGAGGCGGCCUCGCUAGCUGGCUCCUCCACACGAGCGUGUGCGGAGGGGUCCUGUCUAGCCUUUGCACGCUUCUCCGCCGGCCUCUCGACCCGGCUGAGGCAAGGCUGAUCUACGGCGGCCUUCCCCACAGCCGUGUCCCACCGGCGCUUGGACUCUAUCUCCAGCUCCCUAUCGGCAGCAACAGCUGCUGCCCAGCCGGCCCGCUCGGCCGCGGAGGCGGUGUCUUCAUCCGCAUCCUCCGCAUCCCUGUCAAGCCAAGCUUCUCAGGAACAAAGUUCAUCUCAAGAUAUGGACGGAAGAAGAGGAGGAAACCAUACCCGACAACUACUGGGACCUGCCUCCGACCACCGCCACGGCGCCUCUUGGCGUCGCCUGCUCGCUGCCUGGCUAGGGGACCCGACGCCGGUCGCUUAGAGGCCGGCCGGGAAGUUGUGGCACCCUUGCCCUUCUUCCCGACUGCCUUGUCUGCAGCGGUCGCUCCGCCACCUUGACGCCGGACGCGAGAUGGUAGUGGGCCGGUGACCUCCUCCACCUCGUCGGAGAGUCCCUCGAAGGCUACAUCAGAGUAGAAUGAGGCUUCCUCAUCGUCGUCCGUCCAGUCUGCUAGGGCGUGCCUCGGGUACUCACCAGACGGCUCGGUACCUUCCGACUCCAGGGGAUCUCCCGAGCCGGCGGAGGAGUCUGAGCGGGGCUCCAUCGCAUCCUCGUCCUCCAUCUCGGAGGCGCCGGACACCUCCACCUCAGGAGCAGGCGGACGGAGGGACCCCUGCAGGGUCUGGAACAUCUACAAGAAAGGAAUUUAACCAGGCUUAGCAAAUGCCACCGACUUCAGAACAAAACGACAGAAAAGAAGGGAGAAAGGCUACCAUCAGAGGCGGAUGCGCCUGGUUGAACGGGGCCAUCCCCCAUGUCCAUUUCCCGCCCUCAUCCAUGCGGGCGGUGGAGAUCAAGUUCACCCUUCACGCCACAGCACCCGGGGUGAACCUCUUGAUGGACAGCCGGUAUGGAUCAAGCCGGCCGCUCAUCUGGCAGACCAGAUGUGGCCGCCUCUGCAGAGGCAGAAUCUGGCGGACCACCAUGGUGGCAAGAAGGUCGCGGCCGAGGAGGCCGCUCUCCCUCAAGACAUCAAGGUAGGCGCGAAUAGGCGCCACCUCAGGAUGCUGCUUGGGAGUCUUCGCGUCCCAGUUUUGCCGCGUCGGAUGAGCGACGGCGAACGGGGGCAUGUUGAGAGCGUCCUGGGCCGGGUCGGUCCUCCUCACAUAGAAGAACCCCUUUUGCCAAUGCUUGGCGGAGUCCUGCAAAGGCAUCUGGGGAAAGCCCUGUUGGGGAACGUCGCAUGGGAAACAAAAAUUUUCCUACGCGCACGAAGACCUAUCAUGAUGAUGUCCAUCUACGAGAGGGGAUGAGUGAUCUACGUACCCUUGUAGAUCGUACAGCAGAAGCGUUAGAGAACGCGGUUGAUGUAGUGGAACGUCCUCACGUCCCUCGAUCCGCCCCGCGAACAAUCCCGCGAUCAGUCCCACGAUCUAGUACCGAACGGACGGCACCUCCGCGUUCAGCACACGUACAGCUCGACGAUGAUCUCGGCCUUCUUGAUCCAGCAAGAGAGACGGAGAGGUAGAAGAGUUCUCCGGCAGCGUGACGGCGCUACAGAGGUUGGUGAUGAUCUCAUCUCAGCAGGGCUCCGCCCGAGCUCCGCAGAAACGCGAUCUAGAGGAAAAACUAUGGAGGUAUGUGGUCGGGCAGCCGUGAGAAAGUCGUCUCAAUUAUGCCCUAAAAGCUCCAUAUAUAUAGGAGGAGGGAGGGGGACCUUGCCUUGGGGUCCAAGGGACCCUCAAGGGGUCGGCCGAGCCAAGGGGGGAGGACUCCCCCCCAAACCGAGUUGGACUUGGUUUGGUGGGAGGAGUCCCCCUCCCUUCCCACUUCUUCCCUCUUUUUUUUUCUUUUCCUUUGAUUUCCUUCUCUUGGCGCAUAGGUCCCCUUGGGGCUGUCCCACCAGCCCACUAAGGGCUGGUGUGUCUCCCCAAAGCCUAUGGGCUUCCCCGGGGUCGGGUUGCCCAACCCCCCCCCCCCCGGUCGAACUCCCGGAACCCAUUCGUCAUUCCCGGUACAUUCCCGGUAACUCCGAAAACCUUCCGGUAAUCAAAUGAGGUCAUCCUAUAUAUCAAUCUUCGUUUCCGGACCAUUCCGGAAACCCUCGUGACGUCCGUGAUCUCAUCCGGGACUCCGAACAACAUUCGGUAACCAACCAUAUAACUCAAAUACGCAUAAAACAACGUCGAACCUUANAUUGUAUUUUUUGCACUAGUUUUGUAUGUACGUAGUUUUAUGUGACAUAAUUUUUUUACAUUGAUUAUAUUAUUUUAUGGUCUCUUUUUACGUAUAAAAUAAGACAAAAAUUAUGAAACGUAAAAUUACGGUGAAUUGAUGUUAAAAUUGUUGGGGAACGUCGCAUGGGAAACAAAAAUUUUCCUACGCGCACGAAGACCUAUCAUGGUGAUGUCCAUCUACGAGAGGGGAUGACUGAUCUACGUACCCUUGUAGAUCGUACAGCAGAAGCGUUAGUGAACGCGGUUGAUGUAGUGGAACGUCCUCACGUCCCUCGAUCCGCCCCGCGAACAAUCCCGCGAUCAGUCCCACGAUCUAGUACCGAACGGACGGCACCUCCGCGUUCAGCACACGUACAGCUCGACGAUGAUCUCGGCCUUCUUGAUCCAGCAAGAGAGACGGAGAGGUAGAAGAGUUCUCCGGCAGCGUGACGGCGCUCCGGAGGUUGGUGAUGACCUUGUCUCAGCAGGGCUCCGCCCGAGCUCUGCAGAAACGCGAUCUAGAGGAAAAACCGUGGAGGUAUGUGGUCGGGCUGCCGUGGAAAAGUCGUCCCAAAUAAGCCCUAAAACCUCCGUAUAUAUAGGUGGGAGGGAGGGGACCUUGCCUUCGGGCUCAAGGAGCCCCAAGGGGGUCGGCCGAGUCCAAGGGGGAAGGCUCCCCCCCAAACCGAGUUGGACUUGGUUUGGUGGGUGGGAGUCCUUCCUUCCCUUCCCACCUCCUUUUUUCUUUUCUUUUCUCUUUGAUUUUCUUUCCUAGGCGCAUAGGGCCCUUUUGGGCUGUCCCACCAGCCCACUAAGGGAUGGUGUGCCACCCUCAAGGUCUAUGGGCUUCCCCAGGGUGGGUUGUCCCCCUCGGUGAACUCCCGGAACCCAUUCGUCAUUCCCGGUACAUUCCCGGUAACUCCGAAAACCUUCCGGUAAUCAAAUGAGGUCAUCCUAUAUAUCAAUCUUCGUUUCCGGACCAUUUCGGAAACCCUCGUGACGUCCGUGAUCUCAUCCGGGACUCCGAACAACAUUCGGUAACCAACCAUAUAACUCAAAUACGCAUAAAACAACGUCGAACCUUAAGUGUGCAGACCCUGCGGGUUCGAGAACUAUGUAGACAUGACCCGAGAGACUCCUCGGUCAAUAUCCAAUAGCGGGACCUGGAUGCCCAUAUUGGAUCCUACAUAUUCUACGAAGAUCUUAUCGUUUGAACCUCAGUGGCAAGGAUUCAUAUAAUCCCGUAUGUCAUUCCCUUUGUCCUUCGGUAUGUUACUUGCCCGAGAUUCGAUCGUCAGUAUCCGCAUACCUAUUUCAAUCUCGUUUACCGGCAAGUCUCUUUACUCGUUCCGCAAUACAAGAUCCCCCAACUUACACUAAGUUACAUUGCUUGCAAGGCUUGAGUGUGAUGUUGUAUUACCGAGUGGGCCCCGAGAUACCUCUCCGUCACACGGAGUGACAAAUCCCAGUCUUGAUCCAUACUAACUCAACGAACACCUUCGGAGAUACCUGUAGAGCAUCUUUAUAGUCACCCAGUUACGUUGCGACGUUUGAUGCACGCAAAGCAUUCCUCCGGUGUCAGUGAGUUAUAUGAUCUCAUGGUCAUAGGAAUAAAUACUUGACACGCAGAAAACAGUAGCAACAAAAUGACACGAUCAACAUGCUACGUCUAUUAGUUUGGGUCUAGUCCAUCACGUGAUUCUCCUAAUGACGUGAUCCAGUUAUCAAGCAACAACACUUUGUUCAUAAUCAGAAGACACUGACUAUCUUUGAUCAACUCGCUAGCCAACUAGAGGCUUGCUAGGGACGGUGUUUUGUCUAUGUAUCCACACAUGUAAAUGAGUCUUCAUUCAAUACAAUUAUAGCAUGGAUAAUAAACGAUUAUCUUGAUACAGGAAUUAUAAUAAUAACUAUAUUUAUUAUUGCCUCUAGGGCAUAACUCCAACAGUCUCCCACUUGCACUAGAGUCAAUAAUCUAGCCCUCACAUCAUCAUGUGAAUUACAUUGUAAUAAAUCUAACACCCAUACAGUUCUGGUGUUGAUCAUGCUUUGGCCGUGGAAGAGGUUUAGUCAGCGGGUCUGCUACAUUCAGAUCCGUGUGCACUUUGCAUAUAUUUACGUCUUCUCCCUCGACGUAGUCGCGGAUGAGGUUGAAGCGUCGUUUGAUGUGUCUGGUCUUCUUGUGAAACCGUGGUUCCUUUGCUAAGGCAAUGGCACCCGUGUUGUCACAGAACAAGGUUAUUGGAUUCAGUGCGCUUGGUACCACUCCAAGAUCCUCAUGAACUGCUUCAUCCAGACACCCUCCUUAGCCGCCUCCGAGGCAGCCAUGUACUCCGCUUCACAUGUAGAAUCUGCUACGACGCUUUGCUUGGAACUGCACCAGCUUACCGCACCCCCAUUAAAAAUAAAUACGUAUCCGGUUUGCGACUUAGAGUCGUCCGGAUCUGUGUCAAAGCUUGCAUCGACGUAACCUUUUACGGCGAGCUCUUCGUCACCUCCAUACACGAGAAACAUAUCCUUAGUCCUUUUCAGGUACUUCAGGAUAUUCUUGACCGCUGUCCAGUGAUCCACUCCUGGAUUACUCUAGAACCUACCUGCCAUACUUAUGGCCAGGCUAACAUCCGGUCUUGUGCACAACAUUGCAUACAUGAUAGAACCUAUGGCUGAAGCAUAGGGGACGGAGCGCAUAUGCUCUCUAUCUUCAUCAGUUGCUGGGCACUGAGUCUUACUCAAUCUCGUACCUUGUAAAACUGGCAAGAACCCUUUCUUGGACUGUUCCACUUUGAACCUCUUCAAAACUUUAUCAAGGUAUGUGCUUUGUGAAAGUCCUAUCAGGCGUUUUGAUCUAUCCCUAUAGAUCUUAAUGCCUAGAAUGUAAGCAGCUUCUCCUAGGUCCUUCAUAGAGAAACUCAUAUUCAAGUAAUCCUUUAUGCUCUCUAAAAACUCCACGUUGUUUCCAAUCAGCAAUAUGUCAUCCACAUAUAAUAUUAGAAACGCCACAGAGCUCCCACUCACUUUCUUGUAAAUACAAGAUUCUCCAACCACUUGUAUAAACCCAAAUGCUUUGAUCACCUCAUCAAAGCGUUUGUUCCAACUCCGAGAUGCUUGCACCAGUCCAUAAAUGGAUCGCUGGAGCUUGCACACCUUGUUAGCAUUCUUAUGAUCGACAAAACCUUCGGGUUGUAUCAUAUACAACUCUUCCUUAAGGAAACCGUUAAGGAACGCCGUUUUGACAUCCAUCUGCCAGAUUUCAUAAUCGAAAAAUGCAGCUAUUGCUAACAUGAUUCUGACGGACUUAAGCAUCGCUACGGGUGAGAAUGUCUCAUCGUAGUCAACUCCUUGAACUUGUGAAAAACCCUUUGCCACAAGUCGAGCUUUAUAAACGGUCACAUUGCCGUCAGCGUCCGUCUUCCUCUUAAAAAUCCAUUUGUUCUGAAUAGCCUUGCGGCCCUCAGGUAGUACCUCCAAAGUCCACACUUUGUUCUCAUACAUGGAUCCUAUCUCGGACUUCAUGGCUUCUAGCCAUUUGUUGGAAUCUGGGCCCACCAUUGCUUCUUCAUAAUUUGCAGGUUCAUUGUUGUCUAACAACAUGAUUGAUAAGACAGGAUUACCGUACCACUCUGGAGCAGCACGUGGUCUCGUCGACCUGCGUGGUUUGACAGAAACUUGAACCGGAGUUUCAUGAUCAUCAUCAUUAACUUCCUCUUCAACCGGCGUCGCAACGACAGAGGUUUCCCCUUGCCCUGCGCCACCAUCCAGAGGGAUGAGAGGUUCGACAACCUCGUCAAGUUCUAUCUUCCUCCCACUCAAUUCUCUCGAGAGAAACUCCUUCUCGAGAAAAGCUCCGUUUUUAGCAACAAACACUUUGCCCUCGGAUUUGAGAUAGAAGGUGUACCCAACUGUCUCUUUUGGGUAACCUAUGAAGACGCACUUUUCCGCUUUGGGUUCCAGCUUUUCAGGCUGAAGCUUUUUGACAUAAGCAUCACAUCCCCAAACUUUAAGAAACGACAACUUUGGCCUUUUGCCAUACCACAGUUCGUAUGGUGUCGUCUCAACGGAUUUUGAUGGUGCCCUAUUUAAAGUGAAUGCAGCUGUUUCUAAUGCAUAACCCCAAAACGAUAACGGCAAAUCGGUAAGAGACAUCAUAGAUCGCACCAUCUCUAAUAAAGUACGAUUACGACGUUCGGACACACCAUUACGCUGUGGUGUUCCAGGCGGUGUUAACUGUGAAACAAUUCCACAUUGUCUUAAGUGAGCACCAAACUCGAAACUCAGAUAGUCACCCCCACGAUCAGACCGUAGGAACUUGAUCUUCUUGUUACGAUGAUUUUCAACUUCACUCUGAAAUUGCUUGAACCUUUCAAAUGUUUCAGACUUGUGCUUCAUCAAGUAGACAUAACCAUAUCUACUCAAAUCGUCAGUGAAGGUGAGAAAAUAACGAUAUCCGCCGCGUGCCUCCACGCUCAUCGGACCACACACAUCGGUAUGUAUGAUUUCCAACAAGUCACUUGCACGCUCCAUUGUUCCGGAGAACGGAGUCUUAGUCAUCUUGCCCAUGAGGCAUGGUUCGCACGUGUCAAGUGAAUCAAAGUCAAGUGACUCCAAAAGUCCAUCAGCAUGGAGUUUCUUCAUGCGCUUUACACCAAUAUGACCUAAGCGGCAGUGCCACAAAAAUAUGGCGCUAUCAUUGUUAACUCUAACUCUUUUGGUCUCAAUGUUAUGUAUAUGCGUAUCGCUAUCAAGAUUCAAUAUGAACAAUCCUCUCACAUUAGGUGCAUGACCAUAAAAGAUGUUACUCAUAGAAAUAGAACAACCAUUAUUCUCUGACUUAAAAGAGUAACCGUCUCGCAAUAAACAAGAUCCAGAUAUAAUGUUCAUGCUCAACGCAGACACUAAAUAACAAUGAUUUAAGUUCAUCACUAAUCCUGAUGGCAACUGAAGUGAAACUGUGCCGACGGCGAUUGCAUCAACCUUGGAACCAUUUCCUACGCGCAUCGUCACUUCAUCCUUUGCCAGCCUUCGUCUAUUCCGCAGUUCCUGUUUCGAGUUGCAAAUAUGAGCAAUAGAACCGGUAUCGAAUACCCAGGCACUACUACGAGAGCCGGUUAAGUACACAUCAAUAACAUGUAUAUCAAAUAUACCUGAUUUUUCUUUGGCCGCCUUCUUAUCUGCCAGAUACUUGGGGCAAUUGCGCUUCCAGUGACCCAUACCCUUGCAAUAGUAACACUCCGUUUCAGGCUUAGGUCCAGCUUUGGGUUUCUUCGUCGGAUUGGCAACAGGCUUGCCGCUCUUCUUUGAAUUACCCUUCUUGCCUUUGCCGUUUCUCUUGAAACUAGUGGUCUUAUUCACCAUCAACACUUGAUGCUCUUUAUGGAGUUCAGACUCUGCGACUUUCAGCAUCGCAAACAACUCGCCGAGAGACUUGUUCAUCCCUUGCAUGUUGUAGUUCAACACAAAGCCUUUAUAGCUUGGCGGCAGUGAUUGAAGGAUUCUGUCAAUGAUAGCCUCUUGCGGGAGUUCAAUACCCAGCUCAGCUAGACGGUUUGAGUAUCCAGACAUUUUGAGCACAUGUUCACUGACAGACGAGUUCUCCUCCAUCUUGCAAGCAUAGAAUUUAUCGGAGGUUUCAUACCUCUCGACCCGGGCGUUCUUCUGAAAGAUAAACUUCAACUCCUGGAACAUCUCAAAUGUUCCAUGACGCUCAAAGCGACGUUGAAGUCCCGGUUCUAAGCCAUACAAGACUGCACAUUGAACUAUUGAGUAGUCCUCCUUACGUGCCAACCAAGCGUUCUUAACAUCCUGAUCAGCCGUAGCGGGUGGUUCAUCUCCUAGCGCAACAUUAAGGACAUAAUCCUUCUUCCCAGCUUGUAAGAUUAGCUUAAGAUUACGAGCCCAGUCUACAAAGUUGCUUCCAUCAUCUUUCAACUUAGCUUUCUCUAGGAACGUAUUAAAAUUCAGGAUGACUGUAGCGUGAGCCAUGAUCUACAACACAAAUAUAUUCAAAGUGGACUUAGACUAUGAUCAAGAUAAUUAGAGUUUAACUUAAUCAAAUUAUUCGCUAAACUCCCACUCAAAAAGUACAUCUCUCUAGUCAUUUGAGUGGUUCAUGAUCCACUUACACUAGCUCAAGUCCGAUCAUCACGUGAGUUGAGUAUAGUUUCAGUGGUAAGCAUCCCUAUGCUAAUCAUAUCAUCUAUAUGAUUCAUGAUCGACCUUUCGGUCUCAUGUGUUCCGAGGCCAUGUCUGCACAUGCUAGGCUCGUCAAGCUUAACCCGAGUGUUCCGCGUGCGCAACUGUUUUGCACCCGUUGUAUGUAAACGUUGAGUCUAUCACACCCGAUCAUCACGUGGUGUCUCGAAACGACGAACUGUAGCAACGGUGCACAGUCGGGGAGAACACAAUUUCGUCUUGAAAUUUUAGUGAGAGAUCACCUCAUAAUGCUACCGUCGUUCUAAGCAAAAUAAGGUGCAUAAAAGGAUUUACAUCACAUGCAAUUCAUAAGUGACAUGAUAUGGCCAUCAUCACGUGCUUCUUGAUCUCCAUCACCAAAGCACCGACACGAUCUUCUUGUCACCGGCGCCACACCAUGAUCUCCAUCAACGUGUUGCCAUCGGGGUUGUCGUGCUACUCAUGCUAUUACUACUAAAGCUACAUCCUAGCAAAAUAGUAAACGCAUCUGCAAGCACAAACGUUAGUAUAAAGACAACCCUAUGACUCCUGCCGGUUUCCGUACCAUCGACGUGCAAGUCGAUAUUUUCUAUUACAACAUGAUCAUCUCAUACAUCCAAUAUAUCACAUCACAUCGUUGGCCAUAUCACAUCACAAGCAUACCCUGCAAAAACAAGUUAGACGUCCUGUAAUUUUGUUGUUGCAUGUUUUACGUGGUGACCAUGGGUAUCUAGUAGGAUCGUAUCUUACUUACGCAAACACCACAACGGAGAUAUAUGAGUUGCUAUUUAACCUCAUCCAAGGACCUCCUCGGUCAAAUCCGAUUCAAGAAACCGACACUUGCCAGUCAUCUUUGAGCAACGGGGUUAUUCGUAGCGAUGAAACCAGUCUCUCGUAAGCGUACGAGUAAUGUCGGUCCAAGCCGCUUCAAUCCAACAAUACCGCGGAAUCAAGAAAAGACUAAGGAGGGCAGCAAAACGCACAUCACCGCCCACAAAAACUUUUGUGUUCUACUCGAGAAGACAUCUACGCAUGAACCUAGCUCAUGAUGCCACUGUUGGGGAACGUCGCAUGGGAAACAAAAAUUUUCCUACGCGCACGAAGACCUAUCAUGGUGAUGUCCAUAUACGAGAGGGGAUGAGUGAUCUAUGUACCCUUGUAGAUCGUACAGCAGAAGCGUUAGUGAACGCGGUUGAUGUAGUGGAACGUCCUCACGUCCCUCGAUCCGCCCCGCGAACAAUCCCGCGAUCAGUCCCACGAUCUAGUACCGAACGGACGGCACCUCCGCGUUCAGCACACGUACAGCUCGACGAUGAUCUCGGCCUUCUUGACCCAGCAAGAGAGACGGAGAGGUAGAAGAGUUCUCCGGCAGCGUGACGGUGCUCCGGAGGUUGGUGAUGACCUUGUCUCAGCAGGGCUCCGCCCGAGCUCCGCAGAAACGCGAUCUAGAGGAAAAACCGUGGAGGUAUGUGGUCGGGCUGCCGUGGAAAAGUCGUCUCAAAUCAGCCCUAAAACCUCCGUAUAUAUAGGUGGGAGGGAGGGGACCUUGCCUUGGGGCUCAAGGAGCCCCAAGGGGGUCGGCCGAGUCCAAGGGGGAAGGCUCCCCCCAAACCGAGUUGGACUUGGUUUGGUGGGUGGGAGUCCUUCCUUCCCUUCCCACCUCCUUUUUUUUUCUUUUCUCUUUGAUUUUCUUUCCUAGGCGCAUAGGGCCCUUUUGGGCUGUCCCACCAGCCCACUAAGGGCUGGUGUGCCACCCUCAAGGCCUAUGGGCUUCCCCAGGGUGGGUUGACCCCCCCCCCCCGGUGAACUCCCGGAACCCAUUCGUCAUUCCCGGUACAUUCCCGGUAACUCCGAAAAUCUUCCGGUAAUCAAAUGAGGUCAUCCUAUAUAUCAAUCUUCGUUUCCGGACCAUUCCGGAAACCCUCGUGACGUCCGUGAUCUCAUCCGGGACUCCGAACAACAUUCGGUAACCAACCACAUAACUCAAAUACGCAUAAAACAACGUCGAACCUUAAGUGUGCAGACCCUGCGGGUUCGAGAACUAUGUAGACAUGACCCGAGAGACUCCUCAGUCAAUAUCCAAUAGCGGGACCUGGAUGCCCAUAUUGGAUCCUACAUAUUCUACGAAGAUCUUAUCGUUUGAACCUCAGUGCCAAGGAUUCAUAUAAUCCCGUAUGUCAUUCCCUUUGUCCUUCGGUAUGUUACUUGCCCGAGAUCCGAUCGUCAGUAUCCGCAUACCUAUUUCAAUCUCGUUUACCGGCAAGUCUCUUUACUCGUUCCGCAAUACAAGAUCCCGCAACUUACACUAAGUUACAUUGCUUGCAAGGCUUGUGUGUGAUGUUGUAUUACCGAGUGGGCCCCGAGAUACCUCUCCGUCACACGGAGUGACAAAUCCCAGUCUUGAUCCAUACUAACUCAACUAACACCUUCGGAGAUACCUGUAGAGCAUCUUUAUAGUCACCCAGUUACGUUGCGACGUUUGAUACACACAAAGCAUUCCUCCGGUGUCAGUGAGUUAUAUGAUCUCAUGGUCAUAGGAAUAAAUACUUGACACGCAGAAAACAGUAGCAACAAAAUGACACGAUCAACAUGCUACGUCUAUUAGUUUGGGUCUAGUCCAUCACGUGAUUCUCCUAAUGACGUGAUCCAGUUAUCAAGCAACAACACUUUGUUCAUAAUCAGAAGACACUGACUAUCUUUGAUCAACUCGCUAGCCAACUAGAGGCUUGCUAGGGACGGUGUUUUGUCUAUGUAUCCACACAUGUAAAUGAGUCUUCAUUCAAUACAAUUAUAGCAUGGAUAAUAAACGAUUAUCUUGAUACAGGAAUUAUAAUAAUAACUAUAUUUAUUAUUGCCUCUAGGGCAUAAUUCCAACAAAAAUAGAGGGGGUGAAGAAUAACUAUUCCUCACCCAGGGUGACGAAUAGCGCGACCCUGGAUUGCAUACGAGCAAUUCAAGAGGAAUUGACGGGAUUCUUUAUUGAGCAUGUCAUACCAUCAGAUGGAGAAUAUCAUCAGGAUUUCUUACCGAUUUUGGUGGGCGAUAGAUAUUAGCUAGUUAGGGAUUGCAAGAGAUAUUAUAUAUUGUAUAUAUGUAUGAUCCUGUACUAUAUGUAGUAGCGUCGAGUUGUUUGACCAAGCACGGAGAAAGAGAGGUCAUUUCACUCUAUAUAUGUUCAUGACGAUGUUGUGUAAUUAAUGGUUCCUUCAUUUACUUACUAGCUAACAUCAAGUUCUCUCUAUAUGUAGUAGGUACCGUCGACCAAGCACGGAGAAAGAAAUGUCACUUCUCUCUAUAUGUAGUAGCUAUCUAACACAAUAUGAAACCCCUAAUAAAACCCUCCAAAACCCCUACGCCCCCCUCAUUUAAAAAAACAAAGAACCCAACGCCUACGAGCUGCUGACGCGUGACUGCCUUUGGGUCCCGGUUGGUGUUACCAACCGGGACUAAAGGUCCUCCUGCCUGGGCGCCUCGCAACGGCCGCGUGGAGAUCCUUUGGGUCCGGUUCAUAAGCCAAUCGGGACUAAAUGUUUGGGCCUUUAGUCCCGAUUGUUUUGUCCCGGUUGAAGAACUGGGACUAAAGCCCCUCUGGAACCGAGACUAAAUCCCAAUUUUCUACUAGUGAUAUAUCAUAUUUGAUGCUUGAUUAUAUACUGUUUCAAUUUUUCAUGAUUUAACAGAAACGCUAAAUAAGGUUUAGAUCCGGUAUAGCUCCGCUAUAGCCUUUCAUAGCUUCUGAUCGAGUCGCUGCUAAAUGGCAUAGCCCACUAUUUAAAGCAUUGAAAAUAAUUGACCUGGCGUUAUGGAAAAUGCUUUUAGUUUGUCCUGUACAAAAAAAACUUCCACUUAAUAGUUUAUUUCAGUAUUUUUCAGUCGGGCGUAGUUUAAAUGAUGUCCAUUAUAAAUUGUAAUCUGCAGGCACUUGGAACCAAGGGAAAUAUCAAUGCAUCUGCCCAUUUAAUCUGCACGUGGUUUGAAGAUAUUCUGGGGAGUUAGUUUCAUAUUAGGAGGGGUUUAGCGAAGUAUUUCAACUAGAACUAGAUAAAAAUGAGGAAUUAGAUAAGCCUUAGUUUUUCAUCUUUGCAAAACAUGCCUUAGGUAAUCUCAAUAUCUCAAAUGAAUGAUAUUUUCUUAUUUUUCAUUUUUUAGUCCCUGAUAUUUGUCAUUUUCUCAAGGCACCAAAUUCCAUCUUACCAUGACUAGGACAGGAUUGGACCAGUACAGGAUGCUAUAGUAACACAAUUGGACUCUUCUGUUAACCAAGAGGUCAUCGGUCAAGAACAUCACCAUCACUUAGAUGAGCCAGUAGGUGGUAUGUAUCCAACUUUAGUUGGCGGCUAGUAGCCAAGUCUCCUAGUCAGCAACAUCACGUUCAUGUAGAGGCACUAGUUGGCAUGUAAUGUCCAUUCUUUGGAGUUCUAUUUUUAACUCUGGCAGCCACUCACUUAUUCAGCCAUUCAUCUGCACGUCUGUGCUUCUUUGUACAAGUCUGCCAUGGCGAUGCCCACUACCCUCAAGGUCUUAACUAUCUUGUAUGUGCUUGUACUUCUUGUUGCAUAUCAGGUUGAAGGGCGAAAUCAUCGGCCUGAUUGUCCUACUUUCUCAUGCGGCCCACUUGGAUACGUAUCAUCCCCAUUUCGUCAGGCAAGUGAUCCACCUGGGUGUGGUCAUCAAUCGUACGAGCUAGUUUGCAGUGAUACUAAGGCUACAAUUCACAUCGACAAUGCAACAUACUAUGUGUCUGGGAUCAACUACAGUGAUUCUACCUUCUGGAUCGUCGAUGCCGACAUAGAUUUAUACAACAGCUGCCCUCUACCGCGGUGGAAUUAUGAUCAGCAUCCAGCUGCUGGUUUCACGCUGAGAAACCGGCAACACGACACUCAUCACGCCAUCAAAGUUGAAUUGGCACCUGCAGCAUAUAAUCAGGCUAUAUUUGUUAAUUGUUCUCGGGAAGUGAAGGACAACGGUAUGUACAGGCCUGUUGCUUGCUUGAGCACCAGCCAUUCUUUUGUUUAUGUGUUAAUAACUGGUGGCCUAGGGAGAGGGAGUACUAUGGCGAACCUUGAGCCUUGUUGCGGUUAUUUGGCCAUGACUCCAUUAGGUGGCCAGGAAAUUGGCAUGAAGGGCACUGCACCGCUUGAGAAUGCAAGCUAUGCAGAUGUCGUAAAAUUCAUGACACACGGCUUCCGCGUUAAAUUUCCUUUCAGACUUCGCCAAUCUGGAGACUUCUUGGGAUGUCUGAUGGAUGAUUUGGCGCCGUGAGUUUGAGAUCUUGAUACCUCGUACUUGUAAGCUCUGCUUUUGUUUUUGCACAUGCACACCUGAUCAUUCUACAUUUUUCGUUUUUUUUUUUGCAGCACAUUCACUAAAGAUUGGAUUCUAACAAUUCUUUCGAUUGAUGUAAGUUUCAUGGGUUGCGCAGCUAAAGCAGUUCCAGAACCAUUUGAUAUUUGCUUGUAUAUAAUUAUGGCGUCAUUAGCAUAUGCCAGGCUUAUUGCUGGUACGUGAGAAUUACAUAUUCCAGUAUGGUUUACUGCCUGUGUCUAUAAAUCAGAUCACAAAUAAACCUGUUUUGUUUUAUGCAGUGUUCUGGAGGUUUGUAUUGGUGCCCCUGGUCGUAUUAAUCUUCCUUGCCCACAAGUAUUGGAAAACAAGGAUCACGAUGGAUGCUGUUGAGAAGUUCCUCCAGAUGCAGCAAAUGAUCGGCCCGUCAAGGUACGCCUAUACAGACAUCACCGCAGUCACCAGCCAUUUCAUAGAUAAGCUGGGUCAGGGAGGCUAUGGCUCCGUGUACAAGGGUGUGCUGCUCCCAGGCAAUGUCCAUGUCGGGGUCAAGAUGCUAGAGGGUAACUCCAACUGCAAUGGAGAAGAUUUCAUUAGUGAGGUUUCAACCAUUGGCAGGAUCCACCAUGUCAAUGUGGUGCGUUUAGUUGGCUUCUGCUCGGAGGAAAUGAGAAGGGCGCUUGUCUACGAGUACAUGCCUCGAGGUUCUCUGGACAAAUACAUCUUCUCGGCUGAGAAGACUUUCUCCUGGGACAAGCUCAACGAGAUCGCUUUGGGCAUUGCGAGGGGUAUCGACUACCUGCACCAGGGUUGCGAGAUGCAGAUUCUCCACUUUGACAUCAAGCCGCACAACAUCUUGCUAGACAGCAAUUUCAUCCCUAAAGUUGCUGAUUUCGGUCUCGCUAAACUAUACCCAAGGGACAAAAGUUUUGUGCCAUCGAGAGCCCUACGGGGAACAAUUGGGUACAUAGCUCCUGAGAUGAUAUCUCGUAGCUUUGGUGUCAUAUCGAGCAAGUCUGAUGUUUAUAGCUUUGGGAUGCUCCUGCUAGAGAUGGCCGGAGGAAGAAGGAAUGCUGAUCCAAAUGCGGCAAACACGAGCCAAGCGUACUAUCCGUCGUGGGUGUAUGACAAACUAACUGCUCCAGUGGUGGAUGCGAUAUGUCCAGUUGCUAGCAUGCAUGAAUUAGAGAGGAAGCUGUGCAUCGUUGGAUUAUGGUGCAUUCAGAUGAAGUCACAUGACAGGCCAACGAUGAGCGAGGUCAUAGACAUGUUGGAAGGUGGCUUUGAUGGCCUGCAGAUGCCUUCCAGGCCAUUCUUCUGCGACGACGAUCACACCGCUGUCCCGGAUUCUUACCCUUUGUUGUCCGAGCUGACAGAGAUCUCAGAGGAGGAUAAUGAGUAGCAUAUGUGUGUGUGUGUGUGUGAUUUAAUGUCUCAAGUCUUACGAAAUAACCUACUAUUAUGUUUUCCCAGACAUGUGAAGUUUUAUGUGGAAAGAUGUAAUAAUAUUUAGCAGUUAGAGGAUGUAGAUCUCCAACUGUUAAUUGAAACGUAUUUAUCUUCUUGAAAGACACACACAAA
rnacentral:lncRNA from 1 species